CAGAGCAUUGACGACAAGGGGAGCAGCACAAUGGCUAUACGGCCUAACGAUGACCCCGACUGUGUGAGAGAGACGAAGUUGAAGUGGCCGCGGAAACGACAAUACUGUUGUAAUUAUUUUGCAUAUACUGGUCCAUGCUACGAUGACUAUACUGUCUGCAAAGCCCAUUGCCCGUGAUUCAACACAAUUUCCAUGAAUAGUUUUCAUGUAAUAAGGAAGAGAUGAUAUGCAAUAAGUUUUCCUAUCAAUAUUUGCUUUUACAAUUGCUAAAGUGAAUAAGGAUAUGAUUUCCUAAAUUAUUAUGGUGCUUGUACUUAUCCCUAUCAACUGUUUUAUCAAGAAAUACAUUUUUUGUGCAAUGGAGACACAUCGCUGGCACUACAGUGCAGCAUAACAAAGGCUGGCCAGGAUGGUGGUCCAUGGACCACCCUAGAUUUUUUUCACUGGCUUACUUGGGUGUACUUGAGCACAAGAAAGCCCAGAAUAGGAUUGUUUUUUGCUAGAUAAAUAUUAAAUUUAUUUGCGUUAGCACAGAUAAAGAUGUGAUUUCUAAAUUAUUAUUGUCCUUGUACUUAUCUAUAUGGACUAUAUUUUUGUAGAAAUACUUUUUUUGUGCAAUGGAGACAUACCACUAGCACUUCAGUGCAUUGGCAUAACGAGGGGUGGCCAGAUGGUGGUCCAUGGACCACCCUGGGAUUUUUCCAUUGGCUCACUUGGGUGCAUUGGUGCGCUUCCUAAAAAAGUGAAAGCACAACUACGCUCGUUGGUUUUUGUUUUUCUCCUGAUUUUUAUUUUUAUUUUUGUUGUUUUAGGUUCUUAUUAUUUCCUAGUUUUUGGUUUUCUUCGGAUUUUGGUGUUUUUGGACUUGUUUCUUAUUUUUGGUUUUCCCCGGAAAAAAGUUCAUCCAAACCUAUUAAGAUGGAAUCUAGUUUUGAAGAUCUCGAUGCCAGAAACCCAAUGGUGGAAACGAUUCGUGAUUUGGAUGGAUGGUUCGAGAGAUAAAACUUUUUGUAAAAAAAUGAAUCUUUAAAAAAACUGAAAAACUCUUAGCUGUGACAAGUGCUACUUGUCACCACAGAGAAGGUGGGAGUGAUAUUUGCAAGGGAAACGAGGUUUCUCAGCAAGGGAGUGACGCUCAAGUGUCGUCAUCACUAGAUCCAACCAUCAAAGGCUAGAAUCAAAGUUUUCACCUUGAAAAAUAACUCUGAGCAAAUUCGAGCAAUGCCUUCAACAAGGUAGUGAAACAGAAAUAUCGCCAUUGUCAAGUCUAACCAACUUGGGUUAGCCCUAAGUUUUCACUCCGGAGCUCGAGACCGAGAACUGGAGAAGCACCAACAAAUCGAAGGCAAUCAUGUGUUAUCACCACCACUUUUCCAACAUUCCAAUAGCUACAAGCUUUGGUCUAAAAGUUCCACCGCCGCCGCUGCACAACCAUACUCUUUUGCGUUAAGUUGUUGUCGUAGAUUGCAUUUCAUGGCUGAAGGCAAAGUGGCCGGAGUGAGUGCCGCCAAAACUCACAAAGGAGCCUACUGACUUGCAAUGGUUUGAAGAUGUGACAUGUCAGCAUCCAUCAACUGCUUCAGAGAUGAAUGUUUUGAUCAACUACUUUCCUAAUAUCUUUUCUAGAAUCCACCUCCCAUAUGAAGCCAAGUUUUGAUGCAAAGUAGUCUGUCCUCAUGAUGUUCUCUCUCUCACCCUGCUAUUCUACUUCAUCAUCAGUAAAGAACAUAAGCAACGGGCAACCGCCAAUUAUUAAGCACUCAAGUGCUGCUGGAAGACAACAUAAUGUUUUCAGAGUUGACACAUUCUCGAGCUCCAGUUUAGUGCAAUGCCUAAAGAGCUCGGUAUUGAGUGGUAGGCCUUCUAAUGCACUACAUUUCACAAGCUUAAAAGAUUGCAAACUUUCAAAAUAUGAACCCUCAAGUAGCCAACUUGGAUACGCGGCACAAUUGUAACCCUCAAUUUCGAGGCACUGAAGUUGAGGCGGCGGCAUCAAACCUUCAAUAAUCUCCAACCGUAAACUAUCCUGCACACUCGUGUCAUUAUUCGAACUCCAGACAAGGCACAGGGUUCCGAAGUGAUUUUUCUGAUAUAGCUUAGAGUCUAGGGCCUCAUUCUUUCCACUGACAUUCUCCAGAUUUCUGACACUUAAACUGCCACCAUGCUCUUUCAUGUCACUGAGCUGUUGCAACCCAGACCCCUUCUGUUUUUGCACACAAAAUUCUUUAAGAUGUUGUAGCAAAGUUAGCUUGCCUAUAUAACGGAUUUGUGGCAGAGCUACUUCAUACAUCCUGUAUGACAUAUCACUGUACCCUUCAGGAUGCCGUAGCUUGCUUAAAUUACAGAGUUUGUCAGGCAAGCUCUUAACUUUUAUGGUUUAACUGAAGUACCUGUAGCUGACAAAGAGCACAUAAUGACCCAGGCAAUUCGGCAAUAGAAGUUUUGACAAGGUUCAAAUGCCGAAGAUGCUUCAGCACACCUAAAGAUUCAGGUAGCUUGCUACUAUUGUAAAAACACAAAUGGAGCACACGUACCUUCUUCGGAUAUUGCAGAACCUGAUGGAAAACAUCACUUAUAUCAUCUGUAAGUGGUUCAAUGCAGAUAAAGAUAAGGGUUGUACCGAAGUGGGGCUCCUAAACAAAAGGGUUGUUAGGAGUUGGGAGUUGGGACGGGGUGAGCUCACCAUGUUGAUGAGGACUAGCUAAAGAAUGGUUGAGAGGAUUCAGAAUAUACACUGUCACACUGUCUCGUACUGGAAAAGGUAAUCCCAUUUGCAGCAGUAUAGUAUCUUUCAGCUCAAACGUCCAUGUCUUGCGUGGCCUCAGAGCUAGUGUACACAAGACAGGACAGUCGAGGCGGCAUCUCGGUAUCUUGCCUGUCACUUCGUCCGCCUGCAGUUUUGUCUUUCAAAAUUGGAAACCGUGCUACCUCUAGCCGGCCACACUAAUCUCCACAAGUUUUCUUUUCUUCAGUCUCGCACCUUUCUUCAGUAGCAAAUAGCAGAGAACCAGCAGUUGGUUGCAUUCCCGCUAUCCACUCAGCUAAGCUAGAUGGCAGAUCCCUCUGGUGCUCGUGGCGGCGACAUGCCGGCUGAUCCAAUGGUUGAGGCCGUGGAAGAAGCUGUGGCUCCGGUUGAGCAGCACUUGAAGUGGACGAAAGAGGACGAGGAAUCGGAUGCUGCUUUAUCCGCUCCCCUCAUUAGCAGCCUCCAGCAAGUUGACUCAGCAGGGGAGACCAUUGAUUCUGCAGAAGUAGCACCAGCUCCGGUUGAGGAGGAGGAGUACUUGCAGGAAGCAGCGCAAGAGUUUAGGUCCUCUGAGAUCAUAGAUGUAGGUGACAUUUCUAGCUGUAGCCGCGAGCAUGUUGAUGAGGGAUCUGACUUUGCAGAAGGAGAACCGUCUCCGGCUCCGGUUAGGGGUGGUCAUUUGAUGGAAGAAGCAGAAGAGUUCAAGAUUGAUUUCGAUAAGAGAAAAGAGCAGAUGCAUGGGUUCCCUGCAAGCCUACGCAGUCUCGACAGCCAGUACAUCUAGCCGAGGGUCGUUGCCAUCGACCCUUACCACCACGGCAAACCUCACCUCCAGAGGAUGGAGAGGGUAAAGCACGUGGCUGCCAGCCAAUUCCUCCUCGAGUCAGGAGACCUCUCAGUUAGGGAGGUCUAUAACGCUGUCUACCUGGUAUCAGGCGAGGCCCGCCGCCGCUACGGUCAAGACUCUGUGGUGGCAGGUAUUGACGAUGCUGACUUUGUGCCUAUGAUGUUCUUUGAUGCCUGUUUCUUGCUGGAGUUUAUGCAUUUUAUUAGCGAUGAGCAGCUUCCGUUUGAUGAAGCGUUGUCAUACGUUUUCCGCUCCAACCAAGAACUUAUCAUUAGCGAUGUAAUGCUGCUGGAGAACCAGCUCCCCUGGCUGGUUCUGGAAAGCCUGAUGGGAUUUAGCUCUGUGCCCGUGCAAGAGAAGAUGAUAAUUUCAAGAAUGGGGAAAGGUCUCACAAAACGUAGGCAUCAUAUUCAAACCGGACCAGAAGAAAUCCUUUCAAACUUGUAUGAAGAUGAAGAAGAGUACAAGCCGCCACAUCUCCUUGGUCUCCUUCGAUUCUACAAAGCAAGCAACAAGAUGGCCACCAAAGCCAGCAAGAAAGCCAACAAGAAUGAUGUAUUUUCAACACUGAACCGUUUGAAAGCCCGGCUAAUUGGUGCGCAUAAAGAAAUGGAUGUACCAUCAUACAAUAACAUGUCCAUGGAAACACUUAGUCAAUUGUCAAUAUCUCCAGGAGCCACCGAGCUUGCAGAAAUUGGCAUCAAGGUGAAAGCCAUCAAGACGGGAAGUCCCACAGAAAUGGACAUCAGGAAAGGACCCCUCUUUGGCGAUCUUUCCUUCACGCCACUGGCGCUAAACGUAUCAAACGCAUGUUUGCUUGCAAACAUGGCGGCUUUUGAGGUAUGCACGGCAUCAUGGGAUCUAUGUGAUGUUCAAGAGACGGCCGUCUUCUUGUACCUCGCUCUCCUUGGCAUGCUCAUGGACCAGAAAGAGGAUGUGCGCGACCUACGAAGGAAGCAUCUUGUGCAAGGAGAACUCACGAACCAAGAGGUGUUUGACUUUUUCAAGAGCCUUACCAGGCACCUGCCGGUGGGCCUCUCCUUUCUCCUCGUCUUAACGAGCAUUGAGAAGUACCAGGCCAACAGGAGGAUCUGGGUCAAGGCGCACAAGUUCAUCUACAACAACUUCAAAACCAUUUCCGCGGUCCUCUCCGUGGUUGGUGUUCUGGUGGGCAUCUUCAAGACGCUCCUCUCUCUCAAGCAACACCAGUAAAGUCAGACCAUGUUUGCCAUAUUUUCAGUUAUGAACCUUCUGUAAAUCUCUUUUUUAAACAAUAUAUGCAUGUUUGUUGGUCUCAUUUCUGCUACUUAAUUCGUUUCUACUGCCUAAUUCAGUGAAGACUUUGAAAUCUCUUCUUUACCAUGAAGGCUGUCUGGCAGAUAGUUUUUAGAUUGGUACCUUCUGUAACACUUGUACAGUAUGAGUUGCUGGUUGUUCUGUUUUGGGGCCUUCUUCUUUCUCUGUAGUUUGUACCAUCAGUAUGAUAAAAUCUUCUGGUCCGUCAAGUAGCAAUGCCACUGACAAAUAUCAAGCUGAUGAUCUGCCCAAGGGGCACCAGUGCCCAUCAGCAUUGGUCAAUGGCAUCACAAGGGAAGCGACACAACAGGGGAAGAAAUUUUCCGACUUAGAAUCAUGUUUCUGGAUGCGCCAAUCCGUCUCUGCUUCACAUUGCUCUAUUUGCUUUUCUAUGUGUGCCAAUUCUUUUUCCUGUUGAUUACCGGUGCCAUGCAUGUUUGUUGGCGUCGUUUCUGCUACUUAACUCCCUCCCCGUUGCUGAAUCCAAUAAAGACUACGCAAUGUCUGAUGUAACAUUGAGGCUUACUACUGCUAGAGUUUUCAGUUUUGUACCUUUUGUAACACUUGUACACCAUGAGUUUCUGGGUGCUCUGUUUUUCAUGGCUUCUUCUUUUUCCAUAGUCUGUACCAUGAAUACUGAAGCAACAUUCUUCUUGCGGAAUCAGAUAUGUAAUUUGCAGGGGACGGAGCAGUUUUUUUUUUUUGAUAAACAGAAAGCAGUUUUGUUCAUUGGUCUUGAUCUAGAAUUCCUGAUAAUACUUUGAAUCAAGUUCACAUCAUAUAUUAAUGUCUUCACUUCUGUUAUUGUUUCUCAUGCUGAACUGUGAGCAACCUUCAUGCUGAACUCUGAGCAACCUAAGGUAAUUAACAACUGUUUGCUUCCCGCAAAAGGGAAAAGAAACAACUGUUUGCGGCAAUUAUGUCUGAGGAAAAGCAUUCUUCUGAGAAAAAAAAUACACGUGCUCAAUUUAGUACUCGCUUUCCUAAAUUUAUCUUGGUAAAAUAGUAUGGCCUUCAACUACUAAACCACAGCUUUAAGCAUCCAUGACAAUUUCCAAGGUACAAUGUUCUGAAUAUUCCGGUGUCAAGUCAAAUCAGUAGAUCUGUGACAAGUACUACAACCUAGACAGUCGCCUCUGUUCUUCGCUAGGCAUGUACACACAUAAUCAAAUAUAUAAGUUUUAGAGUGGUUGGGCUUUUUUAGAACCGUUCGUUGAUGUCGAUCUAACGGCAGACAAAUACGAAGUACUGGGUAGUACUCCGAUGAAAGUACGCGAAAGUACUAAAACGAGUGGGGCCAGUACUCGUGACAAGGUGGGGAUGCGUUUUAAUCUAGGGGCAGUUUAGUCCUAGGAAAAUUUGCACGCGCCGCCCCUCUCGUCGAAUGCAUAACCGCCGCCAUGGUGAUUCACAUUCCACAAUUACUCAUCGGCGGCCAUCUCCUCCCUCUCCUCCAAGUCCACCUCAGUCAUCUCCUCCUUCUUGCCGCUGCAACUUCGCUCCACUCAGGCAACUCCCCACCCACCCCCACCCCCUCUUACACGGCAGAUCGAGCUGAUGGCCGGCGACGAGAACACCGACUUCGUGCAGAUCGCCGGCGGCGACCAGGUCAAGUUGGCCAGGUUGAGGGAGAUCCGUUCUUGGUUUGACAACACAAGGUAGAUGAACUGGACGGCAAUGGCCACUCUCAAGAAUAUGACGAAGAAGGAGAGGGCAAAGCUUUGCCCCCCGCCCGCACAACUGAUUGACAAGAUCGAGAUCCUCCUCUGGGCAAUGGAGCAGGCCAAUUCGUCCAGCGAGUGGACCAGGCGGAGGUGGUGGGCGUUCAGAUCCAGGGUAGAGCAUCCACUGGAUCAGGAACCCACCGUGCACGAGGUGCCGUUGCAGAUUGUGCAACCUCCAACCGAGUCACCGGAGACUCCGAAGCGCAAGAUGAGGAGGACAGUGGUCGCGACCUCGCUUCCCCGCCGUUCUCCACGCUUCCCUUGCCGCUCUCCUCGUCUGAACGGCGGCGGUAGCUAUGUUUAGAGUAUGCUUCCCCACUCCUCAUCUUCCUACUGCUCGUGCUUACAUCGUGGUGAUACUGAUCGUAAUAGCUCAGAGAGGGAAUGCUAGAUGGCAUUUUAAUCUCAAUGAAUUGCAUGAAUAUUUGAGUACAUGGAUUUGGAGGAUGGAUUAUGAUGUAUGUGAACACUAGGCAUCAUAUGAACCCUAGGAAAAAUUAGUAAUGUUCUAGUGGUAGACACUGAAAUAUUUCGGUACACACCGGUAGGCACUGAAAUAUUUCGGAACUGCCCUAGGCAAAAUUUGUAAUGUUGUAGUGGUGGACACUGAAAUAUUUCGGUACACACCGGUAGGCACUGAAAUAUUUCGGUACUGCCCUAGGCAAAAUUUGUAAUGUUGUAGUGGUAGACACUGAAAUAUUUCGGUACACACCGGUAGGCACUGAAAUAUUUCGUUACUACAAUUUCAGUACACAUCGAUGCACAAUGAAUUAUUUCAGUACUGCAGUUUCAGUACACACUGAAAUAUUUCAGUACUGCAAAUUCUAUACAAAGUUGGCAUUUUGUCAUUUAUGUGUGAAUCAAUCCAUGCAUCAUAUGGCAUAACUUUGUACAUGAGUUUGGGUCAAUUUCAUGUCUAUUUAUUGUUAAAAUUAUUGUCAUGCCAUGAAACACAAGACAAGUCACUGACCCAAGCUUGCAAAGAUGACAUAUCAAUGUUGCUGAUAUGCACGUUUUCACCAAGUCUUGUGUCUGAAUUAAAACUAAGCAUUUUUUCUUGAUGGUAUCCAUGGAUCUAGAACUCCUAUGAAUUUGCUCAUGUUGGAUGUUUUAUUCUCCAUCAUUUGUACUAGCAUUCUGUGCGAUUAGAUGCCAUGACAAGACCCCUGGCAUAUUUAUUUUCUUGCCUCCAACAUCACAUGUGUGUUUUGCAGGAAAGAACCUGGAGUUCACCAGGCUGGCUGAAGUUGUGAGGCUGGGAGGCUGAUGGUGCUGCUACUGGCUGAUCCUUCUUCUUUCAGUUUUUGUUCGUCAUUUAUCAAGCCGUUGGACCAGGGCUACUUCCCUAUGUGCUGUUAAUGUAUUAAGUAGUUCCUUCGAAUUUGUAGUACUAGUUAGUUUGAAUGUGGAAGUACCUUAAUUUUUGGAACGAAAUGUUGCUAUGUAGGACCAAGGGUUUCAUACCUUAAUCUUUGGAUAAUUAAUUAUGUGAACUGUUAGAUGUGGUGCACAACGAAACGCCUCUACCAUUGAUACUAUAGUUCAACAUGUCGGUCCAAUUAGAGACCAGCCACUACCAUAUAGAACAGUUAGCAUUUCAUACUACAACCUGGCACGUACAAAACAUCACACAGUGGAAGCACAUCCCUAAGCACCUUGCAUUGUACAAGGUCUAAGAGACCAGCCUCUACCAUAUAUAACAGUUACCAUGUCACACUACAGCAUAUAAAACAUCACAUUGUGGAAUAAUCAUAGCUAGUAGAGCAUUAGGUACCAGUUAAUAAUAGUUGCAAUCCAUCACAAGCAAUAGUACCUAGAUAUGAGUAGAUAUAGGUACGGUAAUACACGACAAGUACUCGCAAACAAGAGCUGACAUAACAAGUUCAUUUCACAUUGAUACAUGGCCCACCCCAGUUCUAAAUGAGGUGGAUGGUGAUCAUCAUCCUCAAGUCAUGGCGACGGGUGUUCGCAACGGUGAGUAGGAUGGCCUGUCCUACCCGAAGAUUCUUGGCACGAAGGAACUUCUUCCACCCUGCCAUGCUCAAGACAGUCCGACCGUUCGUGUCCACUACAUAGGCACAGCUGGUGAUGGAGCCGUUCUGGUAAGGCGUAGUCCAGCAGCCAUGCCUUCUUCGCCCGGGUCGAUGCCACAGCUAUCAAGUAACCUCUUAGGUAAUUUCUGAAAACAGUUGACAUGAUAUAUGAUCAUGUCACGUGCAAUUAUCAACAAAGCAUACACUUCAAGACACAUAUAUCAUUGGAUUCAACACUGAGCAUAUAUAUCAUCACAUGACUACACUAUACGCCAAGCAUCAAAUUACUACAGUAAUUAGGCAUAUCAUUAGAUUACUUCCUACACUAAGCAUAUCAUCGCAUAUUACUACACUACAUGCAUGUCAUAAAAUUCUUCACUAAAUGAAUUCUAAACUUGGCCUCUCAUCACAGUACUACAACAUGCAUAUCAUAUGAAGUACUACACUAACUAAGCAUGCAUAUCAUGUAAUUACCACACUAAGUAACAUACCAUGAUAUGUCGUUUAACAUUCGUCCUUGUGAGGCGGGUCACGAAUGGCUUCCCUAGGUAGUCUUCACGUAGCGGAAGCAUGUCCCAGAGGUUGCCGAUUUCCUCGUCGCCCAGGCUGAGUCCUUGGGCAUACAGGUAUUCAACAAGUGGGUUCUCAUCAUCAUCUGAAUCAGCACCAUCUUCGUCCUCGUGAACUUCAUCCUCACUAUCCGGAAUGAAAUUUAGAUAGAUAACAGAAAUCCUGGGCCUAUCUCUUCUGAAGGAGAAGCUGAUCAAUUCACCCCCAGUAAGACGCAUGCGGGCGAUGAAACGAUCCCAAUCAUCUCCUCCUAUCUGGGUUAUCUUUCGCCCCUUCUCGACCUGCAUAGUGUAUGGGCCCCCAAGAGCGUCAAAGGUCACUGUGUCUGCGACGAGCUCAUUGAAUGCCAAUCUCACAUUGCAUGGUACGAUCUGUGUAAGAUAAAAACAAAUAGCAGACACAAUACAUUAGUGCAAAUAGCAAAAAAAACAAAAAGAAUGUACUGUCAGAAGGUUCAUAUAAAUUAUUACCACUGCAACAACAAAAGAAGGCUGGAAGUAGAUGCCGAACAACGUGGCAGUAGAAAGGCUGGUCCGGCACCGUGAGUUGCAGCGUCCACAUUGUGCUUCCUCCAUUCUACACAGAACAUGUUGAACUCUAAGUUGAAUUGUACAUAGUACAAUACAAAGAUCAUACAUAUAAUAAAUCAUAGUGAUAACCUAUACUGGCAAUGGCCAAUCAAUCUAUUUUCUAUCAUCUAUGUAAUAAAGCAAUGGCAAUGACAAUGGCAAUGCCCGGUUCAUCUAAACCUGGGAAUAGUUGGGCAUCGAAACUUAAACCAGUCCAAUCCACGGCACACAUCAAAACCAAACCAAUCCAGAUAUUUUCAUUUAGAAUCUAGACCAAACCGAACUAUACAUGCGCGUCAUCCAACCCAGUCCAAACCGUUUUCAACUUCCAAAGGUUCAAACCGUGGACAAAGCCAUAUGCGAGGGCACGUCAUGAAUCUAGAUCAGACAUGGCGUCAAAGCUCGAGAGAGCCGACGAGCCCCGGCCGGCAACUGCGGCUCUUGGAUUUGAAGCAGUACUAGGUGGUAGUGGCGGCUCAAACUAAUUGAUUGAUUUGGUCUCAAACCAUAUAAACCAAAUCAAGAUCCAAUCCAAAAACUAAGUUUCAGUCCGUAGGGAGACGCGUUUGAGGAAGGGAAGAAGAGUGGAGAUCUGACGUACUUGCCGUAGUUGGCGGCGGCCGCGCACCGGCAGCGAAGAGAGGGGUCGUCGGCAGAGGCGGCGGCGCUGGUCGAGAAGGGGAGAAAGAAAGAUGUGGAGUGGUCGAGACAGGGAGAAAGAAAAAUGUGGUACAUGUGGUGGCUCGGUUGUGUGGAUGACAAGGGGACCCACUUGUGAGACCGAUAGCAAUUGAUGGCAAACCGUAGGAGGUGCACGACCGCGUGCACGACCGCCACGUCCCCACGUGGAAUCGGGACGGCCGGGUGGGUGUGUCAAGUCAAAUCGGCACCCGCGGCUUCUCGGUAACUCCAAGAGGCAGGAGCAGUGCCUUUCUUCCCCAAAUCGGGUAGAAAACCCUCAUCCUCUCCCGAACCAUACCACCCUCUCUUCCUUCCUCACCACCUCACCACCCUCUCCUCCUUCGUCACCACCCUCCUCCCUUCCUACGCCUCCCUCCUCCUGUCUUCGACCGACGAUGAAGCGCGGGCGUGAAGAUGCGGCGGAUGAGCCGGAGGCAACCAUCGGAGCAGAGCAGUCUGCUGCCAUGGCUGCAGCCGUGGGUGGAGCGGCUGAGUCCGCCGUAGCGGCGGAAGCUGGCGGUGCAGCGACCGUUGUGCCUGCUCCCGCUGCCAUCGCAGCCGUCGAGGCACCCGUCGGCGAGCACAAGGUCGGGGAAGAUCUGGAGGAGGAGGAGAUGAGAAGGCGUAAGCGCAAGGUGUAUGACAAAAUCGAAGAGCUCAUGGAGGAGAACGCCAUAAAGGAGUUCGACCUAGAUAGCAGGAAGGGCAGCGACUUCGACGAGGAUGCCAUCGACGAGCUAUCUGAGGUAGUACUCUGUUUUUUGCUCAGUUUUUUUCAUGACAUUGGGGUUUUUCUUGUUAACUAGAUGAGCAUCAAUUUCACUUGGGCGUUCUAGUUGUACGUAUGUAGGAUUGUAGGGAUCUAGCAUAGAUCUUCAUGUUGGAUGUGGAUUUUAAAUCUGAUUCACAUUCUGAUUCCAGCAUAUACUCUGGGUUUUUUUCAUGGCAUUGGGGUUAGUCUUGUUAACUAGAUGAGCAUAAGUUUCAUAAGGGAUACAUUAAUGAAAGAAGUGGGGUAAUGAACCCAAAUACAAGAAAAUGUUCAUGGCAGGGAUACAUUAAUGAAAAAAGUGGGUUAAACAAUGGAUAUAUGACAGGAUUCUCCAUUGGCUUCCCCAGGAUAGUGACUAAAUUCUGCAGGUCCUGAUUCAUUAUAGUUUAUGUCCAUGAAUUAAUUUGCACACAUGUUCAUAGAUGAUUAGUUUGCACACAUGUUCAUAGAUGAUCCAUUUGCAAAUUCUAUACAGAUUUCCAUUUUGCAAAGGAAGUGAUCGCUCCCUUAAUAAUUAUGGGCUGACAUUACAUAUCCACUGGAUACCGAAAAAUCAAAACAUCUCAUCUACCCAAUUUUCCACAGUAUUUUAUUUAGAUGAUCACAGCCACAUCUCUCAUCAAUAUGAGCAGUGAGACACCCCAUAGCUCCUUUACCAAUUUCCUUCUGAAAGUUAUCAGGGUCUAACAAUGUUGGAGAAGCAGUAUUGCCGCUGUCAGAAAGAAUAAUUGUUUCUUCAUUCCAGUAGAUAGAACAAACCCCCCUUGUGCGAAACAUGGAGGAGUACAAUGAAGCCAUUUUUCUGAUUCCAAUAAGAAUUACACCUGUAACAAGUAUCAAAUAUCAUUAAACCAAGCCACUUCAUCUAUAAAUGCAACUACUUGGGUUUAGGGUUAUCAGGGGUUAGGGUUAUCAGGGUUUAGGGUUGAGUGUUUACAUGCAAUCCCGGAAAUGCGUGUGUCAGAGAACGUACUUGCAUGUAUAUGUAGUAAUGAUCCCAAACUUUCUUAAUGGCAUCCCAUGACCACAUAGAGAAUGAAUGCAUAAUGGUUUCCAUGUUGGGCAAAAUUUUGAAUGUUUAUACGGUUUAGUGGGGGGGAGGGGUUUAGGGUUAUCAGGGUUUAGGGUUUAAGGGUUUUAGGGUUGACGGAACUAUGUUUGUCUUACGGUGGACGUAGCACACACACCGGACAUUGAUGGAGCGUUGGUCUACAAUGGAUUCCCUCCGGUACCAUCGAUCCGGUCCGUUGACUGGCUCGGCCGACAAACUUCGUGCCACAUAAAGCAUGCAUCCAUCCACUGGACCGGAUCGAUGUUUGGUUGGUUUCAUACAGGUGAGGAACCCAGGUAGUGCUUUCGGGGUGUUGACAUGCUAGGCCGGAAAUGCGCGUGUCAGAGAUCGUACUUGCGUGUAUAAUCCCGAAAAUCUUUCAUGGCAUCCCAUGAGACCACAUAGAGAAUGCAUGCAUAAUGGUUUCCAUGUGGGGCAAAAAUUUGAAUGUUUUUACGGCUUAGUGGGAGGGGGGGUUUAGGGUUAUCAGGGUUUAAGGGUUUUAGGGUUGACGGAACUAUGUUUGUCUUACGGUGGACGUAGCACACACACCGGACAUCGAUGGAGCGUUGCUCUACAAUGGAUUCCCUCCGGUACCAUCGAUCCGGUCCGUUGACUGGCUCGGCCAACAAACUUCGUGCCACAUAGAGCAUGCAUCCAUCCACUAGACCGGAUUGAUGUUUGGUUGGUUUCAUACAGGUGAGGAACCCAGCUAGUGCUUUCGGGGUGUUGACAUGCUAUGCCGAAAAUGCGCGUGUCAGAGAUCGUACUUGUGUGUAUAAUCCCAAAAAUCUUUCAUGGCAUCCCAUGACCACAUAGAGAAUGCAUGCAUAAUGGUUUCCAUGUGGGGCAAAAAUUUGAAUGUUUUUAUGGUUUAGUGGGAGGGGGGUUUAUGGUUAUCAGGGUUUAGUGUUUAAGGGUUUUAGGGUUGACGGAACUAUGUUUGUCUUACGGUGGACGUAGCACACACACCGUACAUUGAUGGAGCGUUGGUCUACAAUGGAGUCCCUCCUGUAGCAUCGAUCUGGUCCGUCGACUGGCUCGGCCGACAAACUUCGUGCCACAUAGAGCAUGCAUGCAUCCACUGAACCAGAUGAAAUGCGCGUGUCAGAGAUCGUACUUGCGUGUACAUGUACCAUCCGUUCCAUCCACUGGCUGGGCCGACAACCUUCGUGCCACAUUGUUCACAUUGUCCAAUUAACACUUUGUAUAGAUUUUUUUGGUAAAAAAUGAAAGAAAUAAUGCAACUAAUCUGAACGUAACGUUUGGCAUGUAUCAAACCAAGUUGCUACUAUUCCUCAAAAAAACCCAGUUAGCCACUAAUUGCGCCAAACAUAUCUCGUAAUUACCAACGAAAAUGGGUUGACAAUUAUAUCUGGAAAUUUUUGGACUGAAUUUAUUGCUCUUCCUUUUUUAGAGAACAAUAAGUUAGAAUGGUGGGCGGCGGGUUGGCACGGGCACGGCGAUGGCUCGGGCUUGUGUGAUAUGUGGUUCGACCCGCGGUCAGUGCACAUGUUUUGGAAGCCCCAAAAAGAUCGCGCUCUUAAAAAAACUUGCAUCGAAGCGCAUUACUUCAAAAUAACUAAUUAACCCUACAAUCACGGAUAUAUACCUUCCCAUUCUACCGAAUAUCUACCCUAUCCUAACCACCCCCAUCUACCUUGUUUCUCCUCACAUAGCCAUCGCCGGGAUCGCGCCAUCGCUUCUCAAGCGACCACGCCGACGCCGGAUUAAAAAGGUCUCUUCCACGGCUUCUCUCAUCUUCGAUUGCAGUGCUGAUUAUUUUUUCCAUUGAUUCGACCAACAAGUAAUUUCCGAAGAGAUUAGAAAAUCCAGCUUUUGCCAUAGUUGAGUAGUUCUGGUGUGAUUCGAGUACAGGAUGUCAUGCAAGAGCUUUUUGAUUGAUAGUUUGUACUAGUUGAUCGUACGAACUAAUUAUGAAUAUUUUUUCACGGUCGUAUUGUUUCGAAUUAGGUGGAUGAGGGUGUGGAUACAGUUUUCAUACUAUGGGUAUAUGUGUUGCUGUAGGGACCAUGGUCUCAGAGGCGUAUAACAACCGUGCGGAGUACGACAAGUCUUUGCAUGAAGCGCGUCGGGAGAUCGACUUGAAGGUGCAAAAGGAUCGCGCUGAGGUAGAUAAGAAACUGAAAAAAGAACAUUCAUACGUGGACAGGAUGAUAAAGGAGGAGCGUCAGGAGUUUUCCCUUAAGAUGGCGAAGAUGCGUCUUGAGAUUGAAGAAAAGUAUAAGAGGGACUGUGAGUACAUGGAAAAAAAGUUUUUCUUAGGCUACAAGGAAAUGCAUCAAACGUUGCAGAAGGACCGGAAGCUUGUGGACAAUAUUAUACAGACAGAGCGAGUCAAGAUGGAUGCCUAUGUGUUGCAGGCACGUGCGGAUAUGGACAGUAAGCUGCUACAGGAGCGGUCGGACAUGGAUUAUAAGGCCAUGCUGGAGAAGGUCCGCUUGGAAGGACAUAUGUUAGAAGACCGUGCGAUCUCACGGCCACCCCGACAACAUGUCUUCAAUUAUUCUCCCCCUGUAAGUAUCUCGCACCGAUUCUAUAUAUUAAGGACCUACGUAUUCUAUGAUACAAACAUCUUCAAUUUGUGGCAACCUUAUGUCGGCGAUUGUAUGUAGGCUAAGCAUCAUGAGAUGGCACAGUCGCCAUUCACUCGAGAUAUUGCGAUAGAGUCACCCGUUCAAUGCCACAUCAGUCCACCCCAACAACAUAUCGUCAAUUGUCCCCUUGUAAGUACCUCGCAACGAUGCAUACCCAAGAUAUGGUAUGACCUUUCAAAACUUGUGUGUAAACCCACUAUCGACAUUUCAUACGCAGGAUAAGAAACCUAUGAUGGCAGAGUCCCUAGUCACACCACAUGAAGGAUACAUUCAACAUAAUAAGGUGAGAAGGUUUGGGAUGGCACAAUCCCAAGUCACUCCACAUGAAGGAUACAUUCCACAAAAGCAGGUAACAACGCCGCAAUGUUGCUAUGCACAUAAAAGUUAUGUUUGGCCCUUUACUCAUUGAAUGUAUUAACUCUGAUGUGAGAUACUAGGUGCUGGUCAUGGAAUUUUUUGUUAGUAGGGAUGAUGAGAUGUCACAUGUCCCGAGAGCAUACUUUGAUGAACACCCGGCAGAAGUCAGAAUUUUUGAACCCGCCAAAGUGACCUACGAUCUCAUUAUGAGUGAAAUGAGAGAUAGUUUUGGUUGCAAACUGGGAGCAGAACUGUACUACUUCUUACCCGGGUCUGCGUGCAAGCUGCCAGAAGGAAUGUUCUUGAUUGCAGGACCAGAUGAUGUACAAAAAAUGUUUUUUGAUCUGAAUGGCAGCAAGACAUGUCACCUGUACAUUGUGUACAAUAGAACUACGGGUUGUUUUCCCGAGGAUGACAUUGAUUCCGAGGUUCAAAUUUUACAUGUUGCAUGCAUCUAGUUUAUGGCAACGUCUUUUUUGAGUUCUUCCUAAUACAAUUCCUAUGGUUUUCUACAGGAAGUGAGAAUCCAAGAAAUGGAGGGUCUUGCUAGAGAGUUGGCAGAGAAAGACCAUGAACAACUUAAGUUGUAUGGUUACAUUGAUGUUAAAGAGAAAAAUAUUGAAGCACAUGGGUCGUCGCCAAGCCCGACGCAAUCUCCAACGACGCAACGCAAGAGGUCACUGGAUUUUGGCAGUGCAGAAGACAAUAUGGAGUAGGCUCAAUUGUUUUUCAACCAGUUUAAGCUUCAAACCAGGAUUAUUUAGUUGCAAACAAACCUUUUGUUUUCUGUUUCACACUAUGUUCGCAAUUAUGGUACAAUUUAUUCAUGAUACAGUUCUUUGAACAACAAUGCAUGUGUUUUAUGAUCAAUCAUACAGUUGUUUCUGAGUUGUUUUUGAGAUGGCAUUGUGUCUAAAGAAGUUUCCAUCUAUAGAACUUGGCACACAGUCGCAUCGGAAUCGCGUAUCACGCGAGAGGCGUGCGUCGCACGGGAGAGCGUCGCACACGAGCUUGUUUUCGGGUAGAAAUCAUAACAUAUUUCGGAUAGAUAAAGUUCACGUCCGCCACCCGCGCAUGCAAACCCACGUCGCCGCCAUUCCCAUGCAUGCAUGCCUCAGGCGCAGACAACGAGACGGCCCAUCCGAAGUAGGCCCAUCCGAAUUAGGCCCAUCCGAAGUAGGCCAUUAGAACCCUCCCCCCACUCCACCUAUUCCCCUCGCGCUGUGGCCUCCCUCCCUCCAUCGCCAGAUCCCCCACUCGUCCCCCUCUGUCCGCCACCCCUGCACGCCGUUGGCGACUCCACCCCCACCGCACCCGCGCCCCCCCAACGGGAUCGGCCGGAUCCAUCUCCUCAACCACCGUAGGACAGCGCAGGUACCCCAGUUUCUGUUGACGUCUCAAUGGUAUCCAUGCUGAUAAUGCUAGGUAGAUCGACUGAGUGUAGCAAUUUUGUGCCACCAAUCCACUUUUCUGGAAAAUUCUUGCUAGAAAACUAUCUGAAACUUGUGAUGCUUGCUACUGUAUAAUAUAGGACUUUUCAAAGUUCUGUUAUGAUUGCACUAUUGGACACAUACAGUAGAUCUGCGUUUUUAGUUGUUAUACUUUAAGUUACCAUUAGUGCUUGGGAAAGGACGAAUUGGAUGCAUUCAGGUCUACAGUUGAUAGUGUAUCAUCAUAAUGUAGGUGCUGUGUUGUGUGAUUCUUCAUGCUGAGAACUUCAGCUUUUUCAGUUAUAGUGAAAGGCUUCUGUAUAAAAAACUACUAAAUGAUCACAAAAACUUCUAGACAACAUUCUGUACGAUCUGACCAAAUCUUGAACUAAAUGAUCACCAAAAGUUGAAGGAUUUUGCAUCACAUCACAACCAUAAGUGUUCUGCACCACCAUCAUAACAAUCACAUAACUACAUAACAAAAGCAAACUUGUUCAUCAUUACAAAAGCAAACUUUUUCAACAUAACAAAAGCUAACUUGUUCAGCAUUACAAAAGCAAACUUGUUCAACCACAUAACUGCAAACUGAGACACAUAAUACCACAAACAACUCAAUAUCCCCAGUAGUAGGGGUCAUCCCAAUGAGCCUCCGCCUCUUGCCAGUACUCCAAACCUUCUUUGAUGAUUUCAAUUUUCUUCCAUGCCUCGUAGGUGACGUACGCAUCUUUCUCUGCGUACUCGAUGAGGUUGUUUGGCAGUGGGUUGUCCCCCUAUAGUUUGUGGUCGAAUUCCUUGUUAAUCUUCUUCUUAAUUUCCUUGUAUAAUGGGUGGAUGAGGCUGGCUGCAAACUCAGCCAAAGCCUGCCACUUCUUUCCAUUUUUUGGAACUCUCCAUUUGCGCUGCAUGUCGACGUACUUGUCGGGGUUGAUCUCCAAACCAGACAAUUUCAGCUUCUCCUUGUCACCUCCAAUGGAGAAGCCAACAAAGGUGUACAGCUUCUUCUCCUGCAGGAGCAGGCGGAGUUCCUUGGGCCUGCAUCAAAUUAAUCUGGUGCAUCAAAUUCAUCUACUUCAAAAACUUCAGAAACUACUAAUUAGACAUAAAAUUCAGAACUAGUAUUGCAUCUACUCCAGAACUUCAGAACUAGUAUUGCAUCUACUUCAGAACUUCAGAACUAUUGCAUCUACUUGAGAAACUUCAGAAACUUCAGAACUAUUGCAUCUACUUGAGAAACUUCAGAAACUACUAAUUAGACAUAAACUUCAGAACUUCAGAACUAGUAUUGCAUCUACUUCAGAACUUCAGAACUAUUGCAUCUACUUCAGAAACUUCAGAAACUACAGAAACUACUAAUUAAACAGAAACUUUAGAACUUCAGAACUAGUAUUGCAUCUACUUCAGAACUACAGAACUAUUGCGUCUACUUCAGAAACUUCAGAAACUACUAAUUAGACAGAAACGUCAGAACUUCAGAAACUUUAGAACUGGAUGUUUUUACCAUUUGGUUGCCGCGGUGAUGUGGUAUGCCAGGACGAGAUCCUCCACGCAUAACUGUAGAACUGCAGCCUUUUGUGGAGGUUCAUCUUCCCUCGUAUACUCGACAUCAACGGCGAUCGACCGAGAAAGCAUGCCGCCGAGCCUCCUCCUGAUCUCGCAGAUCCUCUUGUCGGCUUCGUCUGGAUUGCUGGUGCAUACGACAUCCAGCUUCUCCUUCUUCAGAUGGAUAUCAACCAUGAGCGGCACGGUGUAGUCCUGCUUCUGCCCGAGGACCAGAACGUUGUCGUCGACCACCAGCGGCUCCUUGCCAGACGCCUCACCUUGGUGAUGCUUGGCAGACGGAGGGGAGUUGCUCCAUGAUGCCUCCGCCAUUCUCUUGGCAGACGGAGGGGAGUUGCUCCACGAUUCCUCCGCCAUUGCCCUCCUGGCCAGCGAUGGUGGAGGCAGAGGGGAGUUGCUUGACGGUGGAGGCAGAGGGAGGAAGAUGGAGCGGCAAUGGAAUGAGGGAGGCAGAGGGAGGCAGAUUGAGCGGCAAUGGAAUAGGAGGGGAGUUCCCUGCGUCGUGGGGAGUUGCCAGUGGAGGGGAGUCGUGGGGAGUUGCCAGUGGAAGGGAGGCAUGGGGAGUUGCCUCGAAAACUCAAACGUCCUGCCCUUUGGCCCUCGAAAAAUCUGGAGGGGAGACGUGGGCCCUUUGGUUUGUCCUGUUUCUGAAACAAAAAUAAAAUAACAGCCAUAUUUUGCUCUCACUGCAACCAUAUUAAGAGAUCAAAAAUGGCACCAAAAAGUCACUGCAGCCAUCCUAAAUGCCACGAAAACAGCACCAAAACAACAUCAGCCAAAACAGCAAAAAAUGCAUCCAUCGAUCGUUCUUUAUUUCUUCUAACAUUCCGUGUUCUGUGCAGUGAGAUAGACACAACGCUACAAAUGCAGGCUGACAACGCCCGCGAUUUCAUGACCAUCAGGACAGACGGCGGCUUCAUCCACGCUCCGGUCCCAUGAGUCGAGUCGAAAGUAGUGAUGCUAUGUGUAGUUCUGAAACAUUGAUUGGCUCAUGUUGUAAUUAAACUUUAAUGAAUUGUAUGUCUCUUUGGUUUGGACAGUCGUUAAACUUAGAUGUAAUCGAUGCUAUUUAUUACUAGGACCAUGAAUUGUGCUAUUAAUGUCUUGCUUUUCUCUUCCGAUCCUUUUGUUGCAUACUUAUUUAUUGCUUAUGUAUUGUCUGUUGUUUGGCUUGUGCAUAGAGAUGACGUCGUAUGUCGUGUACAAGGGUAAGGUUCCCGGAGUCUACGACGACUGGGAGGAGUGUCGGAGACAGGUUCACCAUUUCAGCGGUAACAGUUACAAAGGGUACACCACUAGGGCGGAGGCGGAAUCUAGAUACACUCGCUAUCUAGCGGGAGAGAGGAGGGAGCGUUGGAGGAACCGGAUGAAGACCAGUUUCAUCGCGAUGAUGCUCAUCGUGAUGACCGCAACUCUCUUCUAUGUGAUGGUAGUUUAGAUGAUCGAUAUCGACUUGUAAUAUGAACACAAACUCGCUACUCGCGGUCUCGAGGCUUGUAAUGUUCUAUCUUUGUUCGGUCUUUUGAAUUCGGAGACUAAUAUGAUGAAUUGUAUUCGGAGAGCUAUCUUAUAUUGUAUUGGAUGAAUGUGCUGUUGCUGUGUGGUGCUGUCUAUAUUCUGUCCAAUAAUAUAUUUUGUAACCUGUGAAAAUAUCAGAAAUGUGCAUUUUUCCAACCACCUCCAAAUCACCUCAGUUUUGGCACACAUGAUCUCUUCCACAAACUAAACUAGGUUUCCAAGUUUUUGUAUUUUUUAUAUUUUUUUUUGAAUUUAUAAUGCCCUCUAGACUGACUGCUGAAAACAUCGGUCUAUGCCUCAAGGGGGCAUUGUAAAAUAAUUUUUUUCAAAAUUUUCUUGCAUACACAUGUUUUGCACAUGUGGGUGACCAUGUACAAGAAAAUUUGGGUGAUUUGGAGGUGGUGGAAAAAUUCACGUUUUUUCAAAAAAUGGCUUAAGUUAGACCAAAUGGUCCCUCCGGGAAUGCGGGCAUUUUUUCGACCACCUCCAAAUCACCUCAGUUUUGGCACACAUGAUCUCUUCCACAAACAAAACUAGGUUUCCAAGUUUUUGUAUUUUUUNNNNNNNNNNNNNNNNNNNNNNNNNNNNNNNNNNNNNNNNNNNNNNNNNNNNNNNNNNNNNNNNNNNNNNNNNNNNNNNNNNNNNNNNNNNNNNNNNNNNNNNNNNNNNNNNNNNNNNNNNNNNNNNNNNNNNNNNNNNNNNNNNNNNNNNNNNNNNNNNNNNNNNNNNNNNNNNNNNNNNNNNNNNNNNNNNNNNNNNNNNNNNNNNNNNNNNNNNNNNNNNNNNNNNNNNNNNNNNNNNNNNNNNNNNNNNNNNNNNNNNNNNNNNNNNNNNNNNNNNNNNNNNNNNNNNNNNNNNNNNNNNNNNNNNNNNNNNNNNNNNNNNNNNNNNNNNNNNNNNNNNNNNNNNNNNNNNNNNNNNNNNNNNNNNNNNNNNNNNNNNNNNNNNNNNNNNNNNNNNNNNNNNNNNNNNNNNNNNNNNNNNNNNNNNNNNNNNNNNNNNNNNNNNNNNNNNNNNNNNNNNNNNNNNNNNNNNNNNNNNNNNNNNNNNNNNNNNNNNNNNNNNNNNNNNNNNNNNNNNNNNNNNNNNNNNNNNNNNNNNNNNNNNNNNNNNNNNNNNNNNNNNNNNNNNNNNNNNNNNNNNNNNNNNNNNNNNNNNNNNNNNNNNNNNNNNNNNNNNNNNNNNNNNNNNNNNNNNNNNNNNNNNNNNNNNNNNNNNNNNNNNNNNNNNNNNNNNNNNNNNNNNNNNNNNNNNNNNNNNNNNNNNNNNNNNNNNNNNNNNNNNNNNNNNNNNNNNNNNNNNNNNNNNNNNNNNNNNNNNNNNNNNNNNNNNNNNNNNNNNNNNNNNNNNNNNNNNNNNNNNNNNNNNNNNNNNNNNNNNNNNNNNNNNNNNNNNNNNNNNNNNNNNNNNNNNNNNNNNNNNNNNNNNNNNNNNNNNNNNNNNNNNNNNNNNNNNNNNNNNNNNNNNNNNNNNNNNNNNNNNNNNNNNNNNNNNNNNNNNNNNNNNNNNNNNNNNNNNNNNNNNNNNNNNNNNNNNNNNNNNNNNNNNNNNNNNNNNNNNNNNNNNNNNNNNNNNNNNNNNNNNNNNNNNNNNNNNNNNNNNNNNNNNNNNNNNNNNNNNNNNNNNNNNNNNNNNNNNNNNNNNNNNNNNNNNNNNNNNNNNNNNNNNNNNNNNNNNNNNNNNNNNNNNNNNNNNNNNNNNNNNNNNNNNNNNNNNNNNNNNNNNNNNNNNNNNNNNNNNNNNNNNNNNNNNNNNNNNNNNNNNNNNNNNNNNNNNNNNNNNNNNNNNNNNNNNNNNNNNNNNNNNNNNNNNNNNNNNNNNNNNNNNNNNNNNNNNNNNNNNNNNNNNNNNNNNNNNNNNNNNNNNNNNNNNNNNNNNNNNNNNNNNNNNNNNNNNNNNNNNNNNNNNNNNNNNNNNNNNNNNNNNNNNNNNNNNNNNNNNNNNNNNNNNNNNNNNNNNNNNNNNNNNNNNNNNNNNNNNNNNNNNNNNNNNNNNNNNNNNNNNNNNNNNNNNNNNNNNNNNNNNNNNNNNNNNNNNNNNNNNNNNNNNNNNNNNNNNNNNNNNNNNNNNNNNAGGGGGCAUUGUAAAAUAUUUUUUUUCAAAAUUUUCUUGCAUACACAUGUUUUGCACAUGUCGGUGACCAUGUACAAGAAAAUUUGGGUGAUUUGGAGGUGGUGGAAAAAUUCACGUUUUUUUCAAAAAAUGGCUUAAGUUAGACCAAAUGGCCCCUCCGGGAAUGCGGGCAUUUUUUCGACCACCUCCAAAUCACCUCAGUUUUGGCACACAUGAUCUCUUCCACAAACAAAACUAGGUUUCCAAGUUUUUGUAUUUUUUAUAUUUUUUUUGAAUUUAUAAUGCCCUCUAGACUGACUACUGAAAACAUCGGUCUAUGCCUCAAGGGGGCAUUGUAAAAUAUAUUUUUUCAAAAUUUUCUUGCAUACACAUGUUUUGCACAUGUAGGUGACCAUGUACAAGAAAAUUUGGGUGAUUUGGAGGUGGUGGAAAAAUUCACGUUUUUUCAAAAAAUGGCUUAAGUUAGACCAAAUGGUCCCUCCGGGAAUGCGGGCAUUUUUUCGACCACCUCCAAAUCACCUCAGUUUUGGCACACAUGAUCUUUUCCACAAACAAAACUAGGUUUCCAAGUUUUUGUAUUUUUUUGAAUUUAUAAUGCCCUCUAGACUGACUGCUGAAAACAUCGGUCUAUGCCUCAAGGGGACCUGCAUGUGAAUAGUGAUUCAUCAAGGCCUUGACAGCUACUGGCACAGUGGCUGCCGCCUGAUUUGCAUGCAGCGAAGAUGAACGUGCAUGGAGGUUUUUCAAAGAUUUCCAAGCACACCCGAGUGGGCCCCGCUUAUUUAAAAAAUACGUCAGUCAUUAUUGCUCUGUAAUGAAGAAUAUGCAUGAUGAUUAUGAAUAUGCAUGACAACCAUAGUAAGGGUGAAGAAUCAUAGUGCCCAAUUUGUCGAAAUACAUCAUCAUUCUUAAAGUUGGACAUCACAUGAUACACACAGAAAGUGGAAACGAAAGAUGUAGAACUAAUACAGUAACAUGGCAGUACAACCGCACUUCACUAGAUUACUGUCACGAUGAAAUAGAAUGUAAAGACCACGUCACACAAAGCUGAAUGGCACACGACUUUCUCUGGCUCAUCGUCGGUUCAUGCUGUAAGUAGAUAUCACAGUUCAGCCUCGAGAUCCUACACAGAAGAAUAGAAUAAAUCACAUGGACAUCAAUUAUGAGUAAAACACAUGCAAAAAAAAUAUGAACAUAUUUCGUACCUCUAGCAAUUUAGCUCAUUUAGGUCGAUUGUGACCUGGUUUCUUGCAAUAGCCACAGAUAUUCUGUGAUCUUGACUUCUUUGUCUUUGCCUGCGGCCUUUUCUUCAGUGCACCUCGUCCUGGCACAUGCACGGGAUCCAGAACCUUAUCAACUUUCUGCGAGUGCGGCAUCAACGGGCCAAACCUAAUGCUGUUAUGCUGAGCAUUAGUUGACUCCUUGCUGUCAGCUAGUUCAAAACUUCAUGCUUGCCAUGAUGUUGUGCUUGCAAAAGCAUCUUUAGCCGGUGAUAGUCCUCAUCAGAGUGGCAUGCCUGGAAACUUGCGACGUGACUACAAUUCCGCAACUCGCGGUACCUCUGCAGGCUUAGCGAAUAGUCAUACAUCUGGUUUUUUCUGGUAGGUGCGUAUGCACAUUUUGCAUUCAUAGUCCACCUAGUGGGAACGCAACAACCGGGCAGAAUUGUUUGUUUUAAAAUCCCCAAUAUGUAAAAAAUGUGGGAACAUGGUGUGCCUGCGCAUUCCAGCUUACGGAAGAACAACUCACCCUGUGCAAAAGACCUCCUUGCUCUUCAAUGCGCACUCCAAACUUUUUAUCCAUUCUUUCCUGCUUGGACACAACAUAAGUGGAAUCUUCUGAUCCAUCUAGUAUCUCUCUAGUCUGACAUUUGCUGACAGCAUCUAUGCUCCAUAAGACCAUCUUAAAGACCCUAGGUGUGAAAACUGUUACGGCGUGUUUCUAAAGCGGCGAAGCAUUUUCCUCUGUAAAUGGAACGGACUGCAAGGCUUCGACGUCAUGGAUAGCUUCGUUAAUCCGUCGCGACGCAAGGCAACGCUCAUAGUGCUCUAGCAUUUCAAACAACGACAUCUUACCCUCAAGAUGCGUAUGUAGCACAGAGUUCAAGCUCUCACUCCUUUGAUUGCUGCUCAAUCCUAGGAAACAACGCCCCUCAAGAUAUGGAGCACACCAUAACUUUCUCAUCUGAUACAUCUGAUGCAGCCAAGACUCCUCACUGGUUACUUUAUUCCGUUGUAAGAAUUGUAUCCAUUUUAUCUCAUGCUCUUCAAUGGAAGAAGUAUCAUAAAUGAAAGAUCUGAAUUCCUCCUUUACGUCGUCAUCAUGCAGAUGGCGUACAAUGUUCUGCUAAAUGUGCCAUAUACAUAGUCUAUGGUUUGAGUCUGGCCAGACCACCCUUAUUGGUCUCUGCAUUGUAAGGUCCCCAUCUGUGAUCACAGAUAUCGGAUGCUUCUGUGCCAUGCAAUCAGAAAAGGUCCGCAACAUCCACUCGUAUGCCUGGCUUGUUUCAUGAGAAAUUAUACCACAGCCAAAUAUAACAGUGCUACGGUGGUGAUUCAACCCGACAAAAGGCACGAAUGGCAGAUUGUAUUUGUUGGUUCUGUAUGUGCUAUCAAAAACAAUGACGUCUCCGAAAGCCUCGUAGUCAAGUCGCGAUUGACUAUCAGCCCAGAACAGUCCCUUCAGAUGGCCAUGCUCGUCUACCAAGUACUUGAAGAAAAAAUACACAUCUCGCUCUCGCCUCGCCAUCAUGUGCAUGAUCACCGUUUUAGCAUCACCGGCACUGAUUGUCUCCUGCUUAUUAGCAUGGCAGAAAUUGUAAAGGUCCCUCUUUAUGCAUCCAACCUUAUCAAAUCCACCGUAUUGAAAGCACAAAAUAUUCAUAAUACGGUAUUUACGGAUCCCGCAUUUUUUCAUGUCCGCAAUGUCCGCUUUUUGCUCAUCGCUAAUUCGUCUGUGCGAAUGCAGCAGACAAGAAAGAUCCCGUGGGGCUAGAGGAUGGCUGUGCUCAUCGAUGAAAUCCUUAACAAACCACCGACCGGUUUCCUCCUGUCUCGUAAUGACCAAUUUAGCAUUACACCCAACACGAGUUAAACUUCGUGGCCUUCUCUUUCUAUCUUCCAUCUUUCUUUUCAUGUGCUUAUCUUCGCGAAACCCUUGACGACUACACACAAUUUUCCUUAAAAUUAUGUAUUUGUUGGAUCCAUCCCACUCAACGUAGCUUUUCCUCACACUAAAACAUUUUUCAAGAGCAUAUUUCUUGUAGAAUUCAUAGCCUUCAGCCUCACUAUCAAACAUCUUGCUGACAACAUUUACAUACUCGAACAUACUCUCAUCACUUGCAUACGCCAUGUCUUCCUGCAUAUGACAUGUGAGGGAAACCAAUCAUCAACAUCUUUCUGUUUAUCAAUGUUGCAGGUGUAAAAUAGCUCAUAGGCAAAGACAAGUGCAUGGAAAAGACUUUGCUGGUUUGACAUGUGAGGGAAACCAAUCAUCAACGUCCAACUAGUUUCUCAUCUUCCUUUAAACUAUAUUUCAUGCCUAUGCAAACCUAAAGUGAUGAUGACUUUAAUAAACUAAAUUAAGUGAACUAUGGAACCAGUAUCUCAUCUUCCUUUAGUAUAUCUCAUCUCAAACGUCAACAUCUUACUUAAACAAACAUGAUGCGAUUAGCUCAAGAGAAACUAUGCCACGAUGAAGCUUUCCAUUCGUUGUUCUAGUCAGUACCCGGAUCUUGUGGGGUUGAGGUUGUACUGCAUGCACGGUGGAGGGGCGCAACGGCCAAGAGAACGAGCAGAACGCCAAGCCGAAUUCAUACCUUAAGGAUGGUACGCGCGAAGAGAUGGGAUCGCCCGCCGCGGUCGCCGCCGAUUCAGCCGGUGCAGAUCCGGCCUUCUUCUUCUUCGGUAACGGCGUGGGGGGCUGGGGUUGGUUGGGUGGAGGACGAGGACGAUGAAUUUAUUCCUCUCGCCGGGCAGGUCGAGGACGGAGAAGGUCAGGAGCGGGGAGCGGCGACGAAUAGAUCGGAGGAGGAUUCUGAACUGGAUCGAGUAGACAUGGAUCUGGUCCUCAGGUGAUCGGUUCAAGAAAAGAUAUUUCCCCCUGGACCAUUAUGCCCUUAUCGCAAUUAACAUAUUAAAUUUAAUCAAUUAAAAUUCCCCGCAAGAUCUGACGGCUAAUAAAAAUCAGACGUGAUCAGACAUGUAAGUACUGCUAAGUACUCCGAGUACUAACCCAAUCACCGUAAAACAGCUCAAUCAAAUAAGUUACAGGCAGUUUCUAUCAAAUGCUAACACUGGUACCAAGAAUAAGUUCUUGAAAAGUAUUACUACUGUAGUAAAAAUAACCAGAAGUUGUGUCCCUCCCUUAGUUCCUUUGCAUGACUCCGGUAAUUAUCAAAACAGAACCAUUUGAAAACUUACAUGCUCACGAAUGCACGUGUCUGGUCUAGUAUGGCAUGCUCCUCUAUGAUGGUAUCAUUUAUUAUGGAUAAAUGACCACAACUUCUUGCAGCAACCUGGACCCGACAUAUGAGAGGCAUUCAUGACAGGUUUGAACAACGUCCAAUACCGUUGGCAUUGUUGUAAAAAAAUCCAUGGAUUUAAAAAAAAUGUUCACGAUUUUGGGAACCUCAGCUUGCCAGCCGGAUUUCUAAAGUAAAAUCCAUCAAUUCCGAACAAAAUUCAUCAUAUGUGAAAAAAAAUUCAUCAAUUUUGAAAAAAGUUCACGUGUUUUUAAAGCUAAGGUGCUCCAACUCUUAGCUCAUUGAUCCCAACUCUGAAGCUUAGGUGCUCCAAAAUCAAGAAUCACUACAAACAAACACACAUAGAUCAUCAAUUUACUGUGACACAAAGUUUCAGAUAUAAAUUUGAUUCAUAUCUCCGGAAACAAAUAACACAAUUCUUUUAGAUUCUCUACAGGCUCGCAGGUUCGUCAUGUCAUCGUUCACCGGUGUAUCCGUCAUCAAAGGUCAAGAGGGGAGCUUUUGCAAGACGUCCACCGUCGACGCCAGCACGAACAGCGGGUACCACCUGCUUAUGGUCAAUGGCUACUCACGUACCAAAGAACAAGUGCCCAUCGGUGAGAGCAUCAACUCCGGUACUUCCGAGACAGGAGGCCAUGUUUGGUACCUCGAGUACUACCCAACGGCCAACGCUCGGCUUGCGUCGAUUUCAUUUUUCUCUAUGUUUCCCUUUUUCCAGGAAGACGAUGACGCGUUUGGUAACUUUGCACAAAUAAUCUGGUGUGCUAGUUAGAUAUUUCGUUUACUUUUUUUUGAAAAGGAGAUAUUUCGUUUACUAAAAUCUUAAUUAAUACAAGUCCAAUUCAAAAAUUUAUAUAUUAAUUAAAGUUAGAGUUGAAUUAGCAUGCGCAGUUUGGCAGCUUGCCGUAACCCAAGGUGAGUCCGAUUAGGAUUUGUGUGUUAGAGAUGGACUUGGAGUAGAAUAGAGAGCAGAUCAUCUGGCAAAUCAUGGUGGAACUGAUCGUAGUACGGCUUGUUGGCUUCGCAGAGGCCAUCCAUGUAUAGCUGAACUUUUGUCGGCUGAUUGUAACUCUACACUUUUGGAAUAAAACUCCCAUUUCACUCGCAAAAAAAAAGAGAUGGACUUGGAGUAGGACGUGUGUUAGAGAUGGUCUGAGUCCGAUUAGGGCUUUCUAUGUUGCUUGUCGGACGAGCUGUACUACGUAGGGUUAGAGAUAGAUAGAUCGUGUACGAGUAGGACCAGGUUCAAAUUAGUUGGUGUCCGUGUAGGACAUGAUUCGGCCAUGUGUUUAUAUACAAUACUCCAUAGCCACACGUAGAAACAAACGUGAGAUUUUUUGAGAGAUAAAACAAAAUUCAAGAACGACCAGCCGGCGGUGCCAGCUCUCUGUUUCUGACGACGCGCAACGUUGGCGCACAGCGAAGAGAGUAGCGGUGUCUCCGCACGGACAACGAUAGGCUCGUCAUGUCAUCGUUCACCGGCGUAUCCAUCGUUGAAGACCAUGAGGGGUGCUCUUGCAACACGUCGGCGGUCGACCCUGGCACGGACAUUGGCUACCAUCUGUUCAUGGUCAAGGGCUACUCGCGCACCAAAGAGUUGUUGUCCAUAGGCGAGAGCAUCAACACUGGUCCUUUCAUAGUAGGAGGUCAUGACUGGUUAAUCGAGUACUACCCUAACGGCGCAUAUCCGAGCUGCGCCAACUUCAUCUCUCUCUAUGUAUCCCUUUUCCACGACGAUGAAAAACUGGAUGCCAGGGUCAGUUUUAGUCUCGUCGACCAGGUUGAGAGGCAGACACCAAUGUACAUUCAUGCAACUAAUAGAGCUUGCAGGUUCGACAAUGAUGUUUCUUGGGGCACCAACAAGUUUUUGACAAGAGAGGCCCUUGAACGAUCGGCACAUCUAAAGGGUGAUUCUUUCACCAUCCGGUGUGACAUAAUGGUACGCAAGGAUCACAAUACUGAAGAUGCCGGUGGCCACGGCACCAAGGUGCUCCUCUCAGACAUAGACCAGCAUUUUAACAUUCUCCUUCAAACCAAGGUGGGUGCUGAUGUGACAUUUGAGGUUAGUGGUGAGAUGUUCACUGCACAUCGUUGUGUGCUUGCAGCCCGGUCCAAAGUCUUCAUGACACAACUCUUUGGUCCCAUGAAGGAGGACAUUACCACUUCCGGUGUCAUACAUGUCAAAGAUAUGAGAGCAAGCGUGUUCAUGGCAUUGCUUAGAUUCAUCUACACGGACUCAUGCCCUGAGAUAGAGAAGGACUACAUGGAGGAGGAAGAAAUGUCACAAGUUCUUGAAGAAGAACAAGAAGAUGGUACAGUAGAGGAUGAUGAAAACUGGCUACAAUGGCUUCAAGACUUGUUUGUGGCGGCAGACAUGUACGAUGUCGAACAACUCAAGCGCAUAUGUGAAAUGCGAUUGUCUGAUAACUUAAUUUUGAGCUCGGUGAUGUCUACCCUUGCUCUAGCCGAGCAGCACCACUGCCAGGGAUUGAAGGAGGCAUGCUUGAAGUUUAUUCAAGUCCAACCCCCCUGGUGCUUGCAAACAGUAACGAUGAGUGAUGGCUGGGAUCACGUAGUUUCAACCUAUCCCUCGGUUAUAAAGGAGAUUUUUUUCAAGCUUGCUUCGAACCAACGGAAGUGACACUCUUCUAUAUGGUACCGAUGUUCCUUAGUUAUACCUGAAGUGACCCUCUUAUAUACUGAUAAGGGAUCUUCUAGAGAUGUCGUAGUAUGUGUGUUUUGCUUUCAGUUUUCUCGUCAUGUAAAAUUAGCCUAUAUGCCGAAUCAAAAAAAUCGAACACAUGGACAAAUUGUCUCCUCAUGGAAUAUAUGGUAGGCGACAAAUUGAUCCGUAUUGCAGCAAUCUGUAAGAUUCACAGCUAGUCUUUUUAUCCUUGUAUAGUACUCUGUGUGUCGUCUCUUAUUAUUGCUUUGUGCCUUCCGUGUCAUGUAACCCAUUUAGUGAAGAAGAAUGUAUGCUAAAUCAGGAAAAUCCGUUUCUUCAUGGAAUGUAUAGUCUGCAAAUUAAGGUGUCCUCAGUGGUGGCAGCAAAAGUAGGCAAGUUUUGGUGGGAGUUUUUUUUAUUGAAUCCACAAAGGUGCGACUUACAUUCUAGUAGAAAAUAAAAUACAAAUUCAUGAAAUUUUGACUCUUAAUUGGCAUAUAAUAGUUUAAUUACCAUAAGUGUAACACCCACCGUGGCAAACAAACAAGGACGUGAGAAUUUUUUGUGCGAAUAGGCGAAAGCGUCUUACCCUCGGUGAAAACAAGACGAAUAGUUGCAGCUUUUACAACUGGACUAAAAGUAUCCUUAUAGUCGAUGCCAUACCGUUGUUUAAAACCUUUUGCUACAAGUCUUGCUUUGUAACGAUCAAUGGUUCCAUCGAAUUUUUCUCUUAAUCCUAAACACCCACUUGCAGUCAUUGAGGUUUUUAUCUUGCUGUGGAGGAAUCAUGUGCCAUGUGUUGUUUCUUUUUAGGGCCAUGUACUCUUCUUUCAUUGCUUUCUUCCAAUUAUCAUCACUAAGGGCUUCUUCAAGGGAAUAUGGCUCGCCUAGUUCACCUGUGGAACAUACCAACCCAAAUGUUGUCAUAUGUUUGUAAUUUACGGGUGGUAUUACCCCUUGCUAAAGACGGGUGCGGCGUGUCGUAGUUGGCUCCGGCACAGAAGAUCCCGUGGGAGCUACAGCAGCCGAUCCCAAGGUUGAUGCUGGUCACCAGCAGCAGCUGCAGCCGCUUCAGAAACAGAGGCUGGAUCCUCUGUGCACCGGGACGACGUAGCGACGUGAGACGGAGCCACACGCACCGCAGAAGAUCCCGCCUGGUGAGAUUCAUCACACGGCAAUGAUUGAGCCGGUUCCUCGCGCGUGGCAGGCGUGGGGCCCGUGCCAGGCGGCCGUCUCAGAUCCCGCCGCUUGUAGCAGACAAGCUGGACGGGAAAACGACCACCCGUGGGCCCUGGUGAGUGCGGGUCGUCGCCACCAGCUGCGUGCUGCCGCGUGGCGCAGGCGGGGCCGCCUGCUGACGCUCGGUCGGGUGCGGGAGAGGCAGCGUUGGGUGCGGAAUCCGGAGCGGAUCGCCUGGACCGAUCUGCAGGCGGCGAUCCCGGGGCGGAUCCUGCUGGCAGGUCUGCCACGCCUGCGGGCAUCGAUCCCGAGAGGGAUUUGCUCCCCAAAACCUGGCACAUAAAAUAUGGCCCUAUUGGGCAAUUUUCUUCGCUGUUUUCAACUCCGUUUUCUUAAGCGUGGCUCCUUGUAUCAUCACACAACUCAGGCAAAGUGGUGAGAGGGUUAGUCACGAAGCAUAGGCAGCCGAAGACACGAAGGUGGUCAUAUGUGGGUGCAACACCAUAGAGAAGAAAAUGCGGUGUGUGUGGCGCAAUGACACGAGAGGGACGUCGGUUGAGGAGGUAGGUGGCUGUGUGUAGGGCUUUUUAGGGCCAUGUACUCUUCUUUCAUUGCUUUCUUCCAAUUAUCAUCACUAAGGGCUUCUUCAAGGGAAUAUGGCUCGCCUAGUUCACCUGUGGAACAUACCAACCCAAAUGUUGUCAUAUGUUUGUAAUUUACGGGUGGUAUUACCCCUUGCUAAAGACGGGUGCGGCGUGUCGUAGUUGGCUCCGGCACAGAAGAUCCCGUGGGAGCUACAGCAGCCGAUCCCAAGGUUGAUGCUGGUCACCAGCAGCAGCUGCAGCCGCUUCAGAAACAGAGGCUGGAUCCUCUGUGCACCGGGACGACGUAGCGACGUGAGACGGAGCCACACGCACCGCAGAAGAUCCCGCCUGGUGAGAUUCAUCACACGGCAAUGAUUGAGCCGGUUCCUCGCGCGUGGCAGGCGUGGGGCCCGUGCCAGGCGGCCGUCUCAGAUCCCGCCGCUUGUAGCAGACAAGCUGGACGGGAAAACGACCACCCGUGGGCCCUGGUGAGUGCGGGUCGUCGCCACCAGCUGCGUGCUGCCGCGUGGCGCAGGCGGGGCCGCCUGCUGACGCUCGGUCGGGUGCGGGAGAGGCAGCGUUGGGUGCGGAAUCCGGAGUGGAUCGCCUGGACCGAUCUGCAGGCGGCGAUCCCGGGGCGGAUCCUGCUGGCAGGUCUGCCACGCCUGCGGGCAUCGAUCCCGAGAGGGAUUUGCUCCCCAAAACCUGGCACAUAAAAUAUGGCCCUGUUGGGCAAUUUUCUUCGCUGUUUUCAACUCCGUUUUCUUAAGCGUGGCUCCUUGUAUCAUCACACAACUCAGGCAAAGUGGUGAGAGGGUUAGUCACGAAGCAUAGGCAGCCGAAGACACGAAGGUGGUCAUAUGUGGGUGCAACACCAUAGAGAAGAAAAUGCGGUGUGUGUGGCGCAAUGACACGAGAGGGACGUCGGUUGAGGAGGUAGGUGGCUGUGUGUAGGGCUUCAACCCAAAAUGGUGGUGUGAGGUUGGCUUGAAGAAGGAGGGUGCGCAAGACAUCAUUUGUGGUGCGAAUCAUGCGUUCCGCUUUGCCAUUUUGGGGGGAAGUAUGGGGGCAGGAGAAGCGAUAAGCAACGCCGUUGGAGGAGAAGAAGGCGCGAAGAGAUGAGUUGAUAAAUUCACCACCAUUGUCACAAUGUAUGCUUUUGAUGAUUACAUUGAAUUGGGUGUAAAUAAACGUAAAAAAGUGUUGCAGGACCNNNNNNNNNNNNNNNNNNNNNNNNNNNNNNNNNNNNNNNNNNNNNNNNNNNNNNNNNNNNNNNNNNNNNNNNNNNNNNNNNNNNNNNNNNNNNNNNNNNNNNNNNNNNNNNNNNNNNNNNNNNNNNNNNNNNNNNNNNNNNNNNNNNNNNNNNNNNNNNNNNNNNNNNGCACCACAAGAUAGUAUUAGAAACCAGAGAAACUAACAACAAGUGAUGUCCAUAAAUCAUAGUGUAUUAAAUCAAAAGGGGCAUAAGUUUUGCUAAAAGAAGAGGCAAAGGGUAAACGAGGCUGCCGACCAAGUUGGCAAGCACUACAUGGCGUGUGGGGAGCCUUAUUACAAUCUAAUUGUUUAGACAGGGAAGAAAAUAUGUGGACGCCGGGAUGCCAAAGGCGACGAUGCCACAAGUCCGAGGGGGUGGCUGCAAGGAGAGCGGACGCCGGCGCCGGUUUAUUGCCAACGAUGGGGUAGAGAUCGUCGUGGCUAACGGAGAUCGUGAGAACUCGUCGAGUGCGAAGAUCCUUCACAAGAAAACCACACGGGUAAAAUUCAAUAGAGCAAGAAUUAUCUUUAGUGAAUUUACGAACAGAGAUGAGGCUAGUGACUACAUUGGGGGAGACAAGAAUGUUGGUGAGGCGAAAAUUAUGAGGGGAGAGGGUGGUAGAGCCCGUGGCAGUGACAGGAAGAUGAUGCCCAUUACCGAUAACAAUGCUAGAAGGUAAAUGCGAAAAUGAAGAACUCAACGAGGUCAGGUUACCUUGGGUGCCCGUCACGUGCGAGGAAGCGCCACUAUCGAGAAACCACUCGGGAGCCGGGGGCGUGGCGUAGCCGCCGUUGCUGAAGGCGGAGUUGAGCAUGGCGAGGUGGUCCCACGAGGGCUGUGGGGGCUGAUAGUAGGGAGUGGACGGCACCGGCGAGGGUGUCUAUGCAGGAUACGCCUGGGCGUGUGCGCCGGGUCGGGGCCCAAGAACACCGGCGGUGUUCGGCGGAAUCCAGCCAGGGCGGGUCGUCGGGAGAGCCAUCCCGUACGGGGCAAAGUACCCCGUGAAGGGUGAGAACGAAGGCGCCUGCUGACCGCGCCCGGAGUGAUCGCCGCGCCCACGACCACGACCGCGCCCAUGCCCGUGGCCGCGGUCACCACGCCCGCGACUGGAGGAGUGGGGCGGCGGAUGGGGAGCGUCGGAGGCGCGAUCAUAGGAGCGGGCAGCCGCGCGAUCACCCUGGCCGCGACCACCAGAGGAACCGGCCAAGGAACCGCCGCCCGCCAUGGCGAACGCGGAGGCGCCUUCCUCCGCCACGCGUUGUGCCUGCGACUCCUCCGCAAGGACAACACGGGAGAGGACGGUGUCAAAGGGGAGGCCCUGAUCACCAAGGACGACGUGGAUGGUGUCGAGCCGCUUGUCGAGGCCGUGAAGAAACUGCGUGGUGAGAUCCACCUCGGUAACGGCAUGGUCGAUGUCAGUGAGUGCGUCGGUGAGGAGUUUGAGACGGCUGGCGUACUCCGGCACCGAGAGGUCACCCUGCUUGAGGUUGCGGUAUUGGCGGUUGAGGAUCAUGAAGCGGACGUCGCGAUUGGCGAGGAAGAAAUCUUUGAUCUUGUGCCAGAGGGCGUAGGUGGUGGUGGCGCCAACAACGUGGUCAUAAUGGUGUCCGAGAGAGUGGCAUAGAUCCACAGAACGACAUGGGCGUCGAGCUCAAGGUAUUGGGACGGAGCAUUGGGAGGUGGAGGGUGGUCGAGGAGGUAGGAGACACCUUAGCGUACCAGGACCAUCAGGAAGAAAGUCUUCCACUUAUGAUAAUUGUGAUCGGCAGGGUUGAGGAGGAACUUGAUGUGGUUCGUGAUGUGAUCACGAAAAAUGGGGUGGGGAACGGCGGUGGCCGGCGAGGGGGUAAGGGAGGGGCCGUCGGUGGUGAAGAGAGGGGAAAAUUGAGAGGGUGCCGUGGCGGGGAAGGAGCCGCUGAAUAGGGUGGGGGACGUGCCAAAGACGAAGGGAGGGGUGGUCGGGGCGGUGGCCGGGGAGGUGCCGGCGGCAGGCGCCGAGGAGGAGGAGAGGGUGCCCGGCGACGUGGCCGAGCUCGUGGCGGCGGCAGAGGAGGAGGUGGUGUCGUUCGCGGCCAUGGCGAGGGUCCUGGCGACUGAUUCCAAGUUGGAAAGUGAUUUCCUUAAUUGAUUCUGUUUACAUCUCAAAGUAUACAUAGGGAGAGAAAGUCCCGAGAGAUAUGGCACGCAGGCCCUCAGAUCCUACAAUCUAGGAUCGUUACAACGUGCCAGUUAAUGUUACAAAUGGUACAUAAAUAUACAACUUAACACAGCACCCCAUACGUGAUGCAUGGUGUUCCAUGGCCUUGCUGCUGGCAGAUGUCGAGGAUGUUGGUGGCGUCGUACAUAGUGCGCUUGAGCUCGGUCACCCAGCCCUGCACGCUGGUGUCAGCGAUGCGUCUCCUCUCGGCGUCGGCCAGGAACUUCUUGAGAUCCCCAAGCUUGACGCCCAUCUUGUCGAUCUGGCCGGUGACGCCGAGAAGCAUCCCCACCUCGUCCUCCACCACCUGCUUGAGCAUGUCAGCGACAUAGGACGCGAAGGCAUCCAGCACAAUGGCCAUGGUUUCUGUUUCUUGUUCUCAGGCUCAGGCCGAAGGUUGGUUAAUCAACAGUGUGUCUCUGUGUGUGUCUGUUGCCUUGGUUAGUAGGUGGUACUUAGCUUAGGCUCCUUGCUGGCAAGCCUUUGUUCCUUCCUUGAGUGACGGCAAAGCAGUGGCGGCCGUGGCAAGAAAGCAAUUGGUCUCCUUAUUCAUCCAUGCUCGCGGUCGCGGACAGAAUCCUUGCAGUGGACAUGCAUUUCCUUGCUGGCCGCCUGAGCGCUCGGCUUGGGCUAGCUAAUAGGGAAAGGGAAAGUAGUGGCUGAAUCCCACCUCGAUGCACCCACGCAAGAAAACAUAUCAAAGUAUUUUGAAAAAAUUUAAAACUUUGUGGAAACGAUCAUCAACAAAUAUUAGAGAUGCUUGCCAAGUUUGGUGGUCAAAUGACAUCCAAGAAGAACUGUACAAAAAAAAUUAUAAAAAUUUUGGUCAAAAAGUGCACAUACAAUUUGACUAAUUUUGAGUAAUAUUUUUUGUAUAGAGCUCCGCGGAUGUCAUUUGACCACCAAACUUUGCAAGCCUCUCUAACUUUUGUUGAUGAUCACUUUCACAGAGUUUCAAAAAAUUUCAAAAUAUGUUGGUAUGUUUUUUUUUUGCAUGGGUGCGCUGAGGGUGGUUGUAGAAAAACCACUCUCAAUAGGGAAAAGAGGGACGAGAUCGCCGCGGCCGCAGUCUUCCACCGCUCUCGGCUUGCACUUGAUUUCGCUUUUUUAUUUCAGGGGUGUGUAUAUUAAUUCUUUGCCAAGUCAGCUCAUUACAAUUCGGUCUAGCUGUCAACAAGUGAUUGAAUGGGCCAAAUCCUUUGAUCAGUGUUUUCUGCAAAAAGAUUACUAGAAACACGGUGAAUUUUGCAACAAAUCAGCGACUAGGUGGAUUACUGCAAACCUAGCCGCAAUGUGAUAGUUUUGUGCAAUUAACUCUGAAUGAAAUCGUAGAAUCGAAAACAAUAGUUCCUUUUCCCGGGCACGCUGAAUCUUUGCCUACCUGAUCCGAUAGUCAUGCUCUUGAGAGAGAGAAUUUGCAAAUUAGUGCAAGUCAGUGAAAGAUCUAGCUUGCAAUAUCGGAUAUCAAAAAUAAAUCGGAAAUCUAUAUUUUGUAUGCAAUACUUGAAGGGCUAGUUGAAAGGGUUCCAUAGCAGGUAAAUACCACACGACGUAUUCCUCGUCCCUCAUCAAGUUUUCAACUCGUUUCCAUUUAUCCAGCGAAUGCAUUUCAUACACCUUCAAUCAUUUCCAGCAUUGCAAAUGAUUCAUGGGGACUUCCUGCGCAACAACCCGGGAUAGUAAAACACCAUCACACUGGCUUCCUUCCUGCGGCCUCGCUUGCUAUUACAGCUCUCAGACGCUUUCCUCGGCGACCAGGUACCACACCCCUAGUACGUAGUCUCCCUGCUGUCAUGCGCUUUCAGAAGAUAUACCUGCGUUGUUCAGAGGAUUCAUUACAUGCGUGGCCACACUGACGGAUUCCACGCGAGCUGCGGGUUAACGUAACUACUUUGCGCAUAAUGGGUGCAUCGCCGAUUUAUGCACGAUGCAAAAUCGGACGAUGUCCUGAAGUUUGCUUCCUCACAGCAACGGUUUGAUUAACAACAUCGUGCAGAUGACGUCAUGUCUAUAGCAACAUUCCUGGGUUAACAAAUGCAGACCACUGCGUUUCUUUUGCUUCCAGAAAGUAAGCGAUCAAAUGCAUAACUUACAAGGAAUACAAAGAGUUCCAAGUAAUGACUGCCUCCGUCCCUGCUAAUUUCUUACAUGACUUGUAAAUCAGAAUUCGAAUAUGUAACCAAAAACAAGAACUUCAGAAGUAUUGGUCUUAGAAAACUACCACAUUUAACGUUUCUCUAAAAGCUACAACUUUUGUUCUAAAAUUUUGCUAAAACUAUUCACUCGGAAGCAUAUUAAUUGUCGCUCAUCCUCUAUAACACUAAACUCCUUAGUUUUGAAGGCCUCACAAUCAAUUGAGGUCUUCAAUUUGAAAUUGGAUCAUUCAAUUUUGAUCGGGUCAACAAUUUCACAAGGAGCUCGCUCAUUCUCAAUUUUUUAAUACACUAUGCUCCCUAAUUUUAGAGCUCUCCCAUUCCAUUGAGGUGUACAAUUUUAAGCCUUGAUUUUGACUCUGUCAAUCCUUGGUUGUUGCAAUAAAAUCUUUAACUUCAUUAAGCUCUCUAAUUUUGAAGCCCUCUCAUUCAACUUAGGUCUUCAAUUUGGAUUGGAUACACGAUUGAUUGGGUCGUUGAUCUGGGCUUCAUGGUGGGAUCUCUUGGUUAAUGGGUCCCUUGUUUAGUGCCCGGAUUGAUGUGGGCCUUCCUUAACAGAAGGAAGUGCCACCUACGAUACAUGUGGCCAACGAUGUAAGUAACUUUCUCAUGUAUUUGUAUUAAUUAAAAGACGCCCUUCAAUCGCACGGCCAAAAAGAUCCACCCAAACACCAUAAUAAAAUAAGAAAAAUGAUACACUCAUGGACAAUUCACUAUGGAUUGGUCGUACUAAUUAAAUACUCUCCCACCAAUCACUUCCUUGAUUUGACCGUAAGGCCACGCUUCCCCUAAUCUCCAACCAUAAAUUGACACAUCCAUCUGUAACCAUGAUUCCACAAAGUUUGUCGGUACGUGUAACAUCUCUGAUAAAAAGAACACACACUUCAUUGUUUCCCCCACACGCCAAACCAACUAGCACGUAAAUAAUGUUCACAACUUAGAAAAAAUUACCACGUAAAAAUAAAACAUGUCCAACCCCAAGAACAUAAGCGGUGCAGCAAAGCGCACUGCCCUUCUAGUUUAGUACUAAAUCUGAGACAAUUAAUAUGGAUUGCAGGGAGUACAACUUUUAGGUAGUUGCCCUUUUAGGAUUUUUAUAACAUGGAUUGUGACCAAGGUUAUGGAUUCCGAAUGGACGAAUUUUCUCAUGGCUGGGCGAGAUUCUCGGUUACCAUGGUUACCGAGAAAUACCGAACAUAUUUCGGACGAAAUUUAUAACUAAAUUUUGAAUUCAAAUUCUUUUGAAGUAGAUAUAGAAUUGUGUACGUGCUAAGCGUACGUAUUCUAAAAAAUAAACCAAAAAAUGUGCAAAAGAGGGGACUCAAUCUGCCGUCCUCUCGAGGAGAGAAGUAGACGGCUACCACCACGCAACAGCUACGUUUAGUGAUACUCUUGAGAUGCUAUAGUAUUGUAGUAUACUUUGGACGUAAAAAAAUCAAUUUUUGUUUCGUAUAUGUUUCAUUCUUUUCUUAUAGCAAAACCUAUUACUCUUCCUUUUUCAUACUAUCUUGGCAGUUCUUUGCUUUUUUUCAUACUAUCUUGGCAAUUUUAAGAAUUUUAUAGUUCAGAGGAUGGCACUUUUAUUUUUGAGAGGAUGGCAUCUUUAUUUUUAAUGGCAUGGCAGUUUUAUUAGUAAGAACAUGCCAUUUUUAUUUAUAAUAGGAUGAAAAUUUUAUUAUUGAGAGGAUGCCAUUUUUAUUUUUAGUGGCAUGAUAGUUUUAUUAUUUUAGAGGAUGGCAUUUUUAUUUUUUUGUACUGCCACUUUUUUUUUGUACACAAGAUUUUUGGGUGAUAACUUUAAAUGUGCCAACUUUGUGGGUGUAAAUAAAUCGGCUCAUUUAAAAAUUAAAAUUCUUACAAUUGUUUUUUUUUCAAAAUCAGAUUUUUGGGCCAGCACCUUUUUUUCCUACGUGUUGCACAAUUGGGCCAGCUGGACCUCGUUCGAUACAUCACCCAGCCCCAGUGAAUGGAAAUGUUUGCUGGUCCGGAAUUACUCGUCGUAGAAAUGGAUAUACCUAGACAUAUUUUUAGUUCUAGAUAAUCCAUUUCUAAGCAUUCAUUUUCCAUGAGUUGCACGAGAAGUGUAAAAGAAAACUGGGCCUUAGUCUGAAGCCCAGCCCAGCAGGGCAGUUGAUGAGCAACACUGGAGCCCAUCGAUCUACUCCUCAUCCCAUCUCGUCUCUGAUAUUUUUUUUUAUAAAAAAAACUCAUUUCUCUGCAGCGGUGGAGGUGUCCAGCACGGCAGCGAAGCAGCCGCGGCGGCGAGGGCUCUCAGGAAGCUAGGCGCGGCAGCCGGCGAGGGCCAGCCUCUAGCAGCAAAGCGGCGACAAAGCGCACCGACACUCCGAUCCUCUCUGUUCUCCCAGGCAAGGCAUAUGUAAUUUCUUUCCCCCGAUUUCACCUCACUGUCUGUCCCUGUAGAUCGAGAGGCACUAAGAGGUUAUAGCAUCUGAACCUCUGAAAUCCUCAAUGUAUAUGCAACUAGUAGUAGUAUACAACAAGUCAAUAAAUAUAUAGAAUGUAUGUGUACUUUUGGUGCUUAUAACAAUCUCUAUUGUCACUUGUACCCAGGCCGGCGAGUGUCACUUGCUGCAGGAACAAGUUUUAUCAGACUUAAUUGGAACAAGAGGGGUGCUCCGCCAAAAGCAAAGGAAAGCAUGUACAGCUGCACAUCCUGGCUGCAUUAAUUUGAAUAUUUCCUACGUACAAUGUUUGCUAGUUGUGUCUUAACAUGAAAUGGACUAACUACAUACAUCAUGUAAUGGACUAACUACUAAUCAUAAAAAUCAGAUUCAAUGAAAUUUUGUUGAAAUUUUUAACCCUGAUAUCGUCUGCCAAAAUUAAGAUAGGGUUGCAGGAUAGUUUUGACACCUUCUUCGCAUUCCAGUCUCUCCCAGCAUCGAGCAUCAUCAAACCGUACCUCCUUCAGCUUUGGAGGCAAACUGUCCGACCAGAAAGGAAGCCUCUUCAAUGCCAGACUACCUUCAAGCUCAAGUCGCUCUAGGGAUGGGAAUUUCAUACCGUUGUCCCCAAUAGUUUCCAACGAUUUGGUAUAAAUAAGAACGAGAAGCUUGAGGCGAGGAAAUGUUUUUGUCUUGUCCUGUCCAUUGCACAAUUUGUCACCGUGGCACCUCAUAAAUGCUUGCACCAUACCAUCACAGGAAAUUAUAUGAAGUUGUUCAAGGCGAGGCAAAUACAUAACCCAAGAGAGGUGCAAUAGCUGUUGGCACAAAAACAAUUCCAAAUAAGUGAGCCUUUGGAAUAUAAAUGCCGGAGUUGCUCCCAUCCACUUUAUCUCUCUCAAGGAUCUCAUAAAAGUUAAGCUGAGUUUGUUGAGAGCACCAAAAUGGUUGUUUGGUUGUUCCGUGUCAUGUUGUACUACUGUUAUUUCUCGAGUGUCAAAUUCUUCAUUAAUAUCCAAUUCAUUGAUAUCCACUUCAUACAAGGUCCUUCGUGCAAAGUCCAUUGAUAAAAUACGAGUGAGUGCACAUACGUCAUUCAGAGCCAAAUAUCUAACAGGGAGGCUAUCCGCUUCUCCUAGUGACUCAAACUGAGCUAAAUCUCGGACCAAAAUACCAAGCGCUUUCAACUGAGAUAGGGUGCCCAACUCUCGGUAUAGGAAUUGGGUACAUUUUCUUAAGAAACUUCUCAAGUCUAUUACCUGCAAUGCUUUAAGGCUAGACAUGACCCCAGCUGGUAUUCUCACGGAACCAAUACCAGACUUUAGGUACAAGAACUUGAGGUUGAUGAGGUUUCCAAAGGAGGGAGGCACUUCAGUUUCCCCAAAUUGAUUUUCCGACAAAUCAAGGUAUUCCAGCUUUACCAAGGAACAUAAUUCUUCCGGUAUCCCCUUGAGGUUGUUUCCGCUCAAAUCCAGAUAUGUCAGUGAACUGGAAUUCUUAAUUUCUUCAACAAUUAAGCUUUCAUCAAAUUCGUUGUUCCGAAGGCACAAGAUCCUCAAUUUUAAUGGAUCAAGAUUAAACCUGAUAGGAAUUCUGUUGAACAUCAAGGAGAUGCACUCAGCUUUGCUCGAAAGGAUAAUAACUUUUUUGUCUCUGUCACCUGGUGCCGCCACAAUCCAUUUGUCAUUAUUCUCACCACAGUCACAAGAAAUCCAUAAAGCCAUAUCACGAAUCACAUCAUGCACUUUAACAUAACCAUGUGAAUUUUCGAAGGAAGAUCCUGGGCGAACAUCGCUGCCAUCUAGCAAACAUGCAGCUAUAAGGUCAGCUAUCAAACUAUAUGAUUUUCUGAAGGAAGAUUAUAUGUCAUGCUCAUUGACUAGACCUAAGCCCAUCCAGCAUUGAGCAAGGUUAACUUUGCGAAUGUUCUCAUCCUCUGGCCACAGUGCACAAGUCAAAAAACAAUCUCUUAAGGUCUUGUUUCUCAAAUUGUCAUAACUAAACUUCAGCCGCCUGAAAACAUUAGUUUCCAUUCCCAGUUCUAUUGGGUCUUUGUCAUCAGCGCAGCAUGACUGCCGCAUAUAUUGGAUGGCAGUUUCCCAUUGAUACUCAUCUUUCCGAUACAUUGCAUUUCCAAUAGUUAUCAAAGCUAAUGGCAAGCCUUUCAGUCCCUUCAUAAGUUCUCUAGCAAGAGCUUCAAUAUGGGGACUAGAAAGAGUUUCGGCACCAAUAUUUUCUUCAAAUAGCUGCCAUGCCUCAUGCUCCUGCAGAUAUGUGACUUUUAACUCUUUCUUCACCUUCAUUUGGCCACAAACUUUUCUUAAUCUUGUUGUUAGCACCACUUUUCUAUUGAGUUUGUUUACUUUUCCAAGGGGGUAUGGUAUCCCAACUUCUUCUAGAUCAAUUUCGUUCCAGAGGUCAUCCAAUAGUACAAGAAAGCUUUUCGUUUUCAUGUACUCAUGUAUAGUAAGACCAUUAGGACCAAUACUUUUCAGCCUGAGCCUUUCUAUGAUUUGUGACUGGACCUUUUCCACUUGGCACCCUCUGGAGGCAGUUACAAAGACAACAAAAUCAAAGUCCAUGCCCUCUCCAAAUGAGUUAUUGAUGUUUUUGAGAAGAUGUGUUUUCCCGACUCCACCUGGACCCCAAAUUCCAAUCAUUCCCACUUUGGGAUCAUCCUUAAUGUACUGGAGAGCAUCUUGAAGGUUACGGUUCUUAGCUGACAUAGAUGGACCAGGCAUCUCUUGGACAUGAGGUGGCAUUGACUCAACUGCAACAGUACUAGGACAAAUACUAAGACAUUCUCGAACCUCACGAAGCUUCUCAGAUGCCUCCAUGGCAACAUCCUUCUUCAACUUAUAGUCCACAGAGAUUACACGCACAACAUCAAUGAUUUUGGCCACUUUUUCCAGCCAUCUGUCGGCCUCAUUUGUUGAUUUCUUGCCUUCCCGCUCAGCAUUCUUAAUCUUCUGACAUACAUCCUUUUUUUCGCGAUCAAGUCUUCGGUGGAAUCCUCGAGACUUCCCAUAAUUCUUUCCGCCUUCAGGUUUAAAAAUAAUAUGCAUAUAUUAGCACUCAGUAAUGGCAUUAAUACUAUUUAGAAAUUUUAGUAUCGAAGCAAGCACUUACCAUACAUAAUGGGUUAUCCUUUCGAAGGUUUGAUCUCUUUACUGCAUCAAUGACAUCUUCCCACUGCCUUUCAUUUCUGCUUCUUCGCAUCAUCUUCCCGAAAUGUAUCAGCUCUGAUGGUCGGCCAAUUAGUUCUCUCACGAGAUCCUUAGCAAGUACCCCGACGAGGGGAUCAGUAUAAAGAUUCUCCUCACCAAAACUUUGUUCAAAUAGCUGGUGUGCCUCCUCCUCCUCCAAACCAAGCACUUGUAUAUAUUUAUCCACACUCAUCAUAUCACAUAUGGAUUGUGAUCGUGAAACGAUUAGCACCUUCCUCUUCUUUUGGUCCACAACUCUAAGAGGGUGUGGAAUGCCAACUGCUGAAAGGUCUAUCUCCUCACAAAGGUCAUCCACCAACACCAGAAAACUUCUUUUCUUGAGAAGUUCAUAUAUUUGAGCUGUCACAUUAACAUUCUGGUUUAUACCGAACCUGUUUAUGAUUUGAGAUUGAACUUUUUGCACUGUGCAUUCACUCAAGCCCUUAAUAAGGAUAACAAUAUCAAAGGGGCAAUAUUCAAGAAAUGAAUUGUUUAUCUUUGUGAGAAGAUGUGUUUUCCCUACUCCACGUGGACCCCAUAUUCCAAUCAUUCCCACCGUGAGGUCAUCCUUAAUGCACAUGAGAGCAUUCUUGAGAGUACGCUCUCUGCUUGGCGGAAGUUGAGCAGAGUGGGUGGACAAAUCUACGACAGGAGGUGGAGGUGGUACGCGUGUGACAUUAUCUGGUACCGGUACGCUACUGUUAUAUUGUCGCACAACAUCCACCUUCUCAGCCGCUUUCUUGCUGGUUUUAUAGUUUCCCCAGCAAUUCAGGGAGCACCCAAAGCUUCUGCACCUCUAAUCAAAAGACUCGCGGUUUGCCGCUUCUUCAGAUAUGGCUUGCUCCGCCCUUUGCACCCACUCCUCUGCUUCAUCUGUCGGUAUCAGGCCAUUCAUUUCGCCAUCUUCAAUCCUCUAUUUGACGCGAAGCAAGUUGCCACUCAAAGUCUCAGUUUCAGUCCUGUGAUUUGUCACGUUUGUGCGAGCGGUGAAGCAAUACGUGGCAUUUUUGGAGAAGAGCGUAUAGAAUGGACUUAUGACCGUGUUGACAGUAUUUCCGAGCAAGGGACCAAGCGCCGGUGCCUCAAUUGGCAUUUUUGGCACUUGUCCGAAGAAUCAGUACUGCAAGGCAGACAAUUGUUGUGUCUCAAUGAUGUAUAUGGCAAGUAAAAACACCAAUCAAUUAAGUUUAUGAAAAGCAUAGACUGCAUCUGCAUGCAAUGGCAGAUGAAGCGCAAGCUUUGAGAUGUUGAAUACUCAUAAAUCUUGUGUGAUUAUGUUUGAACUUGUGCAAGUUUACACUGUUAUACUACUUGUAACCCAAUAUGUCUUGCAUGAUUGUACAGGCUAACAGAUCCCUAUGAAGGACUUUUCUAUAUGGAAGGUGUAUUAUAUACUCCCUCCGUCUAGAAUUACUUCUCGGAGAAAUGGAUACAUCCAUUUUCCGGCAAGCAAUUCCGGACGGAGGGAGUAUAUGACUGCAUUAGAAAGGAGUUGCGGAAAUAUGUUCGAUUGUGGAGAUAACACUUGUUGUAAUAACAAAUAAACUCGCAACAAAGUGCUUACUGUGUCUCUUAUAAUAAUUGCAGGUAAACAAAACAAUCUUGGUAUAUAUGUUCCUCCAGGAGAACUAAUCUUGGUAUGUAUGUUCCUCGAGGAGACCUAACCGCACAAAUGAAAACAUGGCCACGAGAAGAACUUGUUUGAGUUUUGUUUCUGCAUUCAAAUAGGACACCGAUGUUAGACGAUGAUGGGAAAUCUUGUGUGAUUCUCUUUGAACUUGUGCGAGUUUAUAGUGUUAUACUAUUUGCAAGAACACUGGAUGGGACCAAAUCUAUCUUCUGUAAUUGUACAUGCUAACAGAUCCCUGUGAAGAACUUUUCUAGCAACUGAUUGUAGUAUUCGGGCCAUUCUGUUUAAAGAACUUCUCUAGGAACUCACAAACAUAUAUUUUUUACUUUUUGCGGAAGAACUGACAAACAUAUCAAAAUCUUCUUCUAACAGGAGUUAAUAUAACCAGUGGAGCCUAAAAACUUGAAAUAACUGUUCAUAUCAACAAAAUAAUUAAGGAGUUAACAAGGGAGCAUUACUGAAUUACUUGGUAACAAUAUUUUUUUUCAAUAGUAGCCAGGUGUGUCCUUAGUUUGGUGUUGGUGUGCCCCUCUGAAUAAUUGCUUUUUCAACAGUAAUGGACAAGUUUUUAUCAGUUUUCUGGCAGAAGCAUAUUGAGUAUCUAGAGACUAAAAAAUUCAUCAAGAGGAGAAUUAUCUGCUAGCGUAAGACAAAGUAGAAUAUAUAUCACGGGUGCGGCUAAUCUGCACCCGGGCUCAUCUGCACCCACGCUUAGUAAAAAAUUCAAAAAAAAUACUAGAAAAAUUCAAAAAAUUCCAAACUUUUUUGUGGUGGUAGAUAAUUUGACGCGUGAGGUGCGCCCCAAAAAUCAGCUCAUUUGAGCAUCUGAGCAGCUCUCGACAAAAAAGACAAAAUCAGGGUCUGUAAAAAUGUAUACUGUUCACGCACUGUUUUGACCCGAUUUGUCUUUUUUGCCGAGAGCUGCUCAGAUGUCCAAAUGAGUUGAAUUUUGGGGCGCACCUCACGCGUCAAAUUAUCUACCACCACAAAAAAGUUUGGAAUUUUUUGAAUUUUUCUAGUAUUUUUUUUGAAUUUUUUUCUGAGAGGGAGCAGAUGAGCCCGGGCACCGUUUUGAGUUUUCCAUAUAUCACGCUCUAUAUGGAUGACGUACUAUAACUUCAGCUAUAGCGGAUUGGAGUUCUGAAAAUAUGCCCGCUUGUUAAGAAGUUUGAACAGAUAAAAGAUAAAGCUAUAACAGAUAAAGUUGCAAGAAAGUGCUUACUGUGUCUCUUCUUUUAUCAGGGAAGAGCCCUUCUCCGGAACUUGUUUCAGAAGAAGUAUAAGGUUUUGUCACAAGGGAAACAAAACUAACUCCACGGGAAUUGAUCACAGAAAGAGAAGAGGACACAAAUGAAAACAGGACCAUGAGAAAUUCUUUUUUGAGUUUCGUUUCUGUAUUCAAAUAGAACAAGGAAGACAAGGGUAAUUCACGUUCAAUCAGAAAUGAAGUUCUGAAAGCAAAGAGUACCGAAAAUCAGCAGAGCAGAGCACCUCAACUCAGUUUUUGUGGGAUGCAGAAGAAGCAGAAGAGGAGGGAAAUGAUUGUGGGAGCUGUGGAAGGGAUCCCUUGGAAGUGAGAGAAAGAAUAGUCAACAACCAAGGUGCAGGAAACAAAGAUAGACUAGGUCAAAAUUAAGAUGCUCAAUUAUUGGCCAUUAGUUUAUAUCAGCUGGGUCUAAAAUACAUGGUGGAAGGUAAUAGCCGAAUCUUUCAAGCUUAAGAAGUGCACGUUGGCACCAGUUGGUAGGCUGACACCUAUGCAAAGUCGCAUGCCAAGUAUCCAUUAUUUAUGUUGGAAUUCAAUGAACCUAACAACGAUUCAUCGAUCCUUGAGAUGUGCAGGCUUGCAUAUGCGCAAGUUGUCUGUAUCAAAAUUACAUACCCAGCCCAUUGUAGAAAAAAUAAAUUAACUAGUGCGCUGAACAAAAUAGGAAAAGGUCAGUUGCUUCCAAGGUAGUUUUGCUACUAAUCUAACCAAAGUACAUCGUCCUACAAUUGCCUUGCCUAUGCAUAUAAGUACUAUGAGUAGUUUUAACAUGCUCCACCUUACCCCCUCUUUUCACCGUGAGAGGUAAGAGUACAAACUAGAUCUGAGCGUUGAUCUCAUUAUUUAGUGGCCUGAUGCCAAGUAUUAUGUAGUAUGGUUAUAUUUCUGCUCUGCCAGCUACUCCAAAAAGCGACUGUUGAAAAGCUAAUUAAAUUGGUUGGUGAUUGCUUAGGAGAUUAUGCAUGCAGGAAAAGAUGAAGGGGCCCUUUUUCUCAGUCAAGCAAGUAUAUUCUCUAGCCGACUUGUGCCUAGUGCGUGGAGAAGCUGUGUGUGCGGGGAGGAUGACAACGAAGGGAUGACGACCAACGAUUAUGACAUCUAAUCAUAUGGUGCAGAAAGUGGCUAAUCCAUGCCUCGCGUCGGUCGACCCAAAGUGCUACCCAAUCUGAAAACUACCUGCAAGCAGGCCCAGUAACCUGCAAAACCCAAAAGUGCAGUUUUAUAGCAUUCUGAUGAAAAUAGACAGAACAAAAAAUAAAUAAAUAACUAACCUGAUGUUGGAUCUUGAGGUGUAUCUCUCCUUGUGUGUGAUUUGAGUAAACUUGUGCGGUGAACCUUGUUCUUGUGUGAUUUCUCUUGUGUUCCUUUUGUUAUUUGGGACCCUCCUCAACAAUUUUAUUACCACAGAGAACCACUAUUUUAGCUCCGAUUAAACAACACAAAAAUGUUGUACCCAUACCUUCAUUCGUAGUGGGCUAAUACAAAACAUGGAAUAAUAAUUAACGAAAACCAGGAAUUAAGAAAUGGCAAGGCUGACAAUAAAAAGGCACAUAAAAACAACCUUUGGAUGACAAAGAAGACCGACGGUGCAGAAAACUAUUAGAUCCCUCGGUAGGGUACCUAGCGUAGCUGGAAGUCAUAGAUCGGAGGUCACACAGAGAAUUUACCCAGGUUCGGACCUCCAUAGUGAUACCCUAUAUCUUGCUUGUGUUUGUCAUAGAUGGUGGGCAUACCUCGAGCAAGGGAUUACAGAGAGAUGUAUCAGUCUAUCAAGAGUUGUUUCUAUGGUAGUAAAUGGGAUUGAGAGCCCCAUAGUCUCUGUUCGGAAAUAUAGUAAACAAAAAUCGCCCUACAAUUAUCCAGAAAAAAUAUGAAGAUACAUUAACGGUUUGGAUUUGAUCGUGCCCACCUUUGAGUUGCAGCGAAAGAAGAUGAGUCAUUGUAGAUCUUACUUGGAGUCCCUCGAACCAUAGAUGAAUGAUUCCGCGAACUGCUCAUCAAUAUUCCCUCGAACGAAAUACCGAAAGCACGACCUCUCUAUGAGUUACAAGCGUACGGUCUUUACGAUUCGGCGGCGCUUAGCCGUCCAGAGCUAAUCGUUGCCGAAGAAUUAGAGGGAGGAGAUUAGAACCAUACUCGACUUCUAAUUAUGAGGAUUAGAGGAUCCAGGUCAAGCUGUAAUUAAUCAACUAGGAUCAAUUAGAACUACAACUAGAGAACUAGAGGAGGCUCCAAAACUUAUGUAUCAAAAGUGCCAAAAGCCUCUACUAUAUACAGAUUGGAGGAGGGGGCACCACAAGGGGAGGGAAACUCGGAAAUCACUAAUUGAGGAAUGCUCCUUCCAAAGAUCACUUUUCACUUCCCUAGUUGCGACAAGUGGUGCGCUGCAUGCGCGCCACUUGUCACAACCCGGGAGUUUUCCCUUUUCUAAUAGAUCCGUUUAUUCAAAAUGUUUUCUCUUAAACCAUGCGUCCAAAUUUGAAGCCCUUUUGACCAUUGGAUUCCUCACAUCGAGAUCUUCAAAACUAGAUAUCAUGUUGAUAGUUUUUGAUGAAAUUUUUAUUUAAUGAAAAAAAUUAUGCCUCUUGCAGAAGGAACAAAUAAAAUAGAAAACAUGUUAUUUUUCGUUUCCGAUAGGCAUGGCCGUGCCUCGCACGGAAGCAAAACCGUGCCUCUCGCAGAAGAAAAAAAAACGUGCUUUCCCAUUUUCGAGAUGCACAAGCGUGCCUCUCGCGGAAGCAAAACCGUGCCUCUCACGGAAGGGGAAAAAAGAAAGAACUUUUUUUUUCAUUUCCGAGAGGCACGGCCGUGCCUCUCGCGAAAGCAAACCGUGCCUCUCAUAGAAGGAAAAGAACGUGUUUUUCCCCAUUUUCGAGAAGCACAGACGUGCCUCUCACGGAAGCAAAACCGUGCCUCUCACGGAAGGGAAAAAAAGAAAGCACUUUUUUUUCAUUUCCGAGAGGCAUGGCCGUGCCUCUCGUGAAAGCAAAUCCGUGCUUCUCGCGGAAGCAAAACCGUGCCUCUCGUGAAAGGAAAAAAACACGAUUUUCACGCAAAAAAAAAAUCAAAAACCGAGAUCCGUCAUGUAGUCCCGGUUGCGAGUCGGGAAACAUAGUUGCCGGUGAAAACCGAGUCGACGGCAGGCGAUGGUGGCAUUCUGCGCCGUUAGCUUCAUGAAGACAUCGUCGUGUAACUACUGUCGACCCACUCGUGCUGCUUCGGGGGAAACCCUAGGCUCUUGUCUUCCAGAUCGGACGAUGGUGGCACUGCGGUAUCGUUUCUCUCUUGGGAGCAUCUUCUUCUUGCACGGAGGUGGAGCAGCGCUGGAAGCCAGUGACAGGAGGUGGAACGGCUUCGUCUUGCACGGAGCUUCGGUGGAGAUGUCAAGUAAUGCAUGAUCGACAGGUGCUAUGCUAUGUCAUGCAUGUUCGGCAGGUGCUACGCAUGACAGAUCUUCCAUAUUCUUCGCAUCUGGAUGAACGAACGCAGGGCAGUGGCGCCGUUGUGCUCCAUGGUGGCGUCGACGGUUGGCCGGAUUGGCAAGGAUGAUGCGGAUCUCUCUCUCCUGUAGAUGGGUCAGCGGUUCGAUGAUGAUGACGGCUUCUAAAAUGUGUGCAUGUGGUGUACUCUUUAGAUCUGCUGCACGGGUUGUUGGUUUCAAUACGUUAUGUGGAUGAAUCGGCGACAACACCGGUUUCAGAUAUGGGAAGUGAGAGCACUUCAUAUUGUCAAGUUUAUAGGUGUGAGUGAUGGCUUGAUAUAUAUUCUUGUCAGACAUUUGUUGAAUAAUUAAUAAAGAUGAUCAUAUUUAUCGAUUGAUGCAGAGGCUGGGGUUUUAACCUCCGUUUCAAAAAAAAAACGCAUCCUAGAUGCAGAGGGUAAAUGCAUGCAUGCCAAAGAGAGGCUCUUGGUCGUCGCGCUGAUGGGGCGAGGCAAGUUGGACAUGUGGUGCUGCGGGUCACCGAUGACAGUGAGACCGAGGAUGCUGAAGCGUGGUGUUGAUCCGUGGGGAACGAAACGGUCCCGUCUCCACGUAUGAUCGCUCUACGAACGUUCCCAUUUCGACUCGUCGCCAUGUGCAGCAUCAAUAAUUCAAUAUUCAACUUCACUGCUUGGCUGCUGCUGCUGGGAGGUUUCGUCGUCCAACCACAAGGCAACCGGACGGGUGGUUGAGUUGAUUCAUUCCAGUUAACACGGGUAAUUGCCCCCAUCUCCUCAUUCAUAUAUGAAGCCACCCUGAUAGUUAGGUACGUAGGUCGUUGCAAUCAUUUUGAGGGCUUUGCUCCAUCAUCUCCUCUUGCCUGCCUUUUCUCCUGUACUUGGACCUUCGUUUUCCCUCUGAAGCACUGCUCGUUUGGGGUGCUCCAUUGCCAAAGCAAGAGCAGCAGCAGCAGCUGGCGUUACACUUCAUCCAGGUGAGUGCUCCAGCUCCAUCUUAAUUUGCUCAGUGCUUAAUUUAGGAACCAGUCGGACUUUUAGUUUGUUGUCUGUACAUGUUCUUUUGAACGAUUUCUUCCCCAAUGGCAUCGGUACUCUCACCGGCGACAUGUUCUUUGUCAUGCGGUGCCACCACUUGAUGUUGGUGCAUCAACAGCUUGCUAAUCCCCCCCAUGCUCUCCCCUGAUGAUGAUAAUCCAGCCUCUGCAGUUAGGCUGCCAAAGUGCCCAUGCCCAUGUGGUACUGCACAACAUCUCCAUCCGCACACCUUCGAUCACAGCCCGUAUCUUGUCUUCAGGCAGAUGGAAUAUUUUAAAUAGUGAGCUAUGCCAUUUAGCGGUGGCUCAACUAGAAGCUAUGAAAAGCUAUAGUGGAGCUAUAGCAAAGCUAAGUUCCAUUUAGUGUUUUCCUUAAAAUCAUGAAAUUUUGAAAAAGAAUAAGCACACAAUCAGUCAUCAUAUAUGAUAUAUUCUAUAUACUUGACAUAUACAAAUGUUGGGCUAUUCGCACAUCAAAACCCGAGCACCAAUCGGGUGUCAUAAUUCAAUAACCAAAGCUUUGCAUUGUAUAUAUCAUAAACAAGAAGAAAAAAUAACGCAGAAUGAUGGUUUUUUGUAUAGCGGCUUAGCGGGCUAAAUGACUCUAAAUUUAGCACUAUGACAAGAAAUAGUAGGCUAUUAGCGUCAUUUCAAAUUUAGCUAUAGAGCUCUCAAAAGCUAUGGAUAUAGCUAUUUAAAACAUUGGGCAGAUCUGACAACAAUUUUGCAAUAGUCCUAGCGUCACGGAUCAUGCCUCCCUGUUGCUGUUGGGCACUAUCUGGAGGUGGAGAUACUCUAUUUUACAAUAUUCCACCAUUUGGCAGCUUAAUUCAUCCUAUUAACGUUACCGAUGAGCAGGCUGGUCAACACGCCGCUUUGAACCACCAACUUCACAUGUAUACAGCUCAGCAACGCAACUUGCCCGAAUUGACUAUUCCCCGUCUUAAUAAUGACAAUGUAGUUUAAUGCUCCUUGACGGAGUAGCCGGUAUCCAUCACAUGCUCUUCAACGUGGCAAUCAGUGUUUCUUACCCUUUCUCCUACUUGUAUGUGUGAAACAGCAAAAGUGAUUUGUGAAUGAACUGUCUAAUUCCAUUGAUUGAAGAUUAGGGUAUGUAUACCCCAUGUACUGACGUUUGAUAAACUAGAGAACCAAUCAAAGCAUGGAUUAACCGGAUUUAAUUAAUUCUUAACUGGAUGUUCUCCUUUUGAAAGCAAUGCUUAGACUAGUCACAAUGGGUAGUAACUUAGACUAGUAACAUUUACUAGUCUAUGUUCUUACCUCUAUAGUGGGGAGUAACAUACGUAUGAUGUUAUGCAACACUUCAUUUAUUAGGUUGUAGACUCAUCUUGUCUUGAUAUGUGUGAUGUUACAGUAACUAGCUAUGUUACCACAUGCCUCUCUUUCCUCAUUAAUUACUCGCCACAUCAUGUUUUGCCUACAGAUGUGUGAUGUUACCACCUAUCUUAUUACCACUGACUGUGGGUAGUCUUACUAGCUUGGGUCUUUCUGAGCAGCAACCACAACCAAUCAGCGAGGAAGGGUCUACACCAUCCUCAAAGUUGACCAAUAAUGACAGUGAUAUGGUAGUAUAAUGCUCCUUAACGUGGUAAUCAGUACCCAUCCCAUGUACACAUCACCCACCCUUAAAUGAAGCUUCUUGAUGUUCAGAGACUAGCCUGUUUUGGUCUUGUUAAUUGUAUCUUGAUUCGAGAUUCAACAGCUGUGGAGCACACUUGCCCACAUCUCUUGUAGCUUGACCCUAUCUAUUCAUUUAUAUGAAGCAAAUGGUAGUGGUUAUGGGUCGGUUCAAUCCCUUCUUCCCCUUUCUCCUACUUUGAUCUUUUCUCUUUGAAGCAAUACUAGCUUGGGUGUUCUGUGAGCACCAGCUAGCUAGCAUCCGUAAUCUUCUUCUAGUUAGUGCUCGAUCAACACUUUUGGGAAUCACUCAGCCAUUCAGUUUUAUAGUUUGUAUGUAUAUGUUUUUCUGAGAGUUCUGCUUUAACAUUUGGAUCCAGGAAAUAUGGCAUGUUUUUGCAUUGGACGGUUAUAUAGCCUUUAAUGGGUUCCACGUCCCCAAACAAUUCAUGAUUCAAGGUUCUUGUUUUUACCAUCAUUCAUUAUUCAAGGGUUGUAGGACUUUAUGAUAUCUCGCCCAUUAGUCCAUUAUUCACGAUGGCCUUGCUAACCCUAAAUUGUUUUGUGUUUAAAUGAUGACAUUGUAAUCAAUUAAUUGUGAGAAAUAUAUAUCGAAUGCUUUUGACCAUUGCUCAUUAUUGUCUUUGUUCAAACAAAUUGUUUUGAUUUUCAUGGUACAACUUCCGUAUACUAAUGGAGAAAUUAAUAACAUCUUGGAAAAUUUCAUACUCCUAAGUUUGGUAAUACCUAUUACCUCCAACCACAAGGUAAAAGUGGAUGGUCCACAAUAGUUGGGAGCACCUUAGAAUUUCUCUACUACCGAACAAUCAGCUAGCAACACAACUUCACACAUACAGCUCAGCAAGACACAACUUUCCCAAACUACAACCAUAAUUGAAUAUAGGAGUACAUCGUUAGCAUUGACUAAUCCACCUCUACCCAAUAAUGACAAGAUUUUCCACAAAGUCUAAUGCUCAUUAACGUUCUACUUGCUAGUCAUCACACGGGUCACAUGUACUCAUCACCUCCAUCAAACGUAGCAAAUCAGGGUAGGAGGGAGUGAGGUCUGCAUCAUCCUCGGCAUUGACUAAUCCUUGUUUAUACCAAAUUAAUCAUUAAUUUUAACUGUUUACUCCCUUUGGUUGGGUUUAUAACUCGGGGAUGGCUUUUAACACCUUCAAUUUGACUAGUGAAACUGAUGUUGUUAGUCACACAUAUUUUGUUAGUCCAUUGAUUGAAGGCUUAAAAGCUCAUGCCGGACUUAUAAACCCAACAGAAUGGAGUAUCAUAUAUUCCAAAUUAUAAUGUUGCCAGGCUUGCUUAUUAAUUUUUUUUGAGAAGGGGGAGUACCCUUAGCCUCUACAUCAAGCAAUGCAGACAUCCAUUUUUAUAAAAAAAAUAGAGCAAGAAAGUACGAAACUCGUCUCAUGUUUGUAAACAAAAGCAAAAGAUAAAACCAGAUGCCACAAACAGAACAAAUAGGACACGAUGCCUAAACACAUAUCGUAUUAUUGUACCCCCAUCCAAACAUGUAUGUAGCUCGUGCUACCAUCUCCCAGCGGUUGCACCCAAAGGCCAGAAGCUCCCUAACUUCCACACGACUGAAUAAUGACAACCUACAGAUCCACCAGACGCCCAAACGAUAACCUGCAAAAAGUUUGUGAUAUUGGUUCGGUUAAAAACAACAUCAUUCCGACAGUUCCAGAUAACGGAAAGUAAUGCAUGUUACUAGCUGCGUUGGGAUUUUCCCCGAAGAGAAAGGUUGAAGCAAUAUAGUAGCGAAUAGUAUUUCCCUCGGUAGGGAACCAAGGUUAUCGAACCAAAAGGAGAACCACACAAACACCCGCCAAUAGUACCUGCAUAUAUAAAAGCAAAUACUUGCACCCAACGCGGGCAAGUAUUAAAUCUGGUAAUGGUAGACAAAUAUAUUGCAAAGUAAAAUAAAAGAAAGAAAAUUGCAGCAAGGUAUCUUUGAUUUUUAUAAUAUGAUUAACGUAGACCCGUGGGCCAUAGUUUUCACUAGAGUCUUCUCUCUUAUAAAAAUAAUAUACAGUGGGUAGACGAAUUACUGUUUGGCAAUUGAUACAAAAGCGCAUAGUUAUGACGACAUGCAUUCAUGGCGUGAUCAUGUAUAUAGACAUUACGUCCGUGACAAGUAGAUCGACUCCUGCCUGCAUCUACUACUAUUACUUCAUCAAUCGACCACUAUUCAACAUGCAUAUAUGGUAUUAAGUUCAUGACAAACAAAGUAACAUUUUAAGCAAGAUGACAUAAUGUAGACAUAAUAAAACCAAGCAAUAUGAUUAAACCCCGUCGUUUUCCCUUUAGUAGCAACAAUACAAAUACGUCCCUCGCUACCCCUUCUGUCACGAGGUGAGGACAUCACAAGAUUGAACCUACUACUAUGCACCACUUCCACUAAUGAUCAACUAAUCAACUUGGCCAAAGAAAACACAUAGAUUGGAAGCAUUACAUAGCUAUAACAAUCACACAUAAUAAAGUUCAGAAAAGACUCAAUUACUUUCAUUGAAUAUUCCAACCAUAAACCGACAAUUCACCGGAUCACAACAAACAAACCGUAAAAGAAGAUUACAUCGUAUAGAACUUCGAGGAAAUAUUGUAUUGAAUAUCAAAGAGAAAGAAGAAACCAUCUAGCUAAUCACUAUGGACACAUAGGUCUGUGGUGGACUACUCAUACAUCAUCGGAGGUCCAACAAGGUUGAUGUAGAAGCCCUCCGUGACCGAUUCAUUCCUCCUCCGGUAGAGUACCAGAAAAGGCCUGCAAAUGGGAUCGCAGAAGACCAGAAACUUGUGGCCGCGGAAAAAUAGUUUCGGCUGGCUCUCUUUUGGUUUUGGGAUUUAUGGGAAUUUAUAGGCUUAGAAUUAGGUCAAACGGAUAUACAAUGGGCCCAUAACCUCAGGUGGCGCACCCCCUGGGGGCGCGUCAUGUGAGCUUGUGGCUCUCCCGUACAUAUUUUGGCCUCCUCCCGAAGUUUCUAGGGGCCCUUCUGGCUGAGGAAAUACCACCGUAAAGUUUCAUCAUGUUUGGACUUUGUUUGUUAUGGAUUUUGUAUAAUAAAAAAUAUGCAGAAAACAUCAACUAGCACUGGACACUGAGUUAAUAGGUUAGUUCCUAAAAAUCAAGAUUGAUAAUAUAAUAACAUGAAACAAUCAAAAAUUAUGGAUGCGUUGGUGACGUAUCAAUGCACAAACUCCCACAUGAAUUUGUGUUGUUAUAUUAGUCUUCAGCCCAUUUAACCAGUUACCAAAUGAAUUGGAGAUGCUACUCGGCGGUAAAAAUUAAAUAACACAUGUAUUCUUUGCCAAAUAACCCAGCUAGUGGACAUUUGAAAAAAAAUGUUGAAUCGUUUCCUAUCCUCCCACCUUUCUUUUGCCAAGUUGUGCUUAGUAAAAAAUCACUCUCUUGUGCACAAACAACAUAAAGAUCUUGAUUUUUAACACACCUUAAUUUUUCAAAUAUGGGUCGACCUAGGGAUUUGUACAAUAUUAAUGAAGUCGAAUACAUAGAUUUGACUUAAUACGCAUGAAAUUAAAAAUUUCCGUCCGAAUGUAUUUGGCACAUUAGAUAGAUUGACCUCCAUCAACCUACACACAAAAUGUAGCCAGCUAUCCCAUCAUUCCCUCAGUAGUACAUGUCUGCACUAAACGUUUAAGGGAAAAUAACCUAGAAUUGUACUCACAAAGGCGCUUUAUGCUGCACAAUAUUUUAAAGCAUUGUAUACUGUAAGGCUAGACGCAUCUCCACAACCAAGUAUGCUCCCAGAAUCUAGUUGUGCGACAUUCGCCAAUGAUAGAUUUACUCAUGUUAAAGAAAGUGAUCCUUGUCUUCAUCAACCUCUUUCAAAAAGGAGAAUCAUUCGGCCGUGCCAUAACAUGUGCUAGAGUUUUCGAAUGUAGAUAAUUGUUACGCAAUAAUUAUAUCCACACCCCAUCCUCAUGUACCAAAAGCCGAUAUAACCAUUUACUAAGUAGGAACUUGUUCUUUACUUUGAGAUUUUCAAUACCCAAACCUCCUUGGUAUUUCGUUCUACUAAGAAUGUCCCACUUAUCCGGUUUGUACUUGGUUGUAUUCUCAUCAUUUUGCCAAAAAAAUCUCGACAGAUAAAAAUCUAAAUUUUUAUAUACCCCUACGGAUGCCUCAAAGAAAGAUAAUAGGAAUAUCGGCAUGCUUGUAAGCACAGAAUUAAUAAGAAUAAGCUGACCCUAAAUGACAUAAGCUUGCCCUUCCAAGAUCUUAGCUUUUUCUAAAAUCGAUCUUCAAUGAACAUUCAUUCUUUGUUGGUCAACUUCCAGUGAUGAAUUGGGAUCCCUAGAUAGCUAAUUGACUAAUAUAUCUUUUUUGGCCCUCUGUUCUCUCAUAUAUGCAGCCUGAUAGGUUGUCUCACUACUAGGAAAAGGGCUAUAGAUGUGAUGAGCACUAAUGGCGCACUGUACAUGUGGUGCGCCAUUACUAAAUACUAAUGGUGCACCAUGUGUUGGUGCGCCAUUAGUGUGCAAAUACUAAUGGCGCAUCCCAUCCCACGGUGCGCCAUUAGUAAAAAAAAAUUAUUUAUUUUUUCAAAACUACUAAUGGCGCACCGUGGGAGUGGUGUGCCAUUACUAGUUGAACUAGUAAUGGCGCACCAUCCCAUGGUGCGCCAUUGGUAAUUUGGCCCAAACAUUCCCCCGAAUGCACACACCCCCUGUGGACCGCCUUUUCAGUUUCAAAAAAAAUAAAAGAAAAUGAUAGAAGUGUCAAAAAAUAAAAGAAAAUAAGAUUCCCAUGUGAUAUGUGGUCUAGUUGUUAGGAAAAUUUACAAACAUGAAUUUUUGACUUUUUUGCAAAAUCUCUCGAGAAUUUGUAAAAAUGGGCAUAACUUUUGCAUACGAACUCGGAUGAAAAAGUUUUUUAUAUGAAAAAUCAUCUACUCGAAAAGUUACAUCUGAAUUUAAUCGGGGGAACCCCGUUAAACAUUUUCAAAAUCCUCAAAAACCUAACAGAAAAAAGAUACGGGGCUUUUAAGAUCUGGAGAGGCAAAAAAAUUCAAAAAAAUUCAAACUUACGAAUGGCGCACCUGCCCAUGGUGCGCCAUUACUAUCUUCCCGCCUUCAAAAUUCAAAAUAAAUCAAAAAAAAGUAAAAAAAUACUAAUGGUGCACCUGCCCAUGGUGCUCCAUUAGUAUCUUCCCGCCUUCAAAAUUCAAAAAAAAUAAGUAAUGGCGCACCUGCCCACGGUGCGCCAUUACUAUGUUGUAUAUAUGGCUGGGCGUGUCCUCUCCUUACCUCUUCAUUCUUCUCCUCCACUCCACCUGUCCUCCACUCCACCUCUCCUCCACUCCUCCACUCCAUCUUCCCUUCUCUCUUCGACCAUACGACCCUCCUCCUCUCCGGCGACCUCCUCCUCCUCCUCCUCUCCGGCGACCUCCUCCNNNNNNNNNNNNNNNNNNNNNNNNNNNNNNNNNNNNNNNNNNNNNNNNNNNNNNNNNNNNNNNNNNNNNNNNNNNNNNNNNNNNNNNNNNNNNNNNNNNNNNNNNNNNNNNNNNNNNNNNNNNNNNNNNNNNNNNNNNNNNNNNNNNNNNNNNNNNNNNNNNNNNNNNNNNNNNNNNNNNNNNNNNNNNNNNNNNNNNNNNNNNNNNNNNNNNNNNNNNNNNNNNNNNNNNNNNNNNNNNNNNNNNNNNNNNNNNNNNNNNNNNNNNNNNNNNNNNNNNNNNNNNNNNNNNNNNNNUCUCCCUCCUCUCCGGUGAGCUCCUCCUCCCUCAUCUCCGAUGAACUCCUCCUUCCUCAUCUCCGGUGAGCUCCUCCUCCCUCCUCUCUGGUGAGCUCCUCCUCCCUCCUCUCCUCCCAUCCCCUCAUGGUUUCUUCUUCCUCCUCUCCGAUGCUCCGGUGAACUCCUCUCCGGCGACGUCCUCCUCCUCUCCGGCGACGUAGGCGAGCGCCUCUGCGGUCACCUCCUCCUCCUCCUCUCCGCCGAACUCCUCUCCGGCAAACUCCUCUCCGGCAACAGAACACGGCAAAAGAACGUACAAGAUCCAAAAACGGGAACAAAAUUUGAAAUAAUAUCAUGCAAAAACACGAGCAAAAAAACGAGCAAAAAAUGGGCAAAAAAAUCGCGAUCCAGAUCCAAAUUCAAAAUUCAAAAAUAGCAAUGGCGCACGGUGGGGGUUAGACGGUGCGCCACUACUAUUUUCCCGCCUUCAAAAUUCAAAAAUACUAAUGGCGCACCGUGGCCUAUACUAAUGGCGCACCAGCGGCCUAUACUAAUGGCGCACCGUGGCCUAUACUAAUGGCGCACCAGUGGUGCGCCAUUAGUAUACCAGAUACUAAUGGCGCAUCAGUGGUGUGCCAUUAGUAAAAAAUACUAGUGGCGUGAUACUAAUGGCGCACCAGUAGUGCGCCAUUAGUAGGCAAAACUGGUGCGCCAUUAGUAAGCCUUUUCCUAGUAGUGUUUGUCAAUCCACUAUCUUCUUGCCCCUCCAUUUUUCGACAACCUAGAAGCUACCUAUGACCAUGCAGUUCUUCCAUGCUAGAAGUGCGCAAUCCAGAUCUUUGUUGAAUGGUUAUUGAAAAAUUAAUCGGUCUCUCAGUUUCUAUACAGUCUUUUGAAAUUUAUGUUUUGCAUUGUAUUUUUCCUUACAUGGAAAGGUUUGCUUUAUAUUGUAGAAUGAAUAAUAUAGCAGAAAUGGAAGCCUUGGAGCGUGUAUUUAGUGAUGCAAGUGCAAAGCCGAUCAAACUAUCAUAUGGACUUCUCGAAAUUAUUACGGAGAAUUUUUCGAACGAAAUUGGCCGUGGUGGGUUUGGAGUUGUUUACAAGGUAUGAUUUCUUCUCGACUAUCUCCCAGAUAAUAAUUUUUCACUUAUGAAACUAGUAAAGCAAAAUUCCUGGGCUGAUGAUAAUACCGUGAGCAAAACAGGGAUAUCUACGAAAUGGGGAGGUUGCUGUGAAGAAGCUCUCCAAUCCGCAUGCUUUGCCUGAUAGGAAAUUCCUGGAUGAGAUCACGUGUUUAAAAAAGGCAAAGCACACAAAUAUAGUAAGAAUUCUGGGUUAUUGUUCAGAAACGCAGGGGGAGUUGCUUGAAAUCAAUGAAAAACAUAUAAUGGCAGAGAUACAGAAAAAGUUGAUCUGCUUUGAGUAUGUUCCUAAUGGAAACAUUCAACACUAUUUGAAACAAGGUAUGGAGGGUACCAGUUGAUAUGUUCUUCUAUUCUAUUCUAAGCAUAUGGAAAAUAGUUGUGCCAAUUUUGAUCCACCGAUAUUAGCAUGUUGUGCAUCCGGCGACUUCAGACGUGCGAUCGAGUAGCAUCGUUCACUCUAAGAGUCGCACACACACACGCACACAUGCACGCACGCACGCGCGCGCGCGUGCACACACACAAUCAAAUAGGAUUAAACUCUAUCUUUGUUGUUACAAGAUAACUGGAGGUAUUAGGUGUGGGUACUAAAGAAGGAAAAUGUGGUAUCUAGGAUUUGGGCCUAAUUCAAUAUGUGGCUUCCUUAACUAUGUCAUUAUAUCUCACUAGUCUGUGUAGCCAUGACUCAAUUCCCCCUUUAUGAUAGUAUGUUGUGCACAACUCAAUGAAAUUAUUAAGGCCAAAAGACCGAACCAGAAAUGUGCUCUGAAGUUAAACUUCGUGUGGUAAUUAUUCUGUAUGGUUGCCCAUGUCAUCUAAAACACUAGCAUACACGAUAACAUCCCAUCAUUAUUGCUAGACAUGCGACUAUAAGUAGCACAUAAUAUCGACCAAGGGUUCACCAAAGCACAUCUAUCUACUCCUUAUGAUGUCUCAUGAUCUAGACGUGUAUUAACCCAUGGACUGAACAACUACAGUAACAAAAAUAAACAACAUGAGAAGAGUAAGAACUAGAGAUUAAUUAAAAAUACCAUUACAGAAAUUUUUGCUGAAACCUUGAUAUGGUGAUCAAUGGACUCGUAAGUAACUUACUAUGAGUGGUGAUCCGAACAGCACUAAAAAGUGCCCCCACCAUAAAUGGAGAGUGAUCAAUUCUGCAAACCAACUUGAACAUGUCAGUGGAAAAGAUCCCAGCGCUAGCUAGGAGUCGACAACAAGGGUCACCAAUAGUAGACCUCCGUCCUAUUCCUCUCAAUGUUAAUCCUCUCUAUGACAAGCCCGUCAGAACGGCCUGUUAGUUGAAUGUUACCACUGACGGCCUCCUUGUAGCAACUCAUCGAUGGUACUUUCUAUAGGUAAAAUGAAAGAAAUUAGCGACCAACGAUCAUAGAAGAGUGAAUCGUGAGAGGUGAUAGGUUGUCCCAGGUGGAGAAAAUGCAUGCAUUUGUCUAUGUUCCUCAAGAACUAUAUAGCAGUGCAGCCCCAGCAGCCCUCACAUUCUGUUGGAAAUAUGAGCAAUUUACCGAAUGAUUUUAUUGACAGAAAUACUAGAUAAAGCAUGACUAAUAUAGCAGAGAUAAAACAAGUCAUGCAGUUCGAGAUAGAGAAGGUAAAUAGCAUAUGUAUAUAUGAACUAGAUCCGAACACAUCUAGAACAGACACUAGAACAAGAAGUUGUGACAGAGCCUCUAACCGAAAGAGUAUGAGAACGUAUGGAACGGGAGCAGAUGCACCGGUCUUCGGGUCGGUGUCCUCGCCAGCCAUGUCGUCGAGGAGGUUGUCGACGUCGAAGUCCGGGGCGUCCGUGACGAAGAAGUCAGUAGUCGCGCUGAGCGCUCCCCAAAAACCUUAUCACCCUUCUUUCGUACAGGACUCAAAAGGUGUGGUUUCAGAGGCCUACUGUGUCUCUCUCAAGAGGAGCGACCUCUCUUAUAUAGGCACAGGAGAAGGAGGCGAACAGGCUGCGACGGCAGGUGAAGCAACAGAGGGAGACGACAGGAGGUGAAGCAACAGAGGGAGACGAAGUGAACAGACUUCAGCCGAAGAGGCGAGCUGUUCGGAUUCAGUGUCCACUACAGAAAAACGUUUCAGCUCCCGCUUGACCUUUCAUAUACCCGUCAUGCGUGGCAAAAAUUUAGACAUCGGCUCGGCUCAUUCCCGCAACUCGCGGCGCGUCGUGACGAGACGUGGCGAGGCGGGCGACGGAGGAGGAGCGCGCGUGGAUGUCCCUCUUGUUCUCAUCCUCAUACAUGUGGAGAAAGAGUCUCCCUUAUAAAGAGGUCCAACUCCCUCUAAACAAGCAAUAUGGGACUAAACUUUAGUUCCACCUCUUGCCUUGCAUGAAUGGGCUGCGUGGGCCUCUAGGAUUUAUUAGGAAUUUCUUAAACUGCUAUUGGGCUAGGCCCAAAAUAGACAAAAUUCCAGCAAUCCCCCACCAGAUCCCAGAGGCACACAAAAUUUGCCUUUGGUUCCAAAACACUGUUUUAUAUACCGGUACUACAGUGGAAAUUGUUAAGUUGAACUUCCACCUAGAACUCUAUGCUACACUAGUAAGCAACUUGGACAGUGAACUAUGCCUUGAACUGCAAGUUUUCUGUGAAUCUAGCUUCACAUAAAGCCUUGACCGAUACGUGGCUACCGUGGGUCUUCCCCGCCGGUGGAGCUUAUGCGUCAUACUCCAAGACCUUUCAUGAGUUUACUAGAGAGAACCUGACUCUCAUAGAUUGCGACGUUUAACAAUCAGACUCAUAUAGGUGCGUUCUUCAAAAGAUAUUUUGCAGGACGACAUCUCUGCUUCAAUGAGCCACUUAGAACAUAUUAGGAUAUAAAUCAAUCUGCCAUGCAGAUUACGAGAGUAUUGCAUCUUCAUGGAGUGGUAUUAAUAGUAAGGAUACUCUCCUCUCAGUUGACCAAUAGCUUGUCUUCCACAUCUAAUUCACGGGAUCUUCGAUCACAAAGAAUAGGUUACCACUGUGAACAACUUAUAUUGUAGGUCUCAUACCCAUCUCCCUUGAUGCAUUAUCUAUCACAUUACGUGAUAGACCCUUAGUAAAAGAAUCUGCCGGAUUCUUAGACGUUUGGAUAUAAUCCAAUGCAAUAACUCUGGGGUUUUUCAUUUUCCUGAUAGACUUUAACCUUCUUUGAAUGUGUCUUGAUGACUUCAUGUUAUCCUUUGAGCUGCUCACUUUCGUGAUCACAGUUUGAUUGUCAUAGUUCAUAAGGACACCCGUUACAGGUUUCUCAACAACCGACAAGUCAUUCAAGAGCCGGUGAAGCCAAUCUGCUUCGACCGUAGCUGUAUCUAGUGUUGUGAGUUCUGUUUCCAUUGUUGACCUCGUUAAGAUGGUCUGCUUGCAAGACUUCCAAAAAACAGCGCCACCUCCAUGAGUGAAUACAUAUCCGCUCGUGGCCUUUAUCUCAUCAGCAUUUGAGAUCCAGUUUGAGUCACUAUAUGCUUCAAGCACCUUUGGGUGCCCAGUGUAGUGAAUUCCAUAAUUCGCAGUGCCUUUCAAAUAAUGUAAGACUCUCUCUAGAGCUUUCCAAUGCACAUCUCUUGGUUUUGAGACAAACCAACUUAGUUUGCUAAAAGCAAAAGAGAUGUCAGGUCUUCUAGCACUGGCUAAGUACAUGAGCGAGCCAAUAAUCCGAGAAUACUUCAAUUGAUCUCUAGCAAUUCUUCGAUUCUUUUGAAGCAGCACACUAGCAUCAUAUGGUGUUGGAGAGGGCUUGCAGUCACUUUAGCCAAAGCGACUCAAGAUCGUUUCCACAUAGUGAGAUUGAAGCAAUGUAAUCCCACCGUCAUCAUCUCUCAACAACUUGAUGUUCAGAAUGACAUCAGCCACUCAUAAAUCCUUCAUCUCAAAACAACGAGAUAGGAAAUCCUUGACCUCCUUAAUAACAUUCAGAUUUGUUCCGAAAAUCAAUAUAUCGUCAACAUACAAGCAAAGGAUAACUCCCUCGCCCCCACCAUGGUGAUAGUACACACAUUUGUCAGCUUGGUUUACAACAAAGCCAACAGCUGACAAAUGUGUGUACUAUCACCAUGGUGGGGUCAAGGAUAACUCGCCUCCACCAUGGCGAUAGUACACACAUUUGUCAGCUUGGUUUACAACAAUGUGAGGUCAAGGAUAACUCCCUCCUUAAAGUUCUUUCAAACUUCUCAUGCCACUAUUUGGGUGCUUGCUUGAGUCCAUACAAAGACUUCAACAACUUGCACACUUUUCCUUCCUGACCAUCUAGUACAAAUCCAUCUGGUUGUUCCAUAUAAAUUUCCUUGUCCAACUCUCCAUUUAGGAAAGCAGUCUUAACAUCCAUUUGAUGAACGAGAAGACCAUGUGAGGCAGCUAGUGAAAGUAGAACUCGAAUAGUGGUCAGUCGAGCCACAGAUGAGUAAGUACCAAGAAGUCUUCAACUUCCUUUUGGGUAUAACCCUUAGCCACGAGCAGAGCCUUGGACUUUUCAAUAGUACCAUCAUUGUUGAGGAAAUCGUUAACUGGUAACUGCUCGGUUGGCUAGCGAGUAGGGGAUUAAUAUGCUAAUCCGCAAGUUAAUCGGCCAUUUAAUCAAUUAAUCGGACGAUUUAUCGGUUUAUCGGCUACUCGAUGACCCUACGAGUAGGGAUUAAUCGGCAAGUUAACUGGUUAAUCGGAUGAAUUCUUGAACAGGGAGUACCAUCAGGCCUAAGUUUCUUCUUGAAUACCCAUUUGCAUCCUAUAGGUUUGCACCCAUAAGGACGAUCAGUUAUCUCCAAGUUUCAUUUGCCAAGAUAGAAUCCAUCUCCCUACGAACCACUUCCUUCCAGUAGUCAGCAUCUUCAGAUGCAUAGGCCUCUAAAAUAGAUCUGGGAGUGUCAUCUAGGAGAUACACAAGAAAAUCAUCACCAAAGGACUUUGCAUUCCUCUGUGUCUUGCUCCUAGUAGGAACUUCAUUGUUCUCCUCCACAGGACUUUCAAAGUGUUCCAUCGAAAUGGCAGGUUCGAUAGUUGUAACUGGUUUCUGAUUCGAUGAACUAGGCAUCUCCUGAUUAGAUGAGGUAGUCAUAUCCUUCAUGGGAAAGAUAUCUUCAGAGAAAGUCGCAUCAUUCGACUCCAUGAUCGUACCGACAUGCAUGUUAGGUACCUCAGAUUUUACAACCAAGAAUCUAUAACCAAUGCUAUGAAAAGCAUAUCCCAGGAAAACACAAUCCACAGUCUUUGGUCCAAGCUUGCGCUUCUUUGGAAUUGGCACGUUGACUUUCACCAAACAACCCCAGGUUGGUAGAUAAGAGAGUUUUAAUCUUUUCUUCUCCCAUUCCUCGAAUGGAGUUAUCUCUUUAUUCCUUGUGGGAACUCGGUUUAGGACGUGGCAUGCAGUCAAUAUCGCCUCCCCCCACCAUGCCUUGGAGAGACCUGAUGUGUCUAACAUGGCGUUAACCAAAUCUGUUAGAGUACGGUUCUUUCUUUCUGCCACCCCAUUUGACUGAGGUCAAUAGGGAGGUGUCCUCUCAUGGAUUAUACCAUGUUCUGCACAAAAAGCAUCAAAUUCAUUGGAAAAAUACUCUCCACCACGGUCGGACCUAAGCCUCUUGAUUUUCUGAUCAAGUUGGUUUUCCACUUUAGCUUUAUAGAUCUUGAAAAAGUUCAAAGCCUCAUCCUUAGAUUUCAGAAGAUACACACGAUAGUAUCUAGUGGAGUCGUCAAUUAACGUCAUGAAAUAUUUCUUUCCACCUUUUGUCAAAACACCAUUCAUUUCACAUAGAUAUGAAUGUAUGAGCUCUAGUGGUGCAAGAUUUCUCGUUUCCGCAGUCGUGUGAGACAUACGAGGUUGCUUAGCUUGCACACAAACUUGACACUUAGAUCCCUUGACAGUGGUGAAAGUAGGGAUUAAGUUCAACUUCGCUAGUCGCGACAUGCAACCAAAGUUAACAUGACAAAGACGUGAAUGCCACACAUUUGAUUCACUAUUGUUGCAAACAUGAUUAACAACUUUAUUGCAAACGUCUGUCAAGGAUAAAUGAAACAGGCCUCCUGACUCAUAGCCUUUACCAACAAAGGUUCCAUACUUGGAUAUUACAAAUUUAUUCGACUCAAAGACAAGUUUAUAGCCAUCUCUACACAGAAGAGAUCCGCUAACAAGAUUUUUAUUGACGGAGGGGACAUAAUCCACGUUCUCCAGCUGCACGAUCUUCCCCGAAGUAAACUUCAGAUCGACCGUGCCAACACCACAAACAGAAGCACUUGAACUGUUGCCCAUCAGCACGAUUGAAGUCCCCGCGGUCUGAUAAGACGAAAACAUGGAAAUAUCACCGCAUAGAUGCACAUUAGCACCCGUGUCAAUCAACCAAUCAGGAGAAUGACAUACUGAAAGAAUAGUGGGAAAUAUACCAUACCCAACAUCCUUCAUUUCAGUGUCUCCAAUGACAACAUUAGCGGUCUUGCCGCCUUUCCCAGGAUGACGCUUAUCAUAGCGAUUAGGGCAACUAGGAGCCCAAUGAUAAGGAUCCCCACACACAUGACAAACACCUUUAUUCUUGUCAUUCUUCUUUUUGAAGUUCGUGUGUUGCAUAGCCUUGUUCUUCCCAUCAAACUUUGCUUUACCAUCAAACUUGCCCUUGUUCUUGAACUUGUGGGACUGGAAGUUCUUCUUCUGUACCAGAUUGGCACUAGAUCCUCCCUCAAUACGUCGAGCACGUGUGUACACCUUUUCUUCCACAUCAAGAGUGCCAAUGAGAUCCGGGACGGAAAACUCCUGUCUCUUAUGCUUCAGUAAGGUAGCAAAGUUCCUCCACGAAGGAGGAAGCUUAGUGAUGAUACCUCCGGCAACAAACUUGUCCGGUAGCAUACAACUGAAGUGCUCAAGUUCUCUAGCAAAUGACUGUAUCUCAUGAGCUUGCUCAACCACGGAGCGCUCGUCAGUCAUCCUGUAAUCAUAUAAUUGCUCCAUGAUGUACAGCUCAGUGUCAGCAUCCGAGACCCCAAACUUGGCCUCGAGUGCACCCCGCAUAUCUUUUCCAUUAUCAAUUGACGCAUAAGCAUCAACUAUGUUCUCACCAAGAACACUCAAGAGAGCAGCCUUAAACAGAGUAUCCAUUUUCUGAAAAGCUUGUGCCUGUUGAGCAUCAAGCUCUCCUUCAGAUUUGCCAAGAGUGGCGUCAUAGCAACUCAUUUUUUGAAACUAUAAGACUGCUACCACGCACCACCUCUUAUAGUGGAUACCCUCAAACAUAGUAGGUCUCAUGGAAGCAACAAAACCACUCGGGGUAAAUUGCCUAUAAUAAGGUUUUUGGAUUGUUGUAAAUAUGAGCAAUUUAUCGAAUGAUUUUAUUGACAGAAAUACUAGAUAAAGCAUGACUAAUAUAGCAGAGAUAAAACAAGUCAUGCAAUUCGAUAGAGAGAAGGUAAAUAGCAUCUGUAUAUAUGAAUUAGAACCGAACACAUCUAGAACAGACACUAGAAUAAGAAGUUGUGACAGAACCUCUAACAGAAAGAGUAUGGGAACGUACGGAACGGGAGCAGAUGCACCGGUCUUGGGGUCGGUGUCCUUUCCAGCCAUGUCGUCGAGGAGGUUGUCGACGUCGGGGAAGAAGUCGUCGUUGGCGAAGUAGUCGUCGGAGUCCGGGGUGUCCGUGAUGAAGAAGUCGGUAGUCGCGCUGAGCGCUCCCCAAAAAUCUUAUCACCCUUCUCCCGUACAGGACUCAAAAGGUGUGGUUUCAGAGGCCUACUAUCCCGACCUGCGGUGCACGCCGCAAGUCGGGAUGGGGAAGAUCGUAGCAGCAGCGCAGUGCUCAGGAGAGGAGCGACCUCAUCUUUAGGCGGUAUACCAAAAGAAAGUGAAUAUCAACCACUAGUCAUCUGUAUGGGGAUGAUGGUGGGUAGGGUAGUAGUAAAUAUGGGGGGUGGGGGAGGGGAAUCCCGGGAGAAAGCAAUACAUUUGAUUCAUACUUGUGGUGUCAUGAAUACUAGAUGACACAUGACCUCUUCUCAAGCUUGAUAAAAAAAUCGUGGAGAUUAUCUUGAUCAAUUUAUGUUGCAAGACAUGUGGACAGGAAUAAAGAAUCUUCUGCUUGCUUUUGCAGAGAGACAUCAUGGAGACGAUUGGCAUGUACGCUACCAAAUGAUUGUAGGGAUUUGUCAAGGGCUGCACUAUCUGCAUGAGAAAUACAUUAAUCACUUGGAUUUGAAACCUGAAAAUGUUUUGUUGGAUGCUGAUAUGAAGCCAAAAGUUACAGAUUUUGGUUUGUCAAGAUGCCUAGAUCAAGGACAAUCUAUUAUUACACAAAACAUACUUGGAACACCGUAAGUUAAGGCGGUCUCCUGACAAUCCCUGGUCAUUAGCUUUUUUCAUGCAGUGAUACUUGAAAUGAACUAACACACUACCGAUGCAGGCGGUAUAUUGCACCAGAAAUCAUAGACAAAGGAGAAAUAUCAUUUAAGUCUGACAUUUACGCUUUUGGUAUUAUUACCAUAGAAUUAUUAACAGGGAUCAGCAAAGCAAAUCUUGACAAUGUAAGGAUGAUUUAACUUUGCCUUCUAGUUGGCUUUUUUUAACUAUGUCAAAAUUUUACUUAUUCAUACUACAGUUAUAUACAAAUUUGUAGUAAAUUUUAUUUUUGACCACCUGGUUGUGACUUUCUAACAACUUCUAUCACAUUUUUAAAAUAUUUAGUCCACACCCUGUGUAUUGUGAGAAACUAUUUUACUAAAACAAGUCAAGUGGGACCAAGCUUUUUAGCUUUGAUAAUCCUUCUUACUACUUUAGUUUUGUAUUUAAGGUAACCCUCAUUUAGUGUCUUUUGAGAGAAAAGUUAUGAGAUAUGGUUGCUCUACCAUCUAUCCUCAUUAAAUAUGGUGUCACAUCAGUAUUUUUACCUAUGAAACCGUGGUAAGAUACUACUCCCUCCAUCGGUAUAUAUAGUGGUCAAGUGAAAGUGAAUAUGGCAUAUUUUCUUGAUGUCGUACUAUUUGGGAAAGUGCUACCAUCAUUCCGUCAUGUUUAAACCUGAUUUGCAGUGGGAUAAAUUAUUAGACAUGGACUGUCCACGAAUGAGGAGGUGCAUUGAAAUCGCUCGAAAGUGCACCGACCCUGACAAACGCGAAAGACCCACCGCACGUGAAGUAAUCCGUGACCUGGACGAGCUGGAGAGCAUGGUUCCAUGGUCCUCCAUGAACCAGGUAUGUAAUUAAGAUUGACCUGGGCGAGCUGUUUAAGAAUUCUUCACGUUCAGUUCACACUUCACACAUGCAUCCCUGGCCGCGCAGUCAACCAGGGAAUGUAUCUAGUGCACCGGGGCAAUCGGUGCUGCCGGUGCACCGAUCCCCCGUUACACAUUCAAAAAUGUUUAAAAAAAAUCCAUAAAAUUUUACGGCAUUGGCACAACAUCAAUGUAUGUUGUCCUAAAAAUUCAAACCAAAAUUUGAAACAUUGCUCGAGAUACAAAAUGAUAAAUUUGACACUGAAUAGUACAUAACACAGGUUGGGCUUCAGUUUUGGCCCAUUAGCAUAUUUAUGUCAAAUUUGUCAUUUUUGUAUCUUGAGUGAUGUUUUGAAUUUUGAUUCAAAUUUUUGUGACAACUUAUAUUGAUGUUGUGUCAAUGCACUAAUUUUUUUUCGAACAUUUUUGAGUGUGCAACGGAGUCCGGUGCACCGGUAGCACAAAUUGCCCCGGUUCACCCGAUACAUUCCCCAGUCAACCAAGAUGUAUAAACGCAGGUCACCCCCACUGUUGUCCCUGGAAAUGAGGUACUCGAUGUGUACCCGCUGGAGCUCAGGUUUCCCUUCGUGCCAAACAAGGAGAUGCGUUGCCACUUGACCACGACCACCAAGACAGAUUGUUUUGUCUUCUGUAUGCUCGUACCUGGAGUUCCGGAUAGAUACUCGGGUGACUUGGUAGGCAUUGUACCUGGAAUGUGCACUUCCGUUACCCCAGUAGUAAGGCAGGCGGAAGAGGAGCUUCCCUCAGGCACGGACGAGUUGGAGGUACUGUUCUGGCUCACAGGGUGCAAUGAUCCCGACAAACUCGCACUUCAGCUAUCAGCAUUAUCAGUGUACCCUGGUUCGCCCUCUCAAUAUGAAUUAAAGGCGGCAUUCCAUGAGCUUGGGUGGGAGCUACACCGGACGACGUUGACAGCGGUCGUCGUCGCCCCCGAGGAUGAUGAUCUAGCUGUGAGUAUAUGCCAUGCAUGCAUAUGUUGCUAUCUUAUUAGCUAGAUUUUAUUAAGUAUUAUUUAAUUAUUAAUUAUGUCAUUAUAUCAGCUAGUGGUGAAUACUCCGUGCAAAGAAGAAGAAUUUUUUUAUUCUAUCGAUUGCAUGGAUGUGCAUCCUACGGAGCCCUGGUGAGUAAUUGUUCUACCUACGUGGAAUAUACAUAUACUUCACNNNNNNNNNNNNNNNNNNNNNNNNNNNNNNNNNNNNNNNNNNNNNNNNNNNNNNNNNNNNNNNNNNNNNNNNNNNNNNNNNNNNNNNNNNNNNNNNNNNNNNNNNNNNNNNNNNNNNNNNNNNNNNNNNNNNNNNNNNNNNNNNNNNNNNNNNNNNNNNNNNNNNNNNNNNNNNNNNNNNNNNNNNNNNNNNNNNNNNNNNNNNNNNNNNNNNNNNNNNNNNNNNNNNNNNNNNNNNNNNNNNNNNNNNNNNNNNNNNNNNNNNNNNNNNNNNNNNNNNNNNNNNCGUAUUUUUAGAUCCUCAAGUUGACAAUUUUAUAAAAAGUAAUCUCAAAUUGACCAAUAAAACAUGGAUUAUGUCAUAAAAAAUAUAUUAUCGAAUUUAUAUUUGAAAUAAUGGUAUAAAUUUUAUGUCGUAACCUAUAUUUCGUAUUGAAUAUUUUACCAUUCUUUGGAACUAGCAUUUGUGAGGGCACCAUCUUUAAUUUGUUGUGCUUUGUAAAAUAAAUUUAUUUUUAUAUAGACUCCAAAAACAUGAAAUUUCAAAUUACUUGGUUCUAUAGCCACCGUGAAGUUAUGUUAGGUAAAAUAUCAACUAUGGUCAAAAGAAUCUAGCGAUACCACCAAAUUCUUCCAAUAAAUUAGUUGCGUCGUCAUAUGUUCGGAUAAUAUUUUUAUUCACAUGACUAACAAAGCAGAGGAAAAAAAACUACGAUUGCAGCACAUGCAAUUAAUCUUAAAGAAUUCAAAACGAAUAUCAAACACAAAUGUGUAUUUGAUUACUUCAUGUGCCGGAAACACAUAUGAACUCAUGAGCUGAAAUGUGUUUUCCAAAAUGCUUGACUCAGAGGAAACUUUCCCCUUAAGUUAAUAAUAGUGAUAAAAAUAAUAAUUCUUAAGAUUCAAGUCCUAUGUAUUGGACAAUCUCAAUAGAAAACUUUUGUCGGAACAAAUAUUGUUCAAAACACUUUUGAUAUUACCCUCGUUACAAGUCCACUUAUAUAUACGGUGGCGCUAAAGUGAGCCUGAGCGCAAAAGCGCUAAUCCUACGCUCCAGCCAGUGCCACUCAACCGAACCAACUAAUCAUUUUCCACCUCCUAGUAAAAUCCUUCACACAAAAAAGUAACGAGAUUAAAUUUGUUACCGGGUGCAUGUACCUCUCUCCAUGUCAAGCCGUACAAGCUAUUUACGUGAUGCCUUCUAGUAAAAUCCUUGUCAAACAUAGUCAAAUGAAUAAAUUCGUUACCGAAUGCAUGCACAGUACCCCACCCCGCCCCGUGCUACUUAUUCACCGUAAUAACUUGUAGUAAAAUCCCUGGCAAAUAUAGUAACGAAAUAAAAUACUUUGCCAACUGCAUGCAUCAAUACUCAUUCCCACCACUUACUAGCUAUUCAAUUAAUUAUUCCUAGUAAAAUCCUUCACAAACAUAGUAAUAGAAUUAUUAGUUUUACUGUCACUAUGCACCAAACCCACCACGCUCACACUAGCUAUUCAUCCUAAUGCCUCCUACUAAAAUCCCUGUAAAACGUAGUAACUAAAUUUUUACAAAAUUUACUAGAAGCAUGCACCGGGUUUUCCAUUACUGCAAUCUCUUUCCUAGUUACGCUCAAAUUUAAAGAUUUAAUUUGGUUACUAGCUGCAGCAAUGUUCACAUGGUAAUCAAACCUAGAAAAUACAGUAACUGGUUUAAGUUUGUUACUGGAUGCGUGCAACAGAUAAUUGCAUCGCCAACAUCUUCCUUUACUAUAUGCAUCACGGAACUAAACAUGGUAAUAAACCUUGAAAAUAUAGUAACUGCUUUAAUUUUUUACUAGAUGCAUACAGUGGUUCACCGGCUCGCCACCAUUUUACUUUGCUACUAUAUGAGUGACUCAAAGUACACAUAGUAAUCAACCAUGUAAGAGAUAGUAACACAAUUAAUUUGGUUACUGGCCGCAUGCAGCAGUUCACCGCCCACAAUCAUUUUCUUUUACUAGUAGUAACGAAUCAUGCAAAACACAGUAACAUAAUUAAUUUUUUUACUGGUCGCAUGCAACAGUUCACUGCCCAUCCUUUCGUAGGCUACGGGGCGGAGAGAUGUGCAUGGAAGGUAGUAACCUGUCGCCCAACGUCCUGAUUCAUAGGUCAUUAAUUGUUUGUAGUAAUAUACUCCCCCCGUCUCAAAAUUCUUGUCUUAGAUUUAUCUAGAUAUGGAUGUAUCUAACACUAAAACUUAACUAGAUACAUUCAUAUUUAGACAAAUUUAAGACAAGAAUUUUGGGACGAAGGGAAUAGAUAGAAGAGAUGGUAAUGGAUGAUAAUUGUUUACCAAGCAAUAAGAUGGUUCGAUUCCUUGGCCUGGUAAACAUAGUAAAUCCAUUCCAUUAUGUAGUAAUGAAUUACUACAUGCUACUAAUUGUUAGCAGUAAAAAUGGUGGAGUGGAUGGUAAUAAUGAAACAAAUUGUUUUACCAACGAACAAAUUAGACUACCCAUAGUGGGAGUAACAUAUCUAGAUAAAAUAGAUGGUGUGGCAAACAAUUAAUAAAGAAAGAGAGGCAUGUAGUAACAUAGCUAGCGAAAGUGCUAUUGUGAGCUCGAGCUCACAGGCACCCUUUGCUACAGUACAAACAAAAAAAUAUUUAAAAAGUUCAAAAAAAUCUGAAUUUUUUUGGCAACAAACAUUGACAUAUUUUUCACAUGCGUACAAAUUUUCAUGACAAAAUGACAUUCAUGCAGGUCUCAGCAAAAAAAAACAAAAUCGAUGCUCCAAAAUGCUUCCAAAAACAGUUUUUUUGGAGCAUGAUUUUGUUUUUUUUGCUGACACCUCCACAAAUGUCAUUUCAUCACGAAAAUUGGCACGCAUGUAGAAAAAACAUCAAAGUUUCUUGACAAAAAAAUUCAGAUUUUUUUGAAUUUUUUUACUAUUUUUUCGGAUUUUACUGUUCAUCCGGGAUCACUGGUGCCCGGGAUCAAUUCCUCCGCGUCCCAUAGCUAGUUACUAGUCCUAUGAGUAACAUCACACAUACCAAGACUAGAUGAGUCUAUAACCUAAUAAAUGAAGUGUUGCAUGACACUACACAUAUGUUACUACUCAUUGUAGGUAGUAACAUAGACUAAUAACAUAUGUAUGUUACUAGUCUAAGUUACUCUCUACUGUGGCUAGUCAGAGAUGCUUCAAUCCUGGCGUGCAUGGUAAACGUAGUAAAACUAGGCUCCUAUGUAGUAACGCAUUACUGCAUGUGCCUAUUGUUGAAACAUACACGACCCUGCUCUCUUAACGCAUUACUUCAUUCUAUUAUGUAGUAACAAAUUACUACAUGCUCAUUAAUUGCUAGCAGUAAAAAGGAGUAAAUUGUUUUACCAACGAACGAAUUACAGAUGCUUCAAUCCUAAUGCAUGGUAAAUGUAUUACUGCUAAGAGUAACGCAUGGACCAGAAUGUAGUAAUUAUUUUUCAUGAAGAAAUGGGAACUGGCAAAGCGAGUUGACCAGUAUUGCGUCGGUUGUGUAUAAUGCCUCUGAAAUGUGUAUGCUAAGUUAGCGCGUAUUCUGGCCGGUUGGAUCGAACUGGCCGGAGCGUACGCUAAGAAGGAAUGUGCACAAGCUGUGUGUGUGUGUGUGUGUGUGUGUGUGUAGAACAUACCACAUACAACCACCUUUGUUAAAAAUGCAUGAAAAUAUCUAUGAUUUGGUUCCCGCCCUUGAGUCAGAAGACAAACGUAAACUAAAUAAGCUCGACUUGGGUUGAUCUAAUGGGAUCUGCUGAACGCAGUUUACAACCAAUAGCACUAUAAAGUGUCCACCCAAUCCCACCACAUAAAAAUCCUAUUUAUAUAGAACAAUGAGACUGCAAAAGUGAUCAACUAUGAAGCGUGCCGUAUAGAGCGAGCAAAUCUGACAACAACGGUGUUAUCAACGCGAUAAUUGAGGUAGCAACCAACAUUGGCCAUAGGAAGUGAAUCAGCGUCAUGCAUCCUCUUCAAAUAUUUAUUUUAGUCUUGAAAUGCAACAAUAAGAAAGAAUAAUAAAAAGAGAAGGGGUUUGAGCAGGAGCAAUUGGAACUGACCCAUAUGUAUCCAUGCAAUAAUUCUAAACUGUCAUUCUUGGUGAUGCUAACGAUGGUGGUGUUUCCAUCCAUGCAGAAAUCAUUCUAAUGCCAAAAAUAAAAGGUGUGUGGAUUCCAAAUUAACCAUGUGAGGAAACAAACAAAAACAAUAAAUUAAUUACAAAGUUUUCCCUAUACAUUUGUGCACAUGAUUUUGGUUCCACCUUUAGAUAAAUAUUUUUUCUUUUAAAAAACUGGUUUUUAUGAUUUACUAAUUUAUCAAAUUUUAGUGUUGACAGACGAACAAAUCAAAUGAAGCAGAUAGAAAUUUACCUUCAUAGAAGGAAAAAUUAAAAAAAAAACAGAAUCAAAAACGGUGUACCGAUUUGUUAAAUUUCAGAGCUGCCAUUUAGAAAGAACAAACCAAAUGAAGCACCUAGAAAUGGCUAACUCAAAUUACCUUCUUACAAAGAAGACUGAAACCGUUUGCACAUUUCACGAUGAUAGCACACAUUAAGUUUCCUAAUUCCUCAAAGUCUAAAACCAAUGAGCAUAGCAGAAACAAUUACAAAUUUCUUCCCCUAAUUUUGAACCUGAUUUAAUGCUUGCCUAGGUAUAAAGUUGCACAAAUUAAUUAAUAGCGGCAACAAACCGGUACACCUUCUAUAUCCUCUCAGAUAAAUGGUAGAUUCCCACAUUGAUCCGUGCCGCUUCUAGCCUUACAUCUAUAAAAUAGAUCACUUUUAUUGAGUCUGCUGCCUUUUUGGUUGUCCACUUGGAUUUUUUUUCUUACAGAACCUUGGGGACCGUGAUAAGAUUUGAAGAUCACUAAGACUUGAUUCUGCAUUAUUUGAUUUAUAAGAUUGUACAUAGGAAUGAUAAAUCACGCUUAUAAUAUCACAACAAAAAAAGGUCAACGAUGACAUGAAUCCGGUAGAAAGGGAUAGCAAGCUGAAGCUAUUUAAAUAUGUUGUCAAAAUAAAUUUUGUAUAUGUAAUGCAUGAAGCCACGAACAACCUCCACGUAAAACUACGACAAUUAGAUAUACAUGAGUGACCACUUAAUUGAUAUUUGAAAUUAUUGUGAUGUUAAUUUCAUGGCCCCGUGAAAGUAUGAAAACCUUAAUUUGCCUAUAAAACAUUUGGGUAUAUACAUAAUAAUCUUGGGCAGGUAGCAACCCUAGUACGUGGGAGCAACUUGGAAGAGCUUUUCUUCCUUGUUCAUAUGUAGUGGUCUCACAAUUUACUGAGGGUCUAAAAAAUCGUAAAACAAAACUGCAAUAAAAUAUCUACCACCACCUGACUAACUUUCCACAACUGAUUUACAUAUAAAGUGGACCAGCCGAGGGCACAAAAGCGAGUUAUGCGGCGGCAUUGAGAAAUUAUAGAGAUUGUGUGAUACAUACCUAGCAGUCUACAAUUGAUCUUGAAGAGUUUGCAUGAGGCACGCCGUGCAUGCGCAGCAACUAGGAGACGAUCUUGUGCAUGCAUUGGGAGGAUUGAUUGAUCUAGGAGGGUUGCAUGCUGUACGCACAUGCGUGGGGUCCAAGAUUCAGACCUGAAACAAUCUUUUGUACGGGCACUGGGAGGAGGUCGACCAUCCUAGGAGAAGCAAAUACUGCGGCCGGCGGCCGGCGGCGACAUGUGACGAUCAGGAUUGCCUGGUAUGAGGGAGCGCGAGAAUUCCAAGGGCAACAUAGGUGCUCUACGGCAGAACCGCAGCCUUGGGAGGGUUGGACUUAUUAGAGCAAAUACAGCCGCGUCCCCAAGAGCCCCCCGGGCCAUUUUUUAGGGCCGACGCCGAAAAAAUGGCCCAACCGCGUCCCCAGAAGCCCAAUUUUCGUCGGAUCGGGCAGAAACUGGCGCCGGCGGAUUCAGACCGAACCCGGCGCAUGGGGCGCCCAGGGGCGCCGGGGGAAUUAAUUUUCGCGCAAAGGAACGGAGGGCCCGCCGAGUCAGCGACCCCCACGCAACGUCGUCCUCAUCGCCUUGGUUUCCCGCGGGGAAUCCAUGCCAAGGCUGCCGCCGGUCAGCCUUCUAUUGAUUCCUCCCGGGCGGGCAGAGCGGCGACACGCCCCCUCCUGCCCACGCGUACACACGUUUGCGGCCCUCCGACGCUAUAAAAGCCGCCCCCCUCCCUGGCCGGUGGACGCACCCGCCCGCAGCACCAUCCUCUCUCGCCGCUGACGCCCUCUCUUCCCCUCUCUCCCCGUCUAGCCAUCGCGUGCACGCUGUCGAUGGGUGAACGGUUGCCCGGCAAUGGGGCUGCGGCCAACGGCUUCGGCCGCCGUUCUCAGCACGAGUCGGAAGCCCACCUCCUCCACGAAGCGAAUUACCCGGCGCCGUCGGNNNNNNNNNNNNNNNNNNNNNNNNNNNNNNNNNNNNNNNNNNNNNNNNNNNNNNNNNNNNNNNNNNNNNNNNNNNNNNNNNNNNNNNNNNNNNNNNNNNNNNNNNNNNNNNNNNNNNNNNNNNNNNNNNNNNNNNNNNNNNNNNNNNNNNNNNNNNNNNNNNNNNNNNNNNNNNNNNNNNNNNNNNNNNNNNNNNNNNNNNNNNNNNNNNNNNNNNGCAACCCGGCAUCGAACACCCCGGCUACUUCCACGCCGAGAUCUACCGGGUUCAUGCCUCGCUGACGGAGGAGGAGCGAGACCACCCGGAGUACUUCACCGACGACCACGCGGACUGGGUGGCGUACUUCCAACACCGGCAGCAGGAGCGGCUCGCCUCCAGCAACAACACGCCAGUGGUACGGGGCGUAACAACAGUGACGGUCACCGCCUGUGGUGGGGCGCCCCCGGCCACACGCUCCACGCCGUUCUCGAGUUCCUCGAGCGCGGCAACGAUCUGCCGCUCGAGUACCUGGCGGCCCCGGCCCCCCGCCGGAGUUGUGGCCCAUGGCUACCGGGGCAUAUGCUGGGUGGGUCUUCCUCCUCCUCCUCCUCCUCUCAAUCCUCCUCCCACUCCUCCGGAUCGCCGACGCUCUUCAGCGUCAAGGCCGAGCCCGUGGAAAAGCCACUCGACUGGCGCACCCACGGCGCCGCCCUCGUCAUCAACGAGGGCGGCCGCACCUCCUCAUGUCCUGCCCCCCGCCUUGUUGGGCCGAGGACGGAGCCGGGGCUCGGCCCCGUGAAGACCAGGCACGACGACAAGGCCGCCAUGAAGUGGGCGCGGGAGGACUGGGCGCGGCUGAAGAUGGAGCGCCGGCGCCGCGCCCUAGAGGACAUCGCCGCUCGACGCCGUGGCCGCGACGAGGGAGGCGCCGUCGUCCUCGACGACAGCGACGACGAGGCGCCGCCGCCGGCCAAACCAGUCCGCCCGGGCGACCCCGGAUAGGGGUCCGGUAGGGACGGCCGCGGCGUGAAGGAGGAGAAGGAGGACGAAGGUGGCGGCGACUUCGGCGUGUUCAGCCAAUUCUUCAGCAUGUAGGCGCGGCAACAGCAAUAUUUUCUUCUUUUUAGUUGACUUUAAGUUUCUAUAUGUAAAAAAACCUGUGGAACGCCUAAAUAUCGCAGAAUCUUUGUCGUGUUUGCCGAAUUUUGGCCGAGUAUGUUUUUGAAAAUAUUUUCAAAAAAACGGCGUCUGGGGGCGGCGGCUGGGAAGCUGAUCACCCCCAUGCUUUUUUCUAGCCCCUAGGGGGUGAACGGCUGGAGAUGCUCUUAGGGUGACGGCCUUGGGAGGGUUGAACGUAGGAGGGCGACGGCCGAACCGCAACCUUGGGACGGUUGGAAGAGCUACGAAGAUCUUGGUUGCUUUUGUCCUUUUUUUUCUUUCUUCAAGUAAAAAAUACGAUCUGGUUGUAGAAUAGGAGAGAGACAUGGUGGUGAAAAACUGCUUUAGUGGCAUUGGUGGGUAAUUUCUUUUCAAUAGAUCCAUAUCUAUUGGUUGUCAUUUUUGUAGACAUUAAAUUGACGGCCAGAUGUUUCUGAUUAACGUAGGAUUUUCUAGAAAAAUCCUCUAUUUUUGACCCGUGUAUUCUUUUAGUAGAUAAUAGAUAACUCAAUCCAUAUGGAGUAGAAAAUAAUAACAAUAGAGCUAGUAAUACUAAUCAUGCGAUUGCAUACUAGCGUAGAACCAACAGAUCUUUGAACUUGACGUGUACAACAAGCACAUAAAGCAAGAGAGAAUGAAUAUAUCAUACCCUCUAGUCGGGGAGGAAUGGACAAAUGUGGCCUUUUUGGUCGCAUUGUAGUUGUCGCCCAUGCUGAGGUCAGCAAUGUCAUGGACGUAGUUGAAGUUGUUGAAGCUGAUGGACGAGGCGAGUAGUCAUGGCGAUACGCUUCCCAAAAAUUGAAUUUCCUUCAAGGGUGCUGUUUAGGAAGCCUUUCUUCCGUACAACUCUUAGUUAAUAAAAAGAAUUAUUCAUUCCAGCUGACAAAAAUAAAGAGUUGUUUCAAAGACUACCUCUCCCAUACAACUCAUAAUUAAUUGGAAAUUAUUUAACCAUUCAAAGUGGAAAAAAGUCGCACAUACGGCAUUGGUCUUUGCCCGGCUAACCUCGUUCCCGAAGCACGCCGCACCAUGAGGGGCGCUCGCGUAUCACUCCUCUUCUCUUGCUCCAACAGACGCAUCAUCCAUUUUGAACAAGCGCAUCAUAGAUUUUAGGUUCCUUAUGAUGGAACCGGCCCACCCAGGCUGAAGUCCUAGACUUGCAUGGGUGCUCGCAUAUUUUCUAGAUGCGUUUCAGGCUGCUGCCGACUAUUCUUUCGGUGCUAUGACUUGUCCGUCGACUAUAGGAUGCUUUUGAUGAAUUUUUAAUUUCAAGAUUUGUUGCUCGGUCUCUCUAUCACAGAUGCUCAUAGUGAUAAGGUGCACGUGUAUGUUCAUAGGUUAGAGUGUGCUCUCAUGUUGUGAGCGCCUUCGUCUGUACAAUUUUUUCUUUUUCAAAAAAAUUAUCCACUUCCUAUGUAAGACGGGACUCUCAUUCACAUGAUGACACCAUACAUGGUUCUAUGAGAUUUGUCCACAAAAUAAAAUGAUAUAUGGGCUGAAAGCUGAUGUAUAUUUUCACAUUAUUUUGACCAAAUUCUAUCCAAAAAAUAUGUGUAGGCCUUAUGAACACGAACUGAAAAAGUAUGGUAAUAGUUUCUCGUUAACUAAAUUUUCUAUUAACUGUCACAGGGUUGCAAUCUUUGCUAAAAAUAGAAAGGGUGUUUACCUUUGGAACUGGCAGACCAAUGAGAAAAUAGGAGAAUGUAACUCUGGUGUUGAUAUAUUGGGAUCUGAUUGUGAUGGAGAGAUGCUCGUGACCAAAUUUAUCUCUAGAAAGCAAUGGGUCGUAAUCGGGAACUCAGACGGGUUUAUCCUUGUGUGCACGUGUCCUUCAAUGGACCAAGUCACACAUUUCAAAGCUCACCGUGAUAGUCUCGGUUUAUUGGCAGUUCACCCAACUCGCCCGUUCCUGUUGUCGUGUAACAACAUGAAGAUGAAGAUUUGGGACUGGAACCGUGGCUGGUCUUGUAUUGGAAAAAUUCAUAGCACUAGCCGGGUGACACAAGUCAUGUUUAACCCCAGGAAUACUAACGAUUUCGCUACUCACCAUCAUGAUGGGAUUGUCAAGGUUUGUCUUCCUUAUCAACCUUUUCAUUCUUCAUUUACUCGCUUGUAUUAUACUGUAAUGAAUAAUCUAACUCAUUAGUUGUCCUUGUCCCGGGUAUCAUAAAUAAUAUAGAUGUGGAGAAUUGAUCAUCCCGACCCCGUCGGCACAACGCACCGCCUACAUGACAUGUAUGAGACUGCUAGCAGCUCUUUCACUUACACGGGUGAUCGGUAUUUCAUUGCUGCCAUCCACAACAGCAAGAAUGUUGCGCUGACCGUAAGGGCAUUGAUACCACUGACCGUAUAGAACACGUGGACUAAAACACACACGUCACUAAUCUGUGUACAUCUUUUUCCCCCCUUUUUUGUUGGGUUGAACCAGAUAUGGGAUUUGCAGAAAGAAGAACAUGUCUACACACUCACCACUGACGAGGUGACUGCUGCCGCCGUUUGCCAUCCAACACUUCCAGUAUUAGUUACGGUUUCAAAUGGCGGGACUAUUCAUGUGUGGGACUCCACUACCUACAGGUAUGUAAUACUACUCGUACAUCUGGUUUUAUUUAUUUAGUUUUCAAAACAACACUGAUCCACGAAUUCAGUUCAGACUAUUUUCCAGUACUACUAGACUUGAUCUCCCUAUAUGUCCCUUGGUGUGGAAAUAUAUCUUGCUAUCCCAUGUAUCUAAUUGUGAUAUAACAUUCUGGGCAUUAAGGUUAGGGUCGUUUCCUUAAGAAACAUUCAGUACAGCCUGAAGCACGUACACACACUCGUAUCUUUUUCCAACCGGGCCACCACCCCUUUCCAUUAGCACACACUCACUCAUAUAGUGUAACUACAACAUAUAUAUGAUAUAUUAUGAUGCUAGAAGAUGCAACUAACCAUGGACUUCUGACGUUUACAGGCUUAAGAAGGUCUAUGAGAAUUGUCCAAAGGACCCUAUUCAUAUCGGUUUUACAGGCUCAGAAAGGUAACCGAAUUUCUCAUCAAGUUUUUACCUGCUUAAUAUCAUGGCUUCUAUGAAAUAAUAAAUCUGUAUGUACACAUAAGGGGACACUAAGACUAAGUUGGACAAAACAAAUUUUACAUUAAUUGGAUAUGUACUAUCUUUUCCAAGGUUUUUGUCUGAAUGUGUUGUGUUCCACAAACCAGGAAUUUCGCAGUAUCAUUCCCAUGAAUCUAUGAAAGUUCUUGUAUCAUGGAAACAGUCUCUACGCAGGUGUAACUUAGAUAUGUAGAAUUACUGAAUGGUCCUUAGUAAAUCAUAGAGUAGGAUCGUGGCAAUUAUAUAUAGCUAGCCUUUUAGUUUUCGCUGCCUGUAUUAUGUCUGCAGUACUAAAUUUUGCCUUUUCUCAAACAUUUAAUCCGGAAUGUCUCAAUCAUGUAGGCUUGUGAUUGGACAUAGCAAGGGAAUAUCAGUAUUGGAUAUUGAUCUGGAAUAGGAGGUGGAUCUCAGUGAUGCCUGCACAGAGUGUAGUGUUCCGGUUAUAUAUCUCUUUGAAUUAGCUCUCAUCAAUUCAAAUUCAAAAUUUCAGUUUAUAUGUAAGUUUAUUUGCCGCAACAGGCUGACCUAAUUCCCUAUGUAACUGCUCUGCCUCUGGAUUGAAUUACAAUUACACCAUCAUUUUGGUCGACGUAUACUGUAACUCACUGAUAUUGUGAUGAUUGCAUCCAUAAAUUGCUGCACAUUCAUUCCGUAUGCAUUUAUAUUUUGUCAGUUCUAGUACUCCCUCCAUUCCAAAAUAUAGUGCGCCCGCGCUUUCCGAGGUCCAACUUUGACCGUAAAUUUAACCAACUAGACCAACUGCGGCGGGAGAAAAAAUUAUAUAAUUGAAAACUUCUUUCGAAUACGAAUUCACUGAUAUAAUUUUUGCUCCCGCCGCAAUCGGUCUUGAUAGUUAAAUUUACGGUCAAAAUUGAAGCACGUGGAUAGAGGAAGCACUAUAUUGUGGAAUGAAGGGAGUAUCAAAUAGGGGCGGCACUGCGCAUCUGCUUUUUCUUUUGCCAGUGGCAUCGCUACUAGCUGUGGAACAGCACUUUGCUCGUCAAGCGGCCUCCCUGCUGACAUGAAAAGUUGAAGGAUCAUCCCUCUGCAGUUUGGCCGUCCACAUCUCCAUCCCCAUGUACUAGUACUGAAGGGGCCGCACACAGGUAAGGUAUACUCCACCCCUGUCGCCAGGCCUUUAGCCUGCACGUAACCUCUUCAUCUAGUGGCGGAGACCCAAAUAUUUUCUUCCGGCAGACCCAGACACCAACUUGGCAAUUGUCCGAGCGUCACUGGUGAUGUCUUCCCGUCAGGGUAUUCAACACCAAAAACUGUGCUCCGUGUAAGAGCAUCUCUAGCCGACCCCAUAAAGGCUAUAGAGGAGUAAAAUUUGCAUCCGGCACCUAGCCAAAGUACUAAACUGAAUAGUGGACGCCUAAAAAAGUAAAAAUACUCAGCUGCGACCGCGCAGUGUAUGACAGCUGUUGACAUGGCCACCAGUCUGGACACCCAUGCAAACAGAGAAAGGCAAACAGAUUCCUCUUCACAUUGUCCUUGGAUUCAUUUAGCACGAUGUUUUUGACUUAUUUCUGUUUUUCUCGUCUACAUUUCCUACACAUUCAAGAGUUUGUAUUGCAAAUGAUUCACUGGGGCGGGGCCUUCCUAUACGACGACUUAAAAUAGUACAGCAGCACUGCGCUGGCUCCCUUUAUUGAACCGUCCCCUACGUUAGCGGCUGUAGACAGAUAUCUGGGAUGCUUUCUUUGGCCACCCGGCCGGUGCCACAGCCCUACUCUGGCCUUCACAAGAUAUACCUGUGUGGUUCACAUUAUUUGUUAACGACGCACGUGAGCAGCAGCAGAGGAACAAUUGCAGAUGCACAUUUGUGAUUUGCUUCCCGGAAGGAAGUGAAUCAAAUGCAACACUUGCCUACCAGUAAUUCUGAGUUUCUGACACUCUGAAGCGAUCAAGACCGCGCCUCUUUCGCAGCUAACUUAUCAGGUGUCCGUUUGUUUCCCUACAAGCAUCCCAUAAUCAGAGCAUCUCUUGCGUAUGUAGCUUGCCACCAAGACCCCCAAAAGCAGUUACAUCACCAGCUCACCAUAUAACUGUACUAGCAAGUGCAAUCAUAAUUCCGUGAGUAUUGAAACGGUGAAAGUUGAUCUGUUUGGUUUUUCAAAACCUUGACCGGAUGUCAGUACAACAAAAACAGGUGGAAGCAGGUGCUCCCUUUGUGCGAUGCGGAAAACGUCUUACCUCGCAGAGAGGGGACGCGUACAUGUUAUAUGCAGGGGUGCGAAACCCUGGUAGCGCAUACAGUUGGGAUCGAUCUCAUCCGGGAGAGAAGAUCUCGUACAGGUACAGGAGGUUACAACUUGGAGUCCAAGCUAGCUAGAGAUAGAAUUAUGAGCUAGAGAUAAACCUCCUAUCCUAACUACCAAGAUACAUACAACUCCCGCUAAGAUACGUCACAUGUGACGCGCACAAUGAAGGUACACAUACGGCUUGUUUAACACCCUCCCUUAAUCACAACUUCAUCAAGUUGAGAUUAUGCUUGAAGUCGUCAAAGCUUCUUGUAGGCAAAGGCUUUGUGAAUCCAUCUGCAAGUUGAUCUUUGGAGUGCACAAAGCGUAUAUCAAGUUGCUUCUGAGCAACUCUCUCUCUGACAAAAUGAAAGUCUAUCUCUAUGUGUUUUGUUCUAGCAUGGAACACUGGAUUUGCAGAGAGAUACGUAGCUCCAAGGUUAUCACACCAUAAACAAGGUGCCUAUUUACUUCGUAUGCCAAGUUCCUUCAACAUUGAUUGAACCCAUAUGAUCUCUGCUGUGGCAUUUGCCAAUGCUUUGUAUUCUGCCUCUGUGCUUGACCUGGAUACGGUUGCCUGUUUACAUGCACACCAUGAUAUCAAAUUAGGUCCAGAAAAUACUGCAAAACCACCAAUGGAACGUCUGUCAUCAAGACAACCUGCCCAGUCAAAGUCAGAGAAUGCACUGACUAAAGUGAAUGGUGAUUUGCUGAAGUUCAGUCCUAAGCUCAGAGUGUGCUUAACAUAUCGAACUAUGCGCUUUGCAGCUGUCAGAUGAACAUUAGUAGGUGCAUGGAGGAACUGGCAGACUUUAUUAACAGCAGAAGAAAUAUCAGGCCUGGUAAGUGUGAGAUACUGAAGGGCUCCUACCAGACUCCUGUAUUUGGUGCUGUCUUCUUGACUUAAGGGCUCGCCUUCUGCAAGGGAUAGCUUUUCUGAGCUGGACAAUGGAGUAAGAGAGGGUUUACAUCCUUGUAGCCCAGCUUUCUUGACCAAGUCAGUGGCAUACUUUUCUUGAGAGAGAACAAGUCCAUCCUUGUGCUUUUUCACCUCAAUCCUAAGAAAAUAAUGCAAAUCACCAAGAUCCUUUAAAGCAAAGUCUGCACUCAAAUCCUUAAGAAGUCCUGUGAUUGCUUUAUCAGAUGAGCUAGUCACAAUAAUAUCAUCAACAUAUAUGAGAACAAAUAUGCAUGUGUUGGACUUGUUGUAGAUAAACAAUGAUGUGUCAGACUUGGACGGAACAAAACCAAGUGCUUGCAUUUUGUGACAGAGGCGAGCAUACCAUGCCCUUGGAGCUUGCUUUAGUCCAUACAAUGCUUUAUCAAGCUUGCACACAUAAGAAGGAGCAUUCUUACUCUCAAACCCAGGAGGUUGUUUCAUAUAUACUUCCUCUUCCAGAACACCAUGGAGAAACGUGUUCUGAACAUCCAGCUGUCUGAGACUCCAUCCUCUAGAGACAGCAAUAGAUAAGACAAGGCGAAUAGUGGCAGCCUUUACUACUGGACUGAAGGUAUCCUCGUAGUCUAUGCCAUACCUCUGUUUGAAGCCUUUUGCAACCAAUCUAGCCUUGUAACGAUCAAUGGUUCCAUCAGCUUUCCUCUUUAUCCUGAAAACCUACUUGCAAUCGAUCAAAUUUUUACCUUGCUGUGGGGGAACCAGGUGCCAUGUUUUGUUUUUCAUCAAUGCCAUGUACUCUUCAUGCAUGGCUUUCUUCCACUUUUCAUCACACAAUGCUGCUUCAAGGGUGUUAGGCUCAUCUGGUUCACCUGUGGAACAAACCAUACCAUACUUGGUUAUAUGCUUGUAAUUAACAGGUUGAAUUACCCCUUGUUGCAGCCGUGUACGUCGUGGUUGGGAAACAUCAGGAUCGGUGGCCACAGAAGAUCCUGCAGGCUGCUCAUGUGUGACUACAUCUGAUCCCGAUGAAGAUGCUGCUUGAUUUUCUGCGCCUAACUGUUGAAGCGGAGUACGUGAGUUUGCCGCAGAGGAUCCCGCUUGAGCAUGUGCAUGUGCAUGCAGAUCAUCAUGGCGUGAUGAUGGCGUAUCCGCCUGAACCUCCACGCCGGUCGGGCCCUCCCUGCGUCGCGCGUCACCGCGCCGCGUGUACGUCACCGGAUUGGUGGCGUACCUCGUACCGCAGGUUGACAGGGACCGGUGCGGGGCCGCCUCCGCCCGACCGCACGGGGAUCGAUGCGAGAACGCGUCCGCCCGACCGCGUCCGUCACGUGGAUUGAGGGACAGCGUGGCGCGCGCGCCCGCGCCUGGGCCUGCUCCCGCAGCUGUCACGCCUACUCCCGCGGCUGUCGCUGCCCCGUCAGCAUGGAGAAAUCCCGAGGCGCCUGUACCUGCCGCGUUCGCAGGAACCGAUCCCGAGGCGGAUCCGGUUCGCUGCAGAUGGGCAGAUCCCAAGGCGGAUCUGUUUCCCUCGGGGAGGCACAUGAAAUACGGCUCAAUAGGCGCCGUUUUUUCUGCAUUUUCUGCAUCUGCUCCUGUAGUUGCCGCGCUGCUUUGUUCUGUUGCAUCAACACAAAACUCAUGCACAUCAUUAGAUGGGUUAGUCAAUAGAUCAUCAAUAUUUUGUCCCCCUUGAUCAAAACUAGUGAGAUGAGAGGGCAAAAGAAGGAUUUCUUUGCGAAGGAGUGCACCAGCAUUGGGAUGGAGGUCAGCAAACGGAAAUUCUGUUUCAUCAAAGACCACAUCUCGUGAGAUGUAGACACAGCCAGUGGAGACAUCUAAACACUUGACCCCUUUAUGCUGUGCACUAUACCCUAGGAAGACGCACUGUUUUGAGCGAAACAUGAGUUUGCGGUUGUUGUAGGGACAAAGGUUGGGCCAACAUGCACACCCAAACACACGGAGAGACUUAUUGUCUGGUUUAUUACGAAGAAGUCGUUCUACUGGAGUUUCAUUGUUAAUGACACGACUAGGUAGCAUGUUGAUAAUAUGAACAGCUGUGAGAAAAGCUUCGUCCCAGAACUUGAGAGGCAUGGAUGCCCUGCUAAAAGAGCAAGACCAACCUCGACAAUGUGCCUAUGCUUGCGUUCGGCAGAACCGUUUUGUUGGUGAGCAUGCGGGCAGGACACAUGAUGUGAGAUGCCAAGAUUUUGGAAGAACGAAUUUAAUUUUUCAUAUUCCCCUCCCCAAUCAGAUUGGACAGCAACUAUCUUGCUAUCAAACUUUCGUUCAACUAGUGCUUGAAAGUUUUGGAAAACUUGAAACACAUCGGAUCUCUUUUUGAGGAGAUAUAUCCACGAGAAUUUGCUAUAGUCACCAAUAAAACUGAGGUAAUAUGUGUGUCUACCAACGGAGGUAGGGGCUGGACCCCAUACAUCGGAAAAAAUAAGUUGCAGAGGUUUAGUAGAAACACUAGUUGAGAUGGGAUACGGUAAUUGAUGACUUUUAGCUCGCUGGCAUGAAUCACAAAUUGUUUCAACAUGACGCUCACCAACAAAUGGGAGCUUAUUUUUCCUAAGCAACUUUUCUACUAAAGAAAAAGAGGCAUGUCCUAGACGGUCGUGCCAUCGUGUGGACGAAAGCUUGAUAGCACCACAAGCUUGUUUAUUGAAUCUUCGAAACUCCGAAAUCAACGGAUAGAGCCCUCGAACACAUCUACCUCGAUAGAGGAUUUUCCUCGUGACCUGAUCCUUAAUCAAGAAGAAAAAAGGAUGAAAUUCGAGAAGAACAUUAUUAUCAAGGGCAAUUCUAUGAACGAAAAGAAGAUUUUUGUGUGCACUAGGGACAUGCAAGAUUUUCUUAAUGUGUAGUUUUCGACUAGGGGUACGAAAUAUAGAGUGACCAAUGUGACUUAUACCCAUACCUUCUCCGCUAGCAGUAUGAAUUUGAUCUUUGCCGCGGUAUUUUUCCUUCAUGGUGACCUUCUCAAGCUCGUUCCUGAUGUGGUUUGUGGCACCGCUAUCGACGUACCAAUUGGUGUCAAUACCGUAGGAACCAUCAGCGGCAGCAGCUACCUUGUCAUCAUCUUGGGAGUCCUCAUACUCAUCAUAGCGGUACCAGCAAUCCUUAGCUAUGUGACCUGGCUUCCCGCAGAUUUGGCAUCGCGGGGUUUCUGGACGCGUUCGGUUUCCUCCACCGUGCCCGCGCCCGCGCCCGCGACCACCCGAGCGCUGAGGAGAGUGGCCGCGAUCGUUGCCGCUGCCAGCAAAUCGCCCUUUGUAGCGCGAGGAGCCACGUGAGCGGGAGCCACCACCCCGGCCGCGCGACGCCAGGUUUGCAGAAGAUUUGAACCAACCGCUGGAUCCACUGAACUGUGCCAUGCGCUGGUCGAAGUUCGACAGCAUGGCGAAGAGCUCAUCGAGGGUUGCAGGAGUAACACGGGCGUCGAGGGCCGAUACCAGUGGCUGGUAGUCCGCUCCAACCCGUGGAUGAUGUACGAGAGAAGCUCGUCGUCCUGGAUGGGCUUGCCCGCCGCGGCCAGCUAGUCGGCAUAGCCACGCAUGGCGGCGAAGUAGGAGGCAACCGAGAGGUUACCCUUCUGCGCGUUGAUGAGGGAGGUGCGUAUGUUGUUGAUGCGACUCGCCGAUUGGGACGAGAACAUGGCCGCGAGCAUCGUCCAGAGCGCGCCCGCCGUGGUGACCGUGGUCACCGUGACCAGGACCUCCUUCGUGAGGUUAUUCAGCAGGUAGCCAAGGACCUGCUGGUCCUCCCGUACCCAUAUAGGGUGGAGAGGGUUGGGCGAUGAAGUCUCCUUGCCCUCCUUGACGGUGACGAGGAGCUUCGCCGGCUCCGGGUUGGUGCCGUCGACGUAGCCGAAGACGCCGGCGCCGCGCAGCUGAGGUGUGAUCUGCGUGCGCCAUAGCACGUAUUUCGUGCGUGAUAGCUUCUCUGUGACCUGAUUGUUGAGGCUUGGAGAGAAGGCGCUGGAGGAAGACAUGGCUAGGCUAGAUUGGUUUGACAGAAGCUCUCGAUGGGAAAAGGAAAGGCUCUGUUACCAUGUGCGAUGCGGAAAACGUCUUACCUCGCAGAGAGGGGACGCGUACAUGUUAUAUGCAGGGGUGCAAAACCCUGGUAGCGCAUACAGUUGGGAUCCAUCUCAUCCGGGAGAGAAGAUCUCGUACAGGUACAGGAGGUUACAACUUGGAGUCCAAGCUAGCUAGAGAUAAACCUCCUAUCAUAACUACCAAGAUACAUACAACUCCCGCUAAGAUACGUCACAUGUGACGCGCACAAUGAAGGUACACAUACGGCUUGUUUAACACCCUUUACAGAUAUGACUUCGACUUAGUUGUUAAACCCUCCAAUAAAAUCCAGUUUCCGACGAGGUCCAUCUGACAUUGCUGUUUCUUUCACCUAGGUCGCUUAUCUUUUCCUAAUUCUAGAUAUGACAGUUAGUUUGGAACAUUAUUAGAGUUGCGCUCAUGCAUUACUAUAAUUAAACAGGGUUCCUCUAAACAACUGAUUUCACAUAGUAGCACAGAGCAGGUGCAAAAACUGUGGUGGACCGAUCCGGCAGGUCAGGUUCUUCCAGAACUGAGACCAUCUAUAUCUCAACACAAAUUCGAGCCGAGUUUACAAACCAUAACCCACAAUGAGGUGAAGUUGUAUCUCAGAAUUUCUGAUGCAGUACAUUAUACAAACAAUCUGCCAAAUGCACUACAUACAAUGCAUCACACCGUGCAUCACUCGGAAAACAGAAAAACUAACACCAUGCCGUCAUAAUUAAGCACAAAACAGAGUAUUUGUAUUUAAGAAUGGUAAACAUGCAUUGUCAGACUUUACUGGUGUUGUUUGAGAGAGAAGAGCGUCUUGAAGAUGCCCACUAGAACACCAGCCACGGAGAAGACAGCGACAAUGGUUUUGAAGUUGUUGUAGAUGAACCUGUGCAUCUUGAUCCACAUCCACCUUUUGACCUUGUAGUCCUCCAUGCGCAAAAAGAAGCGGAUGUACGAGCUGCCCGCAGGAAGGUGCUUAGAAACACUUUUGAAGAACUCGAGCAUCUCUUUGUUUGUGAGUACUCCAUGCAGAAGAUGCUUCGUUCGUAGCUCGUGCACAUCCUCCUCACGAUCCAUGAGCAUCAAAAGGAGGGCGAGGUACGAGCAGACAGCCAACUCUUCAUCAUGACGUAGAUCCCCUGAGAUCGUGCAUAUCUCAAAAGCCGCCAUGUUUACAAGCCAACAUGCGCCUAUGUUGCUCAGCGCUAGGGGCGUCAUGAAAAGCUCGCCAAAGAGGUGGCCUUGGUUGAUGCCGAUUUCUGUGAAACUUCCAGUCUUGAUGGCUUGCAGCUUGAUGCCAAUUUCUGCAAGCUCGAGGGCAGUUGUAGAUAAUGAAAUUGUUUUUUUCUUGGUUGAUGGUAUAUGUCUUCUCAUAGGGCCGGGGUUAGGCUUAGCAACCGUUCGCGCGUUCAAGAGUUUCAAUGUUGAAGAAAACAUUUGCUUUGCCCUGAUGGGGGCUUUCAAACGAUUCAAUGUUGAAAAUACUUGAUUGAAGCAGGCCUUCUUGUUGACUUUGAUGGUUGUCCUGCUGCUUGUUUUGUUGAAUCGGACGAGACCAAGGAGAUGGGGUGGCCUGUACUUCUCAUCCAAGUAUGAAAUGUUUUGUUCUGGUAUAGUAUGAUACAUGUUUGUGAGACCUUCUCCCAUUACUGAAAUUGUCUUGUUCACUUGCGCGGACACAAACCCAAAGGUUAGGAUGGUUUCCAUAACUAGCCAAGGAACUUGGUCCUCCAGCAACAUUACAUCAUUAUAGAUAUGCAGUUUGUUGGAGUGAAAAACAUAUAGCAACUCUGGACAUAGAAGCUGCUCAUCGCCCAUAAUAAUCAUAAACUCAAGCAAGAAACAAGCAUCAUAGAACAUCAUAGCCUCAAAGUCAGCAUGACUUAUACCUGUCACCGCGUCAUCAGCGUAGAGGCGGUGGGCCUUGUCCGCAACCUUGACGACAGCCCCAUAGAUCUCCUCAAGCGAGUGGCCUGACCCAUUGAUGAAGUGGUGGGCAGCCACAUGCUUCACCUUCUCCAUCUGCCGGAGGUGGGGUGAGUCAUGGUGGUAAGGGCCGAUGGCCACGACCCUUGGCACAAUGUACUGGCUGCCGAGACCGUGUAGGCUUGCAGGGAACCCGCAGGGAACCUAUGCAUCUUAUCUUGUCUCUUGUGGAAAUCAACCUUGAGGUCACCUGCUCUACUUUCCUCAAGUACUGCUCCUCAACCGAAGCCGGUACUGCUGCAUCUGUAAAGACCACGAUGUGCUCAUCAUUCAACUUGCUGGCGGCUACAACUAGGAACCACCGGCACAUCUGUAAUCUCAGAGGGGGAAGCAGCCUUGAACUCUUGAGCUGUUUUCUUCAGGUAUUCCUCAACCGGAGCAGGUACUGCUUCUACUGAUUCCACGGCUUCCAUCCUCGAACUAAUUUGCUGGAUGGGUUAGGAGUGCCACACAGAUGUGUUAUAUCCCAGAGGAGAAAUCAAAUUGCUAGAACUAGCAUCGUUUCCAAACUAGAAAAGCAAAGUAUCGACGAACAGAUUAACAAACAAGAUGCGAAGAUGGCACUUCCACUGUCCUGUUGGAGUACUAUACUAGUGCAAAUGGUAUUAGCUUUUCCACUACGAAAAAAUGUAUAUUCUGAAUCUAAUUAACCACUCUUUAGCUUGUCCCCAUCAGCAUGGUGAGCUCGCCUAUGCUAACCACCCUUUCCGUUUAUAAGUUUGCUAAUUCCAAGGUAAUUCAGGGUUAGCCAAGGCCAUCCUGAACCGUAGAGUGUAGACUAUUGGCAAAAUAUCAUAAAGUUCUGCAGCACUUGAAUUGAAUCAUAAAUUCUUUGUAGAUGUGGAACAGUACAGCUGUUUGUAGAACUGACCAGUGCAAAACUAAGUCAUAUUUCUUGCAUCCCAACAUGAAAACAAAAUUAUCAAAAUAACAUACAUAUAAAUGAUGACUGAUUCUAAGAGUGCUCAACAAAUUAAGUGCUUAGAGCACUAACCUGGAAGAAGAUUAGAGAUAUCCCAUCUAGCUUCUGAUCAAGAGAACACCCAAGCUGGUAUUGCCUCACAAGGAAAAAAGCAAGCAAGGGAAAGGGGAAGAAGAUAUUGGCUUGACCUCUCGGUGCCAGGUUGCUUCCUAUAAAUGAAUAGAUGGGGGCAAUGUUGGAAGAAAUGAGGUCUCAAAAAAAAUGUUGGAAGAAAUGUGAGCAGGUAUGCUCCAGAUCUUGUGACCUUAGAUUCAAGAUUUUCAUUCUUAUUAUUAAGAGACUAGCUAGUCUCCAAAUAUUAAGAAUCUUAAUUAAGGGUGGGUGAUAUGUACAUGUGAUGGUUACUGAUUACCACAUUAAGGGCAUUAGACUAUCAUUAUCAUUAUUAAUUGACAACGAGGAUCAUGAAGACCCUUCCUCCCUUAAUGGUUAUCGUUGGCCUCCUCUAAGGUGAAAGAAGAUAAUAACGGGAUACAUGCAGCCCGCAGCCGGCCAUAUGUGAAGUUCUUCUCCCUAGUUUCAAAUCGGGCAUAUACAAAAGAAACGGUUUAAGAGCUGGCCUAGAACUUACCAAGAAGAAGUGUAGGGAUGCCAGCUAGUUUCUGCUCAGAAAAUACCAAGCUAGUAAGUAUUGCGGGGUGAUUGAUGAUCGUUGUUUUAUAUAUAAAGCGGGGCAAAAGCCUUUUCGGUAAGUAGGAGAAAGGGUAGGAAGUGGCUGGACCAACCUAGCGUACCAGGUUGCAUAUAUAGAAAUGAUUUUAAUUAGGUGUGCGUGAAAUUGUUUCAUUGGAAUCAAGAUUAAUUAAGACGAGCAGACAGUCUAGUCUCUUUACGUUUAGCAGCUCAAUUCAUCAUAUUGUCAACCUUACCGGUUACCACAUUAAGGAACAUGUGGUGGUACCAAUUAACACGUUAAUGAACAUUAGACUAUGGGCACGUGAUAAAGUAUUCCGGAUGUAUUUAAGAAGACCAAACAUAGUAGUGUCUUUAAAUUUAGCAGGAUAACUUACCCUAGGGCCUACGGUGGGUCUGUUGUUGGAUGUGAUGGCUACCAACAACCAUGCUAAGAGACGUUAGACUAUUAUUAGUACUCCCUCCGUUCCUAAAUAUUUGUUUUUCUAGACAUUUUAAAUAACUACUACAUACGGAUGUAUGUAGACAUAUUUUAGAGUGUAGAAUCACUCAUUUUGCUUCGUAUGUAGUCACUUUUAAAAAUGCCUAGAAAGACAAGUAUUUAGGAACGGAGGGAGUAGUAAUUAUUGGGUAGACGGGGAAUUAUUCAAUGCUGAUGACGGUGUAAACUAAUCCUCCAUGAUUGUCAUUGUUUGAGCUUCUCAGAGGUGAAAAGAGAUAAAAACCAGGUAUACAUACUUGCUGAGCAUAUAUAUAGAAAGAUUUAAGAGCCGGCUGGAGCACUAACCGAGUAGGUGUAGAGGUGCCCGCUAGUUGCUGGCUGCUGCUCAGAAAAGACCCAAUAUUCCCGCAAAAAAAAAGACCCAAUAUGUCUAGUACUGCUUCAGAAGGAGAACAUCCAAGUAGUAGAAGAAAGAGACAAAAUGCACCGAUUACUGCGUCAAGGAGCGGAAACAUGUCGUUGUUGGGUCGACGGGGAUUAGUCAAUUCGGGCAACUUGCGUUGCUGAGCUGUUUUAAGUUUGAAGUUGGCAGUUUUCAUUGGUAUUGGAAGAGCGACCUAUGCUAGUUAAUGUUCACUUGUAGUGGUGAAAAUGUUGCCUGAAGAACAGCUGGCAAUAUUUUGUUGCACAGAUGCUUGAUUUGCUAUCCUGAAUCCUGAUGCACGAUUUAAACAAGGAGGUACAAUUCCCAGUGAAAGUAGGUGUUUCGAAGAAAGAAAAACUCGGAUCGGUUGGUAAUGAAAUAGUACCUGAGAUUUGUAGUCAGAAUUAAACCCCGGUCCUCGUCUACCAAAGCUCUGCUCUUGAUAAGGAAAGGCGCUACAAUGAAUGGUUGGCCCGCCAUCUCUUCUUGGAAGAAAGGCGAUGCCGGCCGGUGUGCUCAGCAGCGUGCCACCGCUGCGUCGACGAGGCCCACUGCCAUCAUCUAUCAGCUAGCCUGAAAGAAGCCUGGUCUGCCAUGGCCGCUGCGGCGGGAUGCGGAGGAGCAGGUCGGCGGGAGCUCGUCCGCCGGUGGUCUUGAGGUGAGUUAUUUACCGAAAACCAUCACACUUGAGGUUAGGGUAACAGAUUGGUACCACAUUUGAAUCAGGGCAUAAAAAACCACCGGUUGACUAAACUUCUCUCACGAGCAAGACAUGAUCAUACCUUUGUACUCUUUGGGUGUUAAUCACAUAGCGAUGUGAACUAGAUUAUUGACUCUAGUAAACCUUUUGGGUGUUGGUCACAUGACAAUGUGAACUAUGGGUGUCAAUCAUAUACAGAUAUGAUUAUUGGUGUUAAAUCACAUGGCGAUGUGAACUAGAUUAUUGACUCUAGUACAAGUGGGAGACUGAAGGAAAUAUGCCCUAGAGGCAAUAAUAAAGUUAUUAUUUAUUUCCUUAUUUCAUGAUAAAUGUUUAUUAUUCAUGCUAGAACUGUAUUAACCGGAAACAUAAUACAUGUGUGAAUACAUAGACAAACAUAGUGUCACUAGUAUGCCUCUACUUGACUAGCUCGUGAAUCAAAGAUGGUUAAGUUUUCUAGCCAUAGACAUGAGUUGUCAUUUGAUUAAGGGGAUCACAUCAUUAGGAGAAUGAUGUGAUUGACUUGACCCAUUCCGUUAGCUUAGCACUUGAUCGUUUAGUAUGUUGCUAUUGCUUUCUUCAUGACUUAUACAAUGUUCCUACAACUAUGAGAUUAUGCAACUCCCGUUUACCGGAGGAACACUUUGUGUGCUACCAAACGUCACAACGUAACUAGGUGAUUAUAAAGGUGCUCUACAGGUGUCUCCGAAGGUACAUGUUGGGUUGGCGUAUUUCGAGAUUAGGUUUUGUCACUCCGAUUGUCGGAGAGGUAUCUCUGGGCCCUCUCGGUAAUACACAUCACUUAAGCCUUGCAAGCAUUGUAACUAAUGAGUUAGUUACGGGAUGAUGUAUUACGGAACGAGUAAAGAGACUUGCCGGUAACGAGAUUGAACUAGGUAUUGGAUACCGACGAUCGAAUCUCGGGCAAGUAACAUACCAAUGACAAAGGGAACAACGUAUGUUGUUAUGCGGUUUGACCAAUAAAGAUCUUCGUAGAAUAUGUAGGAGCCAAUAUGGGCAUCCAGGUUCCGCUAUUGGUUAUUGACCGAGAAUAGUUCUAGGUCAUGUCUACAUAGUUCUCGAACCCGUAGGGUCCGCACGCUUAACGUUAUGAUGACAGUUUUAUUAUGAGUUUAUAAGUUUUGAUGUACCGAAGUUUGUUCGGAGUCUUGGAUGUGAUCACGGACAUGACGAGGAGUCUCGAAAUGGCCGAGACAUAAAGAUUGAUAUAUUGGACGACUAUAUUCGGACACCGGAAGAGUUCCGGGUGAUUUCGGAGAAAACCGGAGUGCCGGAGGGGUUACCGGAACCCCCCGGGGAAGUAUUGGGCCUUAGUGGGCCUGAGGGGAGAGAGAGGGCAUCAGCCCAGGAGGUGGCGCGCCCCCUCCCUUGGGGAGUCCGAAUUGGAGUAGGGGAGGGGGGGCACGGCCCCUCUUUCCCUCUCCCUCUCCCUCUCUUUCCUUCCCCCUUCCUCCUUCCUAGUUGGACUAGGAAAGGGGAGUCCUACUCCCACUAGGAGGAGGACUUCCCCCUCCUUGGCGCGCCCCAAGGGCCGGCCGGCCUCCCCCCUUGCUCCUUUAUAUACGGGGGCGGGGGAGCACCCCAAAGACACACAAGUUGAUCUACGGAUCGUUCCUUAGCCGUGUGCGGUGCCCCCUUCCACCAUAUUCCACCUCGGUUAUAUCGUCGCGAAGCUUAAGCCCUGCGCCGGUAGAACAUCAACAUCGUCACCACGCCGUUGUGCUGACGGAACUCAUCUCCGGAGCUCGGCUAGAUCGGAGGCCGGAGAUCGUCAUCGAGCUGAACAUGUGCUGAACUCGGAGGCCCCGUACGUUCGGAGCUUGGAUCGGUCGGAUCGUGAAGACGUACGACUACAUCAACCGCGUUAUCAUAACGCUUCUGCUUACGGUCUACGAGGGUACGUGGACAUACACUCUUCCCUCUCGUUGCUAUGCCAUCACCAUGAUCUUGCGUGUGCGUAGGAAAUUUUUUGAAAUAAAACCCAACAGGCUCAGCUUCUUCCCGCAUUACCGGCUCAGCUUCUUCCCCCAUUGUUGUAUCAUCGUAUUCAGGGAACCCAUGGCCAGGAUAGUUGUCAUCGUCCUCUUCUUCUUCAUUGUCUUCCAUCAUAACCCCUCUUUCUCCGUGCUUGGUCCAAACAUUAUAGUGGGGCAUGAAACCGGACUCAAAUAGGUGGACGUGAAUGGUUCUUGACGUAGAGUAAUUGUGACCAUUCUUACAGCUAGCACAUGGACAAGGCAUAAAACCAUCCGCCCGCUUGUUUGCCUCAGCCGCAAGCAGAAAAGUAUGCACGCCCUCAACGAACUGGGGAGAGCAUCGGUCAUCGUACAUCCAUUGCCGGCUCAUCUUCAUUACACAACACCGAAUAGACCAAAUUAAUACAAGUUCAUACAUAAAGUUCAUACAACACUUAAAUGCAACAAACAAAUAACUCUCUAGCUAGAGCAUUUAAAUGCAACAACAAAUGCGAUCAAGAUCGCAACUAAGAUAACAAUUGAUCCAACAGCAUAAUGAUACCAAGCCUCACUAUCGAUGGCAUAUUUUCUAAUCUUUCUAAUCCUCAAGCGCAUUUUCUCCAUCUUGAUCUUGUGAUCAUCGACGACAUCGGCAACAUGCAACUCCAAUUCCAUCUUCUCCCCCUCAAUUCUUUUCAAUUUUUCUUUCAAGUACUCGUUUUCUCUUUCAACUAAAUUUAACCUCUCGACAAUAGGGUCGGUUGGAAUUUCCGGUUCACAUACCUCCUAGAUAAAAAUAUCUAUGUCAACUUGAUGGGCAGAAUUUGUCAUAAACACGAAAUGCAAAAAAUAGUUUUAAAAAAGAAUAUACCACAUCCGAAUCAUAACAAGGAUGAGGGCCGACGGGGACGGAUAUCAAAACCAUGGCACUAUGUAUAACAAACAACGUACGGGUAAGAUAAUUAUUAUACGAGUAACUAUAUAUCCAAAUCACACAAACAUCAAUUUUUUAUAUAAAAUUUCAUGAACAAGAGGCUCACCACAAGGUGGUGCCGGCGACGGGACGGUGGGGCGAUCGACGGUGGUUACGACGGAGAUUUAGAAGGCACUAAGUAAACCACACCUACAUAUGCAAACUAAGUGUUAUUUUGACCUCAAAUUGCAUAUAAAUCAAAUACUACCACAUAUAAUUCCUCCCAAAUUACUAAAACCCACAAUUAAUCACUAAACCAAUGCAAGAGCUAAUCUAGCAAUGAGAGAUGAAAGGACAAAGUUGCUAACCUUGGUGAUCAUUUGAAUGGAUGAGGGCCUGCAAAUCUUGACAAAUUUGGGGCAAAUUUUGUGAUGAACUCGAGAGGAAGAAGGGAAGAACAGAGGAGAGGGAGAGGGGAAAGGGGGAAGAAUAGAGUGUGGGUGGACGAAGGGUUUAUAUAGGAUGACCUUUAGUACCGGUUCGUGGCACCACUUUCUUUAGUGCUGGAAGGGCCCCACUCUGACAACAUCCUGCCACCACUUUCUUUAGUACCGGUUCGUGGCACGAACCGGUGCUAAAGGUUCACCACGAACCGGUACUAAAGAGCUCCUCCCGCCUAGCCGUUGGAACCGGCACUAAUGGACACAUUAGUGUCGGUUCUGUUACAAACCGGGACUAAUGUGUCUCACAUUUGACCCUUUUUCUACUAGUGUGAACAAGUUUUGUGCAAUAUUGAACUACAAAAAAAACAAGUUAGCACUACAAACACCAACAACAAGCAUGAUGAACAUGGAUGAAAUGGCACUUACCCUAUCUUCAUCAUUAGUGCCACUUGGGUUCAACUUGUCAACCGCCUUUUGUGCGGCCGCCCACUUUUGACAAUCUCGGCUGAUUGUCGACCACUGGGAGCGAAGAGAUCGUUCCAAGCAGUCAAUUUCACUCUUGUUGUGUAGAUCAAAGUGCUCCUUCAUCAGGUUCCAAUAAGCAUCUUUACUUUGAUCACCUCCAACGGAUGGAUCCCUCGACACUUGCAACCAAGUAUUGCAUAGCAAGACAUCUUCCUCAUUGGUGUAGUUGCCUCCUCUUCCUUUCGGUGCGUCGACAAUGCCCUCACCAUCCUUGUCCACCUCAAACACAUGGUCAUCAAAAUGCAUGUCAUUGGUUUGAGACCAAUGCAAAUUGUUGGAGCCAACACCCAUAGUUGACAUAUAUGCCUCAUCGUUGAAACUACAAAGUAUAUACAACGAAGCAAAUAAGCUAUCUAUAUGUAUGCAUUCAAAAAAUACAACAACAAAAAGUUGGCGAAAUUUUACACCUUUGGGGCAUUUCCUCGAACACCUUCUGCGCGUCGGCCGCCGGCUCAACAAGUGAGCUCGUCCGUGCUUCGGUAGCCGACGCACCCCUCGCACGCCCUGCAAGCUUCUUCCUCGACGGCUUCGAGGAGCCGGAGCCGUCCGCCGCCUUGUUCUUCUUCGCAGAUACCUUGCCCUUCUUCGGCCGCGCCGCAUUUGGGAGCUUCGAGAGGGGGGCACGUGGCUUCACAGCGGGCACCGGCGCGACGCCACCCGCCGCCGAGGUCAUCCGUGGCGGCAUGAAAAGGCCACACACUAUGUCGGUGCUUGAAGGAGCUCCGACAGAGGAGAAGCCAAAGCUUCCCGCGCUAGGGUUUGCGGCAGCGGCAGAGGGGUUGUGGGAGUAGGAAGGGGUGAGGGGGGUGCCAACACGGGCGUCCAUCGGGCCGAUUCACCGGCGGCGGCGCGGGCGGAGCGAAGGUGGCGCGACGGAGAGAGUGCGGCGCGAUUGCUCGCGUGUGCGGCGCGCGGAAGCGGGCGUACAAAAUACACAGCGUGCGAUGGCGAUUUGGACCGCGCGCCCAACUCUAUAUGCCGCGCGCUUAUUGCGCGUCCGCUGGAGCCCCUACAUCGAUUGCGCGCGCUAAAAAGACAAAUUUGCGGCGCGACCCUUAUUUAGCACGGCUGUUGGAGAUGCUCUAAGCAGUGCAGCGGCUUCGGUCGCCAGAGGUCGAGAGGAGUGAGGGGAGGGGGGGUCGAUGGGGAUUUUUUGGGAGGGCUGGCUGGGCUAGGUCGUUCGAUGUCUAAUGGGCUGUCUGGGAAUCGGGACCCAAUUAACUAAUAUCCUUCCAAGUUCAUGAAUGAAUCCUUUAAAUCUUUAUUUACUACUCCUUUUCUACAAUCAUUUUCCUCAAUUUGGAAUAAGGAAACAAUUCAGAUUUUGAUUUCUCCUUGUUUUCAUUCAACAAUGAUAAUUUCAUUUCAAUUUAAGUACCAAUUUUGGAACACACGCUGUCAAGAAAUAGGCAUGUACAUACUCUCUGUGCAUGGCAAUAUUAAUGUGCCAGUUUAUUUGGGCUGAGCUGAGUCCUGAAGGUAGGACGCACAAUCUUCUUUGAAACAAAUGCCCUUUGUAGUUAACUUGGCAGUGGUAGUAGCAUCAUUUAGAUUUCUAGUGCAAUCCAAUAUUUCAAUUUUUAUUUUGUUGGCUAAGUACACCUCUAUGCAACUUCCACAACAGAAUAUUCCAAACUAUAGAAUGGUCUCAGUGUACCAGUUUUUCGAAUCUCCAUUGAAAAACUUGAAGGAAGAUGCUCGCCAAAUGGUCGUCAACUAUUUUAAAAACUACUUUGACUUAUAUGGAGAACAGUAUUAGUACUGUAAAACUUGACCAAGAAAGCUGAUGUGUAACAGCUAUUUUUUAAUACUGUUAAAACAAUAUACCUUUCGAGAUGUAGCUAUGAUCUCCAAAACGAGUAAGAACUUUUUCAUAUCAGUUAUCGUUACCUAGUAUACCAUGUUCGGAAAGUUUAAUCGUAUAUGUUUUGUAGCUCAUGCAUUGCUACCAUUUUCAUGAGCAUGGAUCUGUUACAAUAGGAUGAAACAAAUUAUGAGGCUGUGUGAUGUAAAUGUGGAUAUAUAUCACAGGUGCACAGCUUUGGGCUUUCGAGCGAUCCAGGAAGGUAAACCUGGAAGCUGGAACAUAAGAACUUCAUUGAUGUCUCUUUAGUCUGAAACUCAAUGCGACCAUAGUUAAUUUCCUUCUACCAAAUUCCUUUCAUUCCCAUCUAUAAAAAGUUUCUUUUUAUGCAUGUUCAGUGCUCAAUUCAAGUAUGCUCACCAAGGGAUACCUUUUUUUUGACAUUUUGGUGCAAAGUAGCUUAAUUUACCUCUCCUACUGUUUUCUUCAGAAUUAGAUGUUGAAAAUGGUGUUGGAACUCUAUUUAAUUUUUGCUGCAUUCUUAGUUGCUAUUAUUGAUCAUCAACGGAAGAGUUGAUAAAAUUCAAAUUUAGUUCUCAAUUCUUUUUGGUUCAUUUAAUUAUAAAGAUCUAUCUUCCUAGGUCGACGGUGGUCCAACCGCACCCGUCUUUAAAACAAUAGAGUUUGGAGUCCCAUGUGUUAGAAAUUUCAUACCAUUUAAACAAAAUGUAGAAAAGAACAAGCUAUGUUUAUCUAUGACAUUAAGCAACAGCCAAUGUUUAUCUGCCGCGUUUAUAAAAAGAAAUCUUUAGCUAGAGCAUUAAAACUAACCAAAUCUUUAGCUACAACAGUUAAGGCUUCCCUAUCUUUCGCUACAACAUUUAAAACUAGACAUGGCAUUUAAGACUUCCCUAUCUUUAGCUACAACAUUUAAGACUAGACGAUAAAGUCACUAGCUAUGUUUGGCAAUGUAAAAAUACAACAAUUUGGAUAACCCAUUCAAUUUGUGCUUGUUACUGAUGAGUAAUUACAAUACUAGUUACAGUUCUGCUAUAUAUAUGGACCGGGGUAAGUAAUGGAUACAUAUCAAAACCCAGUGAAUUUCUCACACAAUGGGGAAGCACAUCAAGCACAAUGCCCAACUUGUUGUCUUGCUUUCCAUGGUUCUUCUAAGUUGCCUGGUUUCUUCAGCCGUACAAGGUAAUGAACAAUUGUAAAUAGUUAUUUCAUGAACUUUCAGUGUUCAUCCUUAUGUUUAAAGUUUGUUUCGUCAACCUUGAGUAUGCACCCCUUGGAAAGAUCUAGAGUGGUUUUCUACAUAGGCAUUAUCUACAUGUUCACAUGCAAAAUGAAAUUACCUUCAUGUUGAGCUGACAUAAAUUUAUUUGAUUUUCACUUCAGUGACGACAAGAGGAGCAACACAGCGGCUAUACGGCCUAACGAUGACCCUGACUGUGUGAGAGAGACGAAGUUGAAGUGGCCGCGGAAACGACAGUACUGCUGCAACUAUUUUGCAUAUACUGGUCCAUGCUACGAUGACUAUACUGUCUGCAAAGCCCAUUGCCCGUGAUUCAACACAAUUCCCAUGAAUAGUUUUCAUGUAAUAAGGAAGAGAUGAUAUGCAAUAAGUUUUCCUAUCAACAUUUACUUUUCCAAUUGCUUAAGUGAAUAAAGAUAUGAUUUCCAAAAUUAUUAUGGUGCUUGUACUUAUCCCUAUCAACUGUUUUAUCAAAAAUACAUUUUUCGUGCAACGGAGACA
rnacentral:lncRNA from 1 species